rnacentral:lncRNA from 1 species
UGCCACUAAGUUGUCAAAAACUGCAUCACCCGUUGUUCCCUUUUCUUUAUUCCCUUUCGAAAUAACAUAGUCUUGUGCCAUCCAAAGUUUAAUCAAAUCAUCUCGUUCAAACUUGUGAUCUUUUGGAAAAGUAGCACAAUAUAAAAGACAACAUUUAAUUGUUGGGGCCAAAUCAUUAUAACUUAGGAAUAGGGGUUGGAAAACUUCUUGCUCGACCUUCUCUAGAUCCCAUAUCUUACUAUGCAAAACUUCUUUCCAUUCUCCCAUUUUUGUCUUAUUCUGCAUGAGACUACCCAAAGUCUUUGCAGCAAGAGGCAAACCUUUACACUUCUUUACAAUUUCCUUACUAAUAUCUCCAAACUCAUGUACAUCCCUAUCCCAAAAGGCCAUGUGAUUGAAGAUUGACAAACAACAUUCAUCAUUCAACUCUCCCAGAUUGAUCUUGUUUCUUGUUGCUCUCAUCAUGUCAGCAACCUCAUGUUUUCUUGUGGUCACCAAUAUUCUGUUGCCUUUAGCACCAUUUUGGAUUAAUGGUACCUUUAAUUGUUCCCACUUUUUAGGAUCAUCGGUCCAUACAUCAUCCAGGACAAGAAGAAACCUUUUGCCCUGGAUGGAUGUAGACAUACAUUGCAAGACCUCAUCCAACUCAUUUGAAUUUGGGGCGUUUUUACCAAUAAUGGCUUUGGCAAUCUUAAUCUCAUCAAAAGGGUCUGAAACACAAACCCAUUUCCUCAACUCAAAAUGGGUUUUGACUCGGUCAUCAUUAUAGGCUAGUUGGGUUAAAGUUGUUUUGCCCAUGCCUCCCAUCCCGACAAUAGGGAUGAUAAGGAACCCCUUCCCUUCCGCACUACUAUCACUCAACAAGUGUGUUAUCAAAUCCUUUUUUUCAUUUUCUCGACCAAAUAUCUCAGAUAUAUCGACAAAAGAUGCAGUUUGAGGUCGUUGAGGUUGUUGAGGUUGUUGAAUGCCUAAUUCUUUGCUUAGAAACUGGUACUUUUUUCUUUCCUCAUAAAUCUCAGUUAACUUAUCAUUCAGAUCUUUUAUUUUCAGAGCAAUGUCAUGGAGAAGGUGAUCUUUUAUUUUGCCAAGACAAAAGUAAGGGGAGAAACUAGAGAAACGUACCUUCUUCCUUGUAACAAGAGCAUUUGGAUCACCUUCUCUUUCUUGCUUCUCAACUUGUUGUUUGAGAAUGUUUGUGUUCCACUCAUCCAGCACAUCCACCAUCUGGUAGGAUAUAUCUUUCAGCUCAUCCAACCAGAUUUUGACAGCUUGAUCCGUCACUUGGCGUUGCUCUGCAUCCUCAAGCACAGCUUGAAUAACUCGGAGAGUCCGAGUGAAUUUCUCAACAUCUUCCUUAACGUUCAAAACACGUUUCACAUCUCCUUCCAUGUAUUCAUAGGUUGUCGAGGCCAACCGUUCUAGCAGCAGGGAAAUGAGCGCACCAGCCAUUAUUUUGAGCUUCAGAAAAUGGUUGACAGCAGUGUUUAUGAAGAAGAACUGAUUUGGGGAUAAUUGUUUGUGUUGCGGUGUUCCCUUUCUUCUGCCCAGUUUAUAUGCUGAGUAAGUCUUCAAGGCAAACUCCAAGUCAAUUUUUAAGAAAUAUCUAAUCUGGGGCUGGUGAGUGCGCCAGACUGUCUUUCUUGACCUUACCAUACAAGACAAGAUUAGUGCGCCAGCUGGCUUAAUAAGCAUUACCAAGAUGUAGUGCAUAAAUCGCCAGACUGUCAUUCACAUUCUAUAUUUUUUACCUGAACUCUACCUACUUGAAUAAAGAAAUGUAUCAAAGAUUGGUUGGACAAUUGAUUUAUUUGUCACACACACCUCGUGACAUAUACUUUGAGUGUAGUUUAGUCAGUUCGUGCAUGUUUUCAGUAAAGAUUAUGUAAAUGAUGUAAGUCAUAUAUUUAGAUAUUUAAAGUUAGCAACAAGAAAAUGACUUAUGUUCUCUAAGCAUAAGUCAUUGGGCAGGUAGUAUCAUUGUCAUGAGCUCUACAUCAAGUAGAUUGGUUGGAGGUAAUUUCUCACUUGGCAUAGCAAUAAGCAAAAGAUGGUGGAGUACAGAAUAAUGGUACAAGGAAUCUAUGAACUAUUGUGAUUGAUAAUGUAUAAAAUAAUGAUCGUAGAUGUUUAAGUGGAUAGACAUUUCAUUAAAAAAUAAAGACAAUUAAUAUUCCAUUUGUGAAGACUAAAGACCAAUUAGUCCAUAUUCUCUCCAAGACAAUUAAAAAAUAAGGUGUGUUACAACUCAUUGGUCAAGUUGAGGAUUGGAGGCAUGUGUUCACCAAUUUGAGCGUGAGUGUUAGUGUGAAUUCUAAAUAUAACCUAAUUUGUAGUCUCCUAUUUGGACUUUAUUAGGUUUAGUUACUUUACUUAAGGUCCACUUCUCGUAACUAGGAGAAGAAUACACAUUUGAGAGUUUUAGGUGUAGCUGCUACUUGUUCCCCAAGAAACACCACAGUCACUAUCACAUCACACACUCUCAUGAUUAUCAAUGGAGCAUAAAUAUAUUGCAGUUAAGUUUCUUUAGCCCAAAUUAAGUACCGCUUGUAACACUCUCAUUCACCCAAUGUUAGACAAGGUCCCAGCCCAAAUCUAUGCAAAUAUUCUAUGUAUCUAAAGUCGCCUGGGAUUUUUGGAGCAUGCCAUGCCUGACAAUCUUCUUUCUAGCAUCUCCAUUCAGUCCUGCCAAUUUGUGGUCUUGUGACUUCCCCCUCAUGGUAUUAUCCCCAGCCUAGAGAAAAGGUUCCAUUGACCCAUAAUUUCUACUACUAGUUCGUAAAAUUGAAUAGUGGCAUGCUCACCAACUAAAAGGGGUAGACAUCCUUUUCUAACAAUCCCAUGAAGGAUUAUAUAAAUCUUCAGAGAAAGGCAGAGAAAACUUGAGAAAUGAACUAAUUAUGUAGGAGACUAUAAAUCUUACAUGAUCAAGCAGAAGAACAUCCUCCUCUUCUUCAAGCCGAGCAAAAUCUAUAGCACGCUGACCAGUGACAAGUUCGAGAAGUGUGAUACCAUAUCCAAAAACAUCAGUCUUUUCUGACGAUUUUCCAGUGGACAAAUAUUCUGGGGCAAUAUGACUCAUGGUACCACGCACUUGAGUGGUAACGUGAGUUGAUUUUGUAUCAACCAGCUUUGCUAGCCCAAAAUCUCCAAGAACGGGCUCAAAAUUAUCAUCUAGAAGAAUGUUUGCAGCCUUUAAGUCACGGUGUAUAAUCUUAGGAUUACAAUGCUCAUGUAAAUACUCUAAGCCAUGGGCUGCACCAAAAGCAAUGCGUUUCCUUGUUGACCAGUCCAAGCCUUUCUCACCAGGUUUUAAAUCUAACACAUAUAUCAGGAAGAAAAUGUUAUGAAUUAAAAAUAUUGAACAGUAGAUAUAUGAGAAUCGUGAUAUGCCAUUCCAAAGAAUUAAGUGAUGAUUAACCUCCAAAUGAACAAGCAUAAAAUACAAAUGAUGUAAAUCCUAUCUCCCCCCUUAAGAAGUAGGGAGGGGGGUGUUCAGGAUGUCCUUACUUGAAUAUUGAGUUGGUUGAAGAAAACAGAAAUUUGUAUUUGGGAAUUUGAAUCACAAAAUGGUGGUUAUAUAUCAAUACGUGCGAUGAAAGACCUCCUCCAUAAGUAUGGGCUGGAAGGUGAGGUUGACCGUACGAUACCUAAUGGGUGUAAGUAAAAUUACCAAGAAAAACAACAAAGGAAGUAAGGAUUAGGGAGCACCUCAGAAAAAAUUUCAAGGAUGGUACCUCAUGUCAUAAUAUGUUGCAGAAUUCUAUUGCUAAAUUAAACCACGAAAACAGAAGUAAAAUUACAGGCUCUCAAAUGGAACAGAACAUGGCAACAGCAAUGAUUUUUUCUUCUUUCUUUUGGGACUGAACACUGAAUUAGGGCUUCUAAUCACUUACCAAGCACAAAAAGAAGUUCAAACCAUGGUUGUAAAUUCAGAGCCACUCACACUGAAAAAUGCAGAGGGGAAAUAGAAAAGUAAACUCAAGCAAUGCUCUUUUAGGACAUACCUCUCAAGCGAUACGCAACACUAAGAUUUUUCAUGAAUGGAUAAACAAGGAUUCUCUCAGAUGAAGUUGUACAAAAUCCAAUCAAACGUAAAAGAUUCUUGUGAACUGCAACGCUAAUUAGUUGUACUUCUCUCAAGAAUGCAGCCUCUCCACCAGGACUGUUAUAAUCUGUAAGGCGUUUCACUGCAACCUUUACAUUGUCUGAGAGGACACCUUUGUAAACUCUUCCAAAGCCCCCUUGUCCAAUUAUGUUGCUUUCAUCGAAGUUAUCUGUAGCAAGCUGAAUUUCACGCCAAGAAAAUCUUCUUAACUGGCCAAAGGAAAUUUUGCACUCAUCUUCACCUAAAAUUACAUUAAAAUAAGAAAAGGGGGUGGAGUAGAUGUUAGUUUGACAAGAUUGUGUAGCUCGUGAUGCGACUUCAGGCAUUUGGACUUUUGAAUACAGAUUAAAUGAAUACAUAAAUCAAACUUGGUAAGUGAUUAUUUACACAUCUGACUUACAAAGGGUGGGGAUCGAUUCUAACUUAACUAGGUUGAGAUGAUUUCAAAUUUAAAUUUCCAUAAUGAUGCUUAGUACAAACUGAAAGUCAUCUCAAAAGUAAAAGGUAAGGAAAAUUUACCUGUAACAUCAACAACGACAUCAUGUGUUAGUUUGUGCAUGCGAUAAUAUCGAUAAGCGAAAAGAGCCCCAAUCAAAAGAAUUACUGUUACACCACAACUUGCCGAAGUUAUAACCGUUCCAAGUUUUGAUUUCUUGGUUGAAACUGCCAAAUUUUAAAAUCUUAGGUUAUUCCACUACUACAUUUUACACUUUGCGCGACGAAGAAAAAAACGUCGCGCAAAGUAUGAUUUAGUCGCCCCAAUUUCAGCGCGACAAAAAAGUCGUCGCGCACAUUCCGUCGCGCGAAGAUCGUGAAGAAAGCCUUUGCGCGACGAGGUAAAACCCUUUGUCGCGCAAAAUUGUGCGACGGGUAAACCAUCGUUGCACCAACGGUGUGGAGACGAAAUAACUGUUGGUGGCAAAAGUAUUUGCGCGACGAUAAAGUAUGCGGUGCACGUACAUUAGCGCGACGAAAUAUUAUUCGUCGCGCAAAAUGUGUUCGCGAGACGUAUAUGUUCGUCGCAGAACAAUUCGCGCGAAUACAACUGUUCGUCGCAAAAGUAUUUGCGCGACGAUCAAGUAUGCGGCGUACGUACAUUUGCGCGACGAUGGGAAUUGCGCGACGAAAUAUUAUUCGUCGCGCAAAAUGUGUUCGCGAGACGUAUAUGUUCGUCGCAGAACAAUUCGCGCGAUGAGAAAGUUUUCGUCGCACAUAUAAUUGCGCGACGAACAUAUAUGUCGUCGCCAAAUAUCUUGCGCGACGAAAUGUUUCGUCGCGCAAAACGUGUUUGCGAGACGUAUGUGUUCGUCGCGCAUGAAUUUAAAAAGAUAAAAAAAAUUUGAUUUUUUUUUUUUGUUACAUGUUGGUUUGCGCGACGAAAUAUUUUCCGUCGCGCAAAAAUAAUAUUACAAAUUUUUUUUUUUUUUUUUUUUAAAAUAAAAUUGGUUUCUUUUUAUUGAUUAAACAAUGAAAUUGCAAUAAAAAUAAAUUAGAAUAAAAUUUUGUUAUAAAAUAAAAUAAAAUAAAUGUAUUACAAAUAAAAUAAAUACACUAAUCAAAUAAUGAAUCAAAAUCAACCGAGUCGUCGCCAGUAUGCGGCUCGGAGGGCGGGGCGUUCACCGGGGCAGUGGUCUGGUGGGGAUGCCCGGGAUGGACGGGCUCAGAGGUCGGCGCAUCAAAACGCGGGACUGGAAUGCCAGCUGUACGAGAGACUGCAGAAUGACCGACAUCGGGCUCUGAAGAGUGGCCACCUGUGCUGUCAAAGCAGUGACCUGACUGUUUGACUGCGCCGAUGAACGAGGUCGAGGUUCCCUCCGCCGGGCAUUCCCCAUCCCUCGACAAUAUGUCCCCGGCCUCCUCCCGAGAGUCUGAUCCAACGUCUCCGUCAAGAUCUGAAAUCCAGCAUCCUGUGGAGGAGCCACAGACUCGAUCGGAGUCUCGGGAGGAAGCUGGGAGGCGGACUCCUGAAGAACAAGCUGGCUCCUCUCCACCAUCGUCGUCUGUUGAACAUAACAUAAAAUAUAAAUUAAAACAUGCAUAUAAAUUGAAUGCGUAACAUAAGAAUUAAAAUUAAAUAAUACUUACAUGAAGGGACUCGGCCAACUCAUUCCCGGGUCGAACAUAAACGUCACCAAAGACGUCGAUCUCUGGGAACUUGGACCCCUCCUAAAUUGAACAAGAGAAGAAAAAUAUUAGUAUGAAAAAAAUAAAUUAAUAAAAAUGACAUUAAAAAUGAAAUAAAAAUUUUGUGAUUAUUACCCGACGCCGUGCAUCCAUCCUAUACGAAAAGGGUCUGGAGCCGGAAUGGUGGAGAAGGGUCUUCUUCUUCCUAUUACCCUUAUUCACUUGGGCUUUAUUCUGUUAUACAAAAAAUGAAACGUAUUAGUUAAAAUAUAAAAAAUUAAAUAAUAAUGAAAUAAAAAAAUAAAAUAAACAUUAAUAAGUAAUAAGUAAUAAUUAAACAAAUAUAAUUAAAAAAAUACCGCAAAUUCGGGCGCUUGAAAAUGAGCGCAGAGCCACUCCCAACUAUCCUCCCGCCCCUCAAGCUCCUUCGGGCAACCCUCCUGAAGAGCGACUUGCGGAUCAUCAUAGGCCUGAAAAUGGUGGUGCAAGUCGCUCUUCCACUGCUUGUACCUCUCAGCGAAGAGUCUGUUGACGUACGUCAACGACUCUUCGUCGAGAUCCUCCAAGUUAUAGUUCGUCUGCAAUCAAUUAAUUAGAUACGUUAAGUAAUAGAAAUAUACACAAUUUUAAAGAAAAAUAAUGAAAAUGUAAGGUACAUACCGACAACUGGCCGCGAACCUCCGCCUGGAUCUCGUCAGGCAUGACCCUCCAAGACUUCCAUUGCAUCGGGCAAUGGGUCCGCACGACGUGGCCAAUGUCGUGGGCCAAGGAGCUAUGCAACUCCGCCGUCGGUGCAGCCCGAUGUCGCUCGUCGUAUCCGAUGUUGAUACGACUGUUGGUCACCUGGGUGACCUUCGCCGUCUUCAACUGCCGACACGGCCCUCGGGUGUUCCUCUUGGCUGCAAAGAAAGAUGACAUGAAUGUUAAACAAAUAACAAAGUUAACAAUCAAAUACACACACACACACACACACACACACACACACACACACAAAACAAGAAAUAAAAAAUAAAAUUAACUGGAGAAAAAGGAAAGCUAUACCUGGCUGUGACCCCGACGCAUCAGUGGAUGUGGUCUCGGUGGUGCUGCCGAGCCGAUGACGCCGCCUGGCACUAACAGGCUGCGCCACUGAUGACGCGGAUGAGGCAGGCCCCUGGGACCUCGCAGGUGCAACUGCCAAGUGGUCCAUCAGUGCCGGCGCAGUGGCAGGAGAUGCUGGAGCAGUGGCAGCAGAUGUCGGCUGAGUCGGGGGCGCCGUACUCUGCGGGGUCGUCACCGCCCUACGACGUGUAAUCAGGUCUGACAUCUGCACAUUUUCAUUAAUACACAUACAAAUUAAUAAAAUAUACGAAUAUUUGAAAACACAUACAAUUUCAUUCACAUUAUUGACCUAGGGUUUGCGAGUUCGGAGUAUCCGGGACUCCGAUCCACGAUCCGUCGAAUCGUAGACGAUCCAAGAAAUACAAGGUACAACAUACGUGAGUUUGAGUUCGAUCCAACGGUCCGAACAUAACAACCCCGGAAAUCGCACAAUAGGCAAAAUCCAUUCGAGGCGCAAACGGUAACCAAAUUCUAAUCCGAAAACACCUAUGCGCUCGUGACAACUACAGGAAUGCACUAGGACCGAAAUCGGGUUGCUACAGGAACCCACGCGCCGCCCCACGCGCCGGCAGCGCGCGGGUGUCCAAAGCGAUACCAAUCGCCGGAAAAUACUUAAAACUAAGGGGCAAGGUUCCUAUCCUAGGUUCAAAACAUCAAUUGGAGCCACUUUUGUUCUCGGACAUACCCCGAAAAAUGGCCGGAAGUGGCCGGAAUUGAAAAUCAAAAUCCGGCCGAAACUUAGGGUUUCAAAUUAAGUGCCCUAGUGCAACAAAUUCAGAAAUCCUACCCAACCAUCAGCUAAAGCAUUAAAAAUAGGAUAGAAACCAUACCUCAGGUGUCGGAAUUGGUCGCCGGAGGAGGGAGAACACGGCGGAGCCGAUUCGGUGAAAACCGAAGAAUUCGCAGCGGCUGGCUUGACGGCGACGGCGGGGGAGCUCCGGGGUACCACCAACGUAGCGGGCGCGGUCCAAAUCCACCGGGGUAGGAGGCUGAGCUGACGGCGGGGAGAGAGACGGCGGGGAGGAAUUUCAGAAGUCUGGGGAUGAAGGAGGCCAUCGCGUGGUUUCCGAAAUUUUAUUCGUUUUUGCGCGACGAAGCAAAAGUAGCGUCGCGCAAGAAUUUUUAAAUGGCUAUUGCGCGACGAAUAAAAUUAAUGUUCGUCGCGCAAAGUCAUUCAUCCGCCAAAAUUUGGUGAAAGUGUCGUUUUUGCGCUACGAAUAUUCGUAUAUGUCCGUCGCGCAAUGUUGGCAGUCCGCCAAAAUUUGGGAUUUAGGGUUUAGCGGGCGAAUUUUUAUUUUUGCGCGACGCACAAACACAUGUUUCGUCGCGCAAUGUUGGCAGUCCGCCAAAAUUUGGGAUUUAGGGUUUAGCGGGCGAAUUUUUAUUUUUGCGCGACGCACAAACACAUAUUUCGUCGCGCAAUGAUGGCGUCCGCCAAAAUUUGGGAUUUAGGGUUUAGCGGGCGAGUUGGAAUUCUUGCGCGACGUACAAACAGAGCGUCGCGCCUGAAUUUGGUACUAGGGUUUGCGCGACGCAUACAGAGCGUCGCGCAAAACCUCGCAAAAAAAAAAUGACAUGUCUGUCUGUCCAAUGAGACAGGGCUGGCUGAGAUUGCGCGAUGUAAAACUAGCGUCGCGCAAACUCUCCAAAAUGUCAAAGUAUGAAUGAUAUUGCGCGACGACGGAGACAGAUUUCGUCGCGCAAUACCUCGCAAGGAAAUUUCCGCCAAGUGUCCAGGGGGGAAGACAGGCAAAUGUGAAAUGUGAAAUAUUGGCUGAUAUGGCGCGACGAAGGGAGUCUAAUGCGUCGCGCAAGAACCCUAAAAAAAUUUCCACUAAGUGUCCAAGGAGGGACAGAGUAAAAUGUGAAAGUUAUGGUAUGGCGCGACGAACUGAAUUGUAUUCGUCGCGCAAUUCAGGCCUUGUGCGACCAAAUACGUUGUUUCGUCGCGCAAACCCUUUACCCUAAACCCUAAACCCUAAACCGCAGAAACCCUCAACCCGAAACUAGUUUUCAUGAUCCAACCGGCAAACUUUUUUUUUUACACUUCUAGAUCGUAUAUGCCAAAAAUCGACAAAAACAAACUUUAAGAGAUCGAGUCACAUGACGAAACUGAUCGACGGUUGUAAAUGAAAAGUCAUGAUUUAACGGUUAUUUUAGCUCUGAUUUGUAUAAUUUUUUGCAGCUACUUUUCUUUACCCUAUUUGAAUACAAUUAGUGAAUUUGAUCUUCAAUUUCAGAUGUUUACACUAGGGUGAUAUGACAUAAGGUGAUGUUAUAUUUAACGAACGUAUAAGUAAACUAUUUAUUGUUUGUGAAUAUAUGGUUGAUAUGGCAAACGCAUUCUACAAAAGUAGUUUCAGCAAUCCAGCCGUCAAACUCGUUUAUUUGUACUUCGAGAUCUUACACCCCAAAAAUCGAAAAAAUAAAACAUUCAGAGAUCAAGUAACGGGACAAAACUUGUGAACGGUUAUAAAUGAAAACUGAUGAUUUAACGGUUAUUUUAACUCUGAUUUUGAUGAAUUUUUACACCUACACUCCAUGACCCUAUAUGAAUACAAUACUCCAACUCGAUCGUCAAUUUCAAAUAUAUAUGUGUAUAUGUAAUAUAUAUUAUAAAAUGAUAUAUAUUUGCGCGACGAACACAGUUUUAUCGUCGUGCAAACUUUUGCGCGUGACGGAAGACACUUUGUCGCGCAAUGUUUUAACUUCACGCGACUAGUGUAUUUUUGGACGCGCUAACUUUGCACGACGCGGGUUGCUUCGUCGCGCAAAAAUAGCACGACGAGGUCCUUUUCGUCGCGCAAGGGUUUUCUGUUUUGCAAAAUGUUUAUUGUCAAUAGUUUUCAAACUCUAUAUAAAAAUGUUUAUUGAUCAAUGUUUUAUAACAAAUUUUGUAUCAUUUUCAUUUUAAAAAUUUGUUUUGUCAAAAAUAAAAAUAAAAAAUGAUUAUUAAAAGGGUUUGGAUAUAUUGAUUUACCAAUGUUUUAUAACUAAAUUUAUUUGAAUAAAGUGUCAGUUUUCCACAUAUAUAAGGUUUGGAUAUUUGUACUAUAUAUAUUCAAACAUUUGUAUUACACAAAGUCUGUACAGUAACGUAAUAAAAUUACAUCAAAUUUAAUUAUUCAUCAUCUGAACUAUAAUAACUUUCGUUAUCGUCGCUAUCAUCACUUUCGGUCUCCCAAUCCUCCUCCUCCUCGUCUACUAUAAUUACAUCAUCUUCGCUGCUCAUGCCCACUGCAACAUCGAAUCUUGGAAGAUCCCCGAGGUCAAUUGUAAUUGACUGAAUCGGUAUUUCGAUUGAAGACACUCCUUGGAUUUGAAACGGUUCUUGUAUAACAUGUGUAUCUCGAAGUGUUUCCGCAUCAUUUUCCAUUGAUGAUUCUAAACGUUGGUCAGCCACAUUGUCGACGUCGUUGUCAGUUAGGUCUAGUUCUGGUAUAGCAUACACGUUCCUAUGAUCCAUCUUCUGAACAACUUUCCAACUGCUGCCGGCUUUAGGGUCAUCUAGAUACACAAUUUGUGUUGCCAUGUUCGCCAAAAUAUAAGGGUCGUCAUCAUACCAAGUUCUGUUAAUGUUCAUAGAUAGUAAGCCAUGGUCGAUUUUAACACUUCCCGGCCUAUUUGGGUUGCUAUCAAACCAUCGACACUUAAACAUGAUCACUUGGUAUCGAUCUUUGUAAAGCAAAUGAACGACAUUUGUGAGUUUGCCAUAGAAAUCAAUGUUCGUACUUUCGCCUCCACCUGGGACAUGGACACCGCUAUUUUGCGUACACAACUUGUCAUCUCGUGCAGCCCCCAAAAAUUUAACGCCGUUAAUAUAACAACCCGAAAACAAUUCAGCGCGAAUCGGGCCGAAGGCCAAGUUAUAUAACUCAUCACUGUAAGUGGGGGAAUUCGAUGAUUUCAACUUAUUCACCUAAUAUAAUAGAAAAUCAUUCACAUGUUAGUCUGAUAAAAUUAAAUACUACAAUUUAUAUUUGUCAAAUACAAAACACUUAUAACUUACAGAUUCCAAAAACCAUUGUGGAAAUAAUUCACGUUGUUUCUGGGCAACUAAAUGUGAUGGAUAUUCUCGCUUCAUCAUCUCUUCAUGCUCAUCUAAGUAUGCCAUUAUCUCAUCACAAUUGUUCAGUACGAACCAAUGCGCUACUUCCAUGUCAUUUCUAGAAAACGACUCCCCUCGUCCAGGAUCUCCAAAGGGCCGUGCGCUUUGGGCAAAAACAGAAAGUUUUUCCUUUCUCAUACCUCCGUCGUUAUUACGCUGAGGACGAUUGAAAGCCGUCUCCACAUCUUUUAAAUACAUUCCACAGAAAGUAAGCGACUCAUAUUGAACCCAAGCCUCUAUAAUUGAUCCUUCGGGCUUGGCCCUGUUGCGUACACUUUUUUUCAACUCUCCGAGAAGCCUGUCAAAAUAAAAAGAUAUGAUACAAAUUAGCAAGCCUGUGAUAAUGAUGCAUGCACAAAGGAAAAUGAUUAUAUACCUUUCUAUUGGAUACAUCCAGCGAUAGUUGACAGGACCAGCAAGCAAUGCCUCUUCUGGCAAGUGAACCAUCACAUGCAUCAUACUUGUGAAGAAAGCUGGAGGAAAUAUCAUCUCAAACUUGCAUAGGACUUGGACAAUGUCAUGGCGCAACUGAAACAUGUCCGUCCUUCGCAAUGUUUUUGCCGUCAGUUGGGAAAAAAAUCUGGAUAACAAGAUGAUUGGCUUCACCACAUCUUCCGGCAGUAGGUGUCGAAUACCCACAGGAAGUAGGCGUUGCAUAAACACAUGGCAGUCAUGGCUCUUAAGUCCAGUAAAUUUACCCCCAUCGACAUUCACGCAACGUGCGAUAUUAGAAGCAUACCCAUCGGGAAAUUUGACAGACAAUACAAACUUUAGAAACUCUUUUUUGUCAUUCGGUUUCAUAGAGAAGAAUGCAAGAUCCCUUCUAGCUUUAUCACUGUCCCUAUUCAUCCAUAAACCCCUUCGUAUGCCCAUUCUUUCCAAAUCAAGACGAGCUUUGAUCGUGUCCUUCGUCUUUCCCUCGAUAUCUAGAAUCGUGCCCACCAAUGUGUCGAAUACAUUUUCUCAACAUGCAUCACAUCUAGAUUGUGCCUCAAUUUCAGUUUCGACCAAUAUGGGAGCUCAAAAAACAUAGGCUUGUGCGUCCAGUUCAAAUGUGUAGAAGGUCUGGUCCGACUAACUGUUUUUUCCCGAACAGAGCAAAAUCCAAACGGUUCAGCUGUUCCAAGAUCUCAUCACCGGACCAUUCUCUAGGUCUGAGGCGACGCUCUGUGUUCCCGUCGAACUCUUUAUCUUUUUCUCGCCACUCGUGGUCCCAUGGCAACCAUCUCCGAUGACCAAGGUAACAAACUUUUCCCGCGUGCCAACCAGAAGUUACAUCUUCCUUGCAUACAGGACAUGCCAUAUAACCCUUUGUGCUCCACCCAGAAACCAUUGCAUAUGCUGGAAAAUCAUUCACAGUCCACAUAACUGCUGCUCGCAAAGUGAACAUCCUCCCAGUUGCUUUAUCGUACGUGCGAACACCGUUUGUCCAUAAAUCCUUCAGCUCAUCAACCAGAGGCCUUAAGUACACAUCAAUUGACCUGCCAGGAUCCUCAGUUAUCAAAACAGUCAUCAUCAUGUAUUCUUUUUUCAUGCAUUUCCAAGGCGGCAAAUUAUAUGGGAAUGCGAAAAUCGGCCAAGUGCUGUGGUGUUGGUUUAGAACCCCAUACGGAUUGAAUCCGUCAAUGGCAAGUCCCAAUCUAACAUUUCGGGGAUCAGUAGCAAACUCGGGGAACGUUCGAUCGAACUCUUUCCAUGCCUCCCCAUCUGCAGGAUGCCGCAUCACAUCAUCGUCUACCCGUUUUUCCUUAUGCCAUCUCAUGUCUGUGGCAGUAUGCGUCGACAUAUACAAUCGCUGCAACCUAGGUUUAAGGGGCAGAUAACGCAUGACUUUUUGUGGUAUCUUAGUCGUUCUAUUCUGGGAUGUCAUUUUGAACCUCGACUCAUUACAUAUAGGGCAUGUAUCCAACGUUUCAUGCUCUUUGUAGAAUAACAUGCAAUUGUUUUUGCAAGCGUGGAUUUUUUCAUAACCCAAUCCAAGACCGUGCAACACCUUCUGUGCAUGUUUAUGAUCUUUCGGCAAACAAUUGUCCGUCGGAAGCAUUCUCUUGAAAACCCCCAAAAAGUAAUCGAAACACAAGUUCGACAUACGAUACUUUAUUUUUCCGUGCAUUAGCUCCACAAUGGCAGUGAGAACGGAAAAGCUCUCGCACCCCGGGUAUAACUCUUGGUUGGCAUUUUUUAACAGUUUUUCAUACUGUUCAAACUCCGCACUGUCUAUUGGUGUAGGCACGUCAUCUUCCCCUUCCUGAUUGAUGUUGGUCGAUGCGAAUGAAAAAGCAUCCUGUAUAAUACCCAUGACUUGAUCAUUAUGAUCCAUAAUAGGUUCAACAUUGUCCACUCUUGGGGCAUUUGAAGACGAAGCAUGGUCUACUUGUUCGCCGUGAAGAUUCCAAAUGAUAUAUGUUUCAAUCAUUCCAUUCCUUACUAAAUGAAAUCCAACAUUUUCAAUUGUCUCCCACAACGUGUUGUUACACCUCCUACAAGGGCAACGGAUUCUAGUUGCACCCGGAUUGUGUCUACGUGCAAACUCAAUAAAAUCCUCGAUUCCAUCCAAGUAUUCGUCUGCGCAUCUAUUUGGGUUCUGUAUCCACCUUCUGCUCAUAAUUCCUGAAACCACAAUCAUGACACAACAAUCACAACAACUUCAUACGAAGUUAUAAUGUCACCUUAUGCCUCCGGUAAGGGCCCUAUCCCAUUCGGGAAUGCAUAGUCCUGUCACGUAACCUACGGCUACAUGAGAUUAGAUUUCGACGUGGAUUAAUUUCGGCAGCAUCUCGGCACAGUUCUUGAAGUGGGCAUAGGUAUAAAUACCUACGUACCACCCGAAGAACGUACCGAGAUGACACCGAAAUCUCCACAAUCGAAACCUAAUCCUGUAGCCGAAGAUUAUGUGACAACACUAUGCAUUACCAAACUGUCCAAAUAAUGGGACAAUUCAAGAAUUAAUUGGACCGCAGUCAUGCCUUACGCAUCCAUGCACGAAAUCCAACUAAUCUCGAACGGGAAACUACGUGUUACUAAACAUAAAAAUAAAAGUACGAAGUUAAUUUCAAUUAACUUCGUACAUCACAAAUACAUUGUGCUACGUCACGCACAAUUUCACAACAUUAUACACAUAAAACUUGACAAAAAAAUUACAAACUUAACAAACAAACUUUUACAAUAACAUACCUUCUCAAUCGUUCUCCACUAAUCACAGAUAUCCCUAACGAGAACAAAAUUAAUAGCGUUAGUACGAAUUUACAUUAAUACAUUUAAACUAAUGACAAAAAAUACAUAUCCAAUUAACGUACUGAAUUCACAGCAGAGCAGCGGCAGGAGGAGUGAGAGAGAGGAGAGAGAGGCAGAAUGCAAUUUCUGCAUUCUGCCUCUGCAAUGGCAAAUACUAAUAUGAAGAAGAAGGACUUUGCGCGACGAAGAGUAAAUUUCGUCGCGCAAACAGCCGUCGCAAAAGGACACUUUUCCGUCGCACAAAACAACAUUUCCGUCGCGCAAAUACGUGCCGACAUCUGCUUUUUUGCGCGACGAAGAACACUGUUCGUCGCACAAACAUUCGUCGCGCAAAUUAUAUUUUUCGUCGCACAUGGUUUACAUUUCGUCGCGCCUAAUAUUAAUUUCGUCGCGCAAGAGCUCACCGGCAUUCAACUUUUUGCGACGACGAAAAUCCGUCGCGCAAAAAAAAUUUUACCCGCCCUUCAUUUUGGCGCCAAAAAAAAAUAUCCCUCGUUUUCUUACGCGACGGUACAAUUGUUCGUCGCGCUAAGUUGUCUUUCGAGACGACAACUUCUGUCGCGCAAAUUUUUUACCCGCGAAAAAAAAGGGGUCCCUUUUCUGUCCAUCUUUACGCGACGAAUCAUUUAUUCGUUGCGCAAUAUUGGCAUGCGCGACGAUUUUUGUCGUCGCGCAAGAUUUUGGCGCCAAAAAAAAAACCGGGUUUUUUUCUAUUUCCUUUGCGCGACGAAAUUAAUAUAGGUCGCGCAUACACUUUUUGCGCGACGAUUAUUUUUGUCCCGCUAUUUUUCUGUCUUUUUCGUCGCAAUAGUGUUGUUUGCGCGACGAAAACGUCUUCGUCGCGCAAAUAGUAAAUCGUACUAGUGUUCAAACAUAGUUGGUAAACUGAAAUAGUAGAGUUGUACAAAGAAUAAACCUCGGAGAACAGAGCCAGAAGCACAAGGCUGCUUCAAGCUAGAACCACAAGCAAGACGUGCUCCUGUAAAACUGUAAGGAUAAAACAAUUAAUAGCAAACCAUUAAGGAUAUAUAAUAUAACUACUGGACAAGUAUACAGUAAGUUGCAAAUUAUAGAAUGUAGACGCAAUGCUGAAGGAAAAUAUCAUAAUAACGGAAAGGUCAAUUUUUACACAACAUUGGAACCAAAGGAGUUUACGCCAUUUUUUAUUAUAAUAAGUAGGAAUUUAAGCAUUUGAAAAAUAAUAUAUAUACAUCCAAAAUGAUACUCGUGCUUGAUGAAACUAUUAUAAGUGGCAGUCCAGAAGUCAGCCCAGUCCUACACCAACAGUAGGGGUGGGCGAAACCAGACUGAACCAGACCGAACCAGCUAGUUUGGUUAGGAUUUUGACAAAAAUUAAGGUCAUACGGUUCAAAAUCCAGCUCAGUUCAGCUGGUGGUUUCAAUUCCCUCAGGAACGAGAGAACAUAACCGAAUAAUUUCCCACUCUUUUUAUUAAUUCCAUCCGUAUCCCUCCUAUAUAAUCAUCUUUUUCCCCUAGCUCUAGCCACAUAAACCUAUCUCUCCAGUGAAGGAAUUAAACAAAGACAUCCUUCGCAUAACUCCUUUAGCAUGCAGACAAACACAAAACAAGGAUGUAUUUAAAAAUAAUAUAUAUUAUAUGAGUAUGAUAUAUAUAUAUAUAUCCAAUUUUCUAUAACAGGGUUAACCGUAUUUGCGGAUAACCAAGGUCGCCCGGCUAGUGCAUUUUGGUAAACUGGCCGUGCAAAAUCUGGUUAUCCACUAGUGUGGUUAACCAUAUUAUAGAAACACGGAUAUAUAUAAGUAAUCCCCAUUAACUCUCUUACAAUAAGAAUUCGUAAUUAUUGCUGAUGCCAAUACAUCAAUACAAGGGAAUAUAAAAGGAAAUGAGAAUCAGAGUUUAAUGGGAUUUACUUGAAUUUUGGAAUUGUAAAGAAUUGCAUUGGAACUCUUCCGGUUAACUCAUUCGAUGAAAGAUCCCUGCCCAAAAAAAAAAGGAAUUAAUAAAUGGUAAAGAAUUUCACACAGUGUGCAAGCUCAGAUGGGCAUGCAAUUAUAUUUAGGCAAUAAGUCAAACAGCAGGAUUGCGAAAAAAAGGAAUUGCUUACAGUUCAGUCAACCCGCUAAUAUUUGAAAGUGAAUCCGGAAUAUGUCCAGAUAUGUGGUUACCCCUCAAUACCCUGAAGCACAGGUGAGAUGAUUAAAUUUUCUUUUCUGGAGAACAGGAAAGUGUUCACAAGAUAGUACUUUCCAAUAUAAACAGUUGUAGAACACUCAGAUAAGACAACAGCAUAAGUAACUGCUACAGAUCAAGGCAAAUCCCCAAUAAAUACAAGAACAUUUUACAUAUAUAGACGAAUAAGAAAGUUGGAAUAUUUUAGGAAGGGAAAUGCAGCCUUACAAAUGCUUUAAAUUGGACAGUUGACCCCAGGUAUUGGGUAUAGGACCUCUGAAAUUAUUGUUUGCAAGAUUUAGAUUCUGUAGAUGUGUCAUGUUGGCAAGAUAAAUGGGUAACAGGCCUGUUAGACUAUUAUCCUGGAAGUCCCUGCAUAAAUAAAGUUAUUUUAUCAAAAUUCAUGACUGGAUGCAAAAAAAUAUAUUCUUCAGAAUUAAACAAACAAGAACUACAAUAAUGAAGGCAUUGGUAUUAUAUUCCACUUUUUUCUAUGACUCAGGUUGACAGUAUGUAAAGUUACAAUGAUAAAGGGAAAACUUAAAUUCUCCCUCUCUCUCUCCCUCUCUCUCUCUCUCUCUCUCUCUCUCUCUCUCUCUCUCUCUCUCUCGGUACCAGAGCACAUACUAGUGAUCCAAAAUCAGGUUUCAGCCAAUGUUACAUUUUCUGACACCAUCAGCCCAGAAUACUAAUGCAUCAAGAAGUUGACUUACAGGCUAGCCAAAAAUUUCAGUUUAGUAAUCGAAGGAGAAAGCGUUCCAGAAAAUCCAUUAGAUGCCAGGCUCCUGCAAAGUAGUACAUUCACAAACUAAAUGUACUGCAAUGAUAAAUGAUUUUCAAAGAUGGCGAUAUUAAUAAAAUAUAUAUUUUUCAUGAUCAUAAAAUUUAGUUUAACUUACAGGGAUAUGACAUUUCCAUUUCUACAAGAAACAGGGGCUAACGAGAUUAUAAUUCCAAUCUGUUAUUCGGCCACUGGAAUCAUUCAGUGCCCUAAGCAAAUCGAUCAAUGCUUCACCUGCACAUUAUCGUAAGUGAAGAACGAAAUUGUAUGUAGAACCAUAAAUGGCUGGUGAAAAGAACUUUUGUUUAUAUUACAAUUCUAAUAAAUGAAAAAUGAAAAAUUCUUGGACUUAGGUAAGGCAUAACACAGAAACCAUGUGAGUACGGCAGUAGAUAAGGUAGAACACAGAAACCCUGUGAGCACAACAGUAGAUAAGGCAGAAGCAAAGACAAAGGGCAAGGCCACAACAACAACAACGACAAUGACCACAUCAACGGAAAGCAAAGCAAACAAAGACAACAUCAACGGCGGCAACAUCGACCACAACAGAAACACACCAGCAAAGGCAUGAGCAACAAUACUGACACCAUAACAUGCAUGAGCAACAAUACUGGUACCGAACAACAGCAAUACAAGGCACUGGCACCAGCAAGAGUAUUAAGGCAGGGACAUAACAGACAUCAUCAAUAGUAAUCAACAUUGCCCCCAACAAGAGUUAUAAUAGGCAGGAGCAAUAAUACUGUCCCCAACAAAAGACAUAAUAGGGAUAAGCAACGGUACUGGCACUAGCAAAGGACAUAAUAGUCAGCAGCAAUAACAAUGGCAAAUACUUCCAUUAUCGCACAAACAACUUAUCUUCAUUCCCCCUCUCCCCUUGAAGAGAACGAGUCAUCAGAACCAUAAGAGAAGUGGCACUUAAGAAACAGAAGCUGAUUGACGCUCAAAUGUAGAACAAUCAGUCAUGGCAGAUAGGUAGCUAAAUUGCAGUGGAAUAGAUAAGCAGCGAUGUCACUCCCCCUCAAAUCCGACGAUGUAUGAGAGUCGAGAUUUGGAGAAAGCAACACCGAAAAAUAAAGUUGCAUCUAUUUCCCCAUCAAAUCUGACACUGGUAAAGGGUCGAGAUUUGGAAGAAGAUAAAUUGAAAUAAUAGUAAAGAGACUCAAACAUGCCAGUCUCGUGGCAGAAACAAAUGCAAGAGGGGAAGGUGGUAGCAUACGGCUGUCCCAUGUAGAAAAAACUUUAGAAAAAGAGAAUAGUAAGGGAGGAAACCCAACAAAUCAUGAACAGAGACAAAGACAAAGAUAAGGUGCUCAAACAGGAAUUAGAGCAAAGGGCACCGAAAAAAGGAAACCUUUCAUGUGUGGAAUAGGAAUAGAUAGAGUGCCCAUCAAAAGGAAGCAAUAUUAUAUAAGGGAGUUGUGAAAGCGAGAGAUAAUGCAGCGAGAAAACAACAAAAUGGAAAAGGUUGGUAAAAGAAAGAUGAGAAAUAGAGAGGACCUGAAAAGAGUUUGGUUGCAUAGCAGGGGAAACCACAUCCAUAGAUCAAAGAGGAAGAAACUAAAGAUAUUUAAAAAGUAAAGCAUGGGAAAUUGCAUGUGACAAUUUUUAAAAAGAAACUAGUGGAAGAAAGUGAGGUGCUAGAACCGAAAAAAGGAUAGAAUAAUGCUGUGAUUGAAGGAAAAUAAUGACAAAGGAAGGUAUCUGUGAGGAAAUAGACAGACAGAGAAAGGGAUGAAUAUUGGAAAGAGGCCAAAGGUAGAAAGAAAUAAGCAUAAGGGUAAAAAGGAAGGAGAUAGAAAAAUAAAUAAUAAAUACCCAACGGGAAAGGCUAGAGUGACAAAGCUAGAGAGAUGGCAUGGGGAAAGAACACAACAAACACCAGCCAUUGGGCAUAGACAAACAAAAGAGAUAAACAUAAAUAAAAGAGAGCUAAAUAGAGCAAAGAGAGAAACAAAGAAAGGGUGCUCAAAACUGAGAAGCGGAAAGGCAACUCAAGAGAACAGCCGAAGAAGGCAGAGAUCGGCAGAACAGUCAAAGGAAAGGCUCGGUCAUGAGUGGUGACAAGGCUCGCGGAGGAAAGCAACGGCACGGUAAACGGUGACAAGGCUCACGGAGUAAAAAGACCUGUUAUGAAGUUUCAAAGAUAAAGAAGCUGGGACAUCAAGAAAGACCAUCUGGCAUACAAAGAUUAAAAAUAAAAAAAUUUGGAACAAUAGCAAAAAAGCAUGUGAAGGCUAGGUGUGGUGAAAACACAUAUGAGAGGAUUGAUCAAAAGAAGAUGACUAUACAAGAUGAAGACCCAUGAUGGGUUAGGAAUGAGGAGUGUCAACGACUCUCAAUUUGACAGAGGUUAUCACAUGUUAGAAACUAGGCUCUGAUACCAUGUCAAACAAAGUAUGGUAAAUAUUCAAUUAUGCUCAGAUAUGCUCAUAUUUUUAUUCUUCUCCAAUAUGGAGGUAUUUAUACAAGUACAAAGCUGUGUUAACCCUAAAUAAAAUAGGAAAUAUAUCUAAAUUACAAUAGGAAGUAAAUCUCUAUUACAAUAGGACUAAAUAAUAAUUGGUAAGUAACCAAAAUUCUAAUAAAAUAAGGAACCAAAAUCCUAACUAAAUAAGGACUUGCCAACAGCACGACCUUGAUGCACUAUGAGAAUCGAGGCGCUGGCCACAAUGUUGGACGAUGCCAAUGCAUCUCCCAAGGGUCCGAGCUCCGGGCAGUCACCCCACUCGGAUAGCCCGAACGUGAGUGGUGAGGAACCUGUUUGCCCUCUUCCCACGAUAUAAAGAUCAUAGUCAUUUCCCAUGGCGCUUAUCAAUUUGAGAGUUUCUUCUCCAUUGUUCAACACCUCGUGAAUUAAUUUUAUGGAAGGUUGGUUCCUAGUAUUGAGCACAAAGCUCUCUAUAUAUUGGUCGUCUAGUUGUUUCUCCUUCUCAUUUUCCUCUAUCACCUCUAAAAUAUUCUUCUUUUCGUCCUCAUCAUGAUCGUGAUCAUUAUUAUUAGGAUUGUUGGGAGGGAGAUCUGAAUGAACUGCCGCAUCUUUACUGACGAUGAAACGAACCACAGUUAAGCUGAUAUUAGGUUUAGGGUUAGGAUUGCUGGCUAUCCUCCAUGCAUAUGCCAAUGCCUCGCGGUCAUCUGACCCACUAAUGAAGAGCAUGGCACAGCGGCAGCAGCCAUGGCCAUCUUCAUUUUUAAUGUUAGAUGAAUCGGUGAGUCCACGAUCCACGAAGAUGGCCACCGAACAAGAAGCGUUCUCUAGAAGAUUCUUGUUAAUGCCUCUAAAAGAGGGGUUUUCGUUGUCCAUUCCCCCGUAAAUGGUGGAUUGCUUGUGGAAAGGAAUGAUUAUGAGGUCUGCACUCUUGUCGUCCGCAAGGUUGCAAAUGUCCUCAUGCAUGGAGGCGUAAGAGGACACAACAGUUAGUGCCUCCACGAACAAGCUGCUUUCUUCACUUUCGUUCUCAAGUUUUUCAAAGGCAGCGACAAUUUGGUCAGAAGGCGAAGAGUGCUUUUGAUUUUUGGCUGUAAUUUUACUUGUCUUACGAAUAUUGCUGCAUGUGUCGUGGACUAUGAGCAUGGCAGAAGCAUGGCCACUGAGCUCCACCAGAUGGACCGCAAAGACGAACAUCGGGGAUUGUUUGGUGGGAUUGGAAAUCUCCAACAGAUUGAUGACGCUUGAAACAUUGCUUGUUGAAUGGAAGCAAGUAAGGAUUCGAAUCUCUGAGUUGGGUUGUAUGCUUCUUAUGCUUCUGUGCGUGUGCUGCUUAGAUGGCACAUUCGACUUGUAAAUCAAAGCCAAAAUGGGUCCAACCGCGGCCGUCAUUAUCAAAAUUGCAAGCAUCAUUACUGAAAAAGUAUUAUGGUCCAAAACCUGCAUUUAUAUAUAUAUAUAUUUGCCAAUUAAAACAAUAUAAAAUCAGGAAUUUAACACAUGGUUUUAAGAUAUAUAUUUCUUAGAUGUAAUCUAUGUGUACUAUUAUUUAGGAGAACACUUGGUACCAUUGUGUUAAAUUUCGGAGAGACGGGCCAGCGGUCCAUUACCAGCAACACCAAUAUUAUCCCCAACUUGAUUAAUUAAUCAUGGAAUAUUGUGUGUAUGUGGGUGUGGAAGAGGCAGCUGCACAUGCAAUAAUGAAAUAGUUGUACAUAAUGUUGGCGUGGCUUGUGGAUAUUGACUUACUUUCCUUACACACCAAGAAUUCCUAUUAUAAUUGUAAUUGAUUUAUUUUAAUUCCUGAUUUCCUACUGUAAAUGGAUUUAGGAAUUUAUUAUUUACUUGCCCAUUCAGGUUUCGUUGUAUUAUAAAUAUGACAUCCUACAAGGAGAAGAAUACACAGAAAAUUCCCACAAACAAAUAUUCUCUCAUAGUUUUCAUAUUUUAGCAUGGUAUCAGAUUGGCGAUCUUGGAAUUGCUGACUCUAGUUUCAAACCCCCGCCGCCGCUAUGGGGGUUGAUGAUUUUUUCAACCCUCAUGGAGGUAGCACCACCGACUCCUUCUCUCAUUCUCAACCAACCAUCGUUGAGUUGAGUGCCCAGAUGGCUCAGCUCCUACAGAUGCAGACUUUGACCCCGAACCCGAUCCAGAAUCAGGAUCCUCUUUUGACGACCCUGACCCCGACCCCGACUAUGAUGAUGACGACCCCGACCCCGACUCCGAAGACGACCCCGACCCCCACUCUGAUGACAACCCCGACCUCGAAUUUGUCUCUGAUUCAGACCCCGAUACUGAUUUCGACUCCGACUCCGGCCCCGACUUAGGCUCAAAUUCCGAUCCAAAUUCCUACUCAACCUGUAUCCUAUGCAUCUUCCGUUGCACAGAUUAUGACUUCUCGACUAACGACCCCGACACAUGGACCAGAUUGCGCAUAUUGUGGUGAUCCGAGACACACUUGUGAGACUUGUUUUAAAUUGCAUGGCUACCCCGAUUGGUGGGCUGCUUUUACAGAUCGAGGACAAUGCAAUAUGACCAGUAAUGGUACUGGUUAUGGAUUCCAUACUUCCGAUAAGAUUGAUUCCAGGAGCUGGAUAAUUGAUUCUGGUGCAACUGAUCAUAUGACGUUUGAUCCUGAUGAUUUUCUGAAUACUACACAACCUCGACGAACCUGUAUUGCAAAUGCCAAUGGUGUUACUUAUCCUGUGACAGGGGCUGGCACUGUUGCACUUUCAUCCUCUCUCACACUGUCUAAUACUUUACUUAUUCCAUCUUUAUCCACUAAAUUGUUGUCAGUUAGUCAGCUUACUGAACAAUUGAAUUGUUGUGUACUCAUUUACCCGAGUUUUUUGUUUGCUUCAGGAUAUUCACACUAAGGAGAUUCUUGGUCGUGGUACUAAGAGAGGGGGGCUAUAUUAUGUCGAUGACUUCAGUCCCGGCGUGGCUAACAGUGUGACACAUCCCUUUGAUAGCAAACAAAAGCAAAUCUGGUUGUGGCACCGUCGAUUGGGACAUCCGUCUUUUCGAUAUAUGAAGCAUCUUAUACCAGAUUUAUUCUCAGGUUUCAAGGACUUCGACUUCACAUGUGAUACUUGUAUUUUGGCCAUGAGUCACCGUGUGCCCUACCCGUUGAGUACGAACAAGUGUACUACUUCAUUUACCUUAAUUCACUCUGAUGUCUGGGGACCUUCGCCUAUCACUGCUCCUUCUGGUGUUCGAUGGUUUGUCACAUUCAUCGAUGAUUGUACACGGAUGACAUGGCUUUAUUUGUUGAAGAAUAAAAAUGAAGUGUUUUUCCAUUUUCAGUCUUUCCAUAAACAGAUGAAAACUCAGUUUAAUGCUCAAAUCCAGAUUCUUCGCUCAGACAAUGGUGGAGAAUUUGUCAAUCAUGACUUUCAGACUUACUUCCAACAACAUGGAAUUAUCCAUGAGACGACUUGUCCUCAGACACCGCAGCAAAAUGGCAUUGCUGAACGAAAGAAUCGACAUCUUCUUGAAACCGCCCGAGCACUUCUGAUUGGCGCUCAUGUUCCUCGUCAUCACUGGGAUGAUGCUAUUGUCACCGCAGUUCACCUGAUCAACCGCAUGCCUUCUGGUGUAUUGAUCUUUAAAACUCCCUUAUAGGUGCUUGCAGAACACAGACCUCUGCCCUCUGUUUUGGUACUCACACCUCGAAUCUUUGGAUGUGUGGCUUUCGUUCAUCUCCACAAAAAUCAACGUAGCAAACUUGAUCCCUGUGCGCUUCGUUGUGUUUUUGUGGGUUAUGCCACUCAUCAGAAAGGUUACCGCUGUUAUCACCCUCCUACCCAACGAACCUAUGUCACUUUGGAUGUGACCUUUAUGGAAUCUGAGAUGUUCUUCCAUGACCAUCAUCCAAUUCUACGCUUCAGGGGGAGAUACAAAGUGAAGAGCAGAAUUGAAGCAACUUGGAAAACAAAGAAAUUAUUCUCUGUACAGAAAUGAUUGAUCAUCCCGAGUCUGGAGCACGAGAUUACUCUCUGUCGAAAAGCGACCAAUCGCCCAUUCAUAGCGAUCAAUUGCCUAACCCACCUGAUCCAUGCGAAGAUAUUUCUGAUCUAAGUUUCACACCUACAGGCAAUACAAAACAACAAGAUGAAGACCCCCUCUCUAACUCAAUAGUACCAACACACCAAUCUCCUGAGAAUAUCCUUGAGGUAACUACUCCUACUAGACUUGUACAUUUAGAUGAUAAAACUAUUCGAUAUCAAUUACCUUUCAGGCAAAAUCGUGGGAAGCCACCAAACCGUUAUUCACCUGAUAUUGGCAAGACAUCCAAGUAUCCAAUUGCAAAUCAUGUAUCCACUGAGAAGCUGUCUGAACCACUCAAGGCUUUUGUGCAUCAGUUGUCUGCUAUCUAUAUUCCAACAAAGGUCUCUGAAGCAUUGAAAGAUCCUAAGUGGGUCCAAGCUAUAAAAGAGGAGAUGAAAGCUCUUGAGAAAAAUCAAACUUGGACAUUGGAGACUAUACCACGAGGAAAAAAAACUAUCGGAUGUAGAUGGGUGUUUACUAUAAAACACAAUGCAGAUGGAUCUAUCGAGCGAUACAAGGCAAGACUUGUGGCAAAAGGGUACACACAGACCUAUGGUAUAGACUAUGAAGAAACCUUUGCUCCAGUUGCAAAGUUAAACACCGUCAGAGUCUUAUUGUCCUUUGCAGCUAAUUUGGAUUGGCCACUACACCAAUUUGAUGUAAAGAAUGCUUUUCUACAUGGUGAACUCACGGAGGAGGUGUACAUGGACAUUCCUCCUGGAUAUAAUACUUCUCAGAUUGGAACAGUUUGCAGGUUACGAAAAGCAUUGUAUGGAUUGAAACAAUCACCACGUGCAUGGUUUGGACGGUUCACCAUGGCAAUGAAGAACAAUGGUUUCAAACAGUGUAACUCAGAUCAUACUCUGUUCUUGAAACAUCGAAAAGGGAAGGUAACAGCAUUAAUAAUCUAUGUUGAUGAUAUGAUUAUUACUGGGAAUGAUAAACAGGAAAUAUCACAGCUACAAGACUAUCUGGCUACGGAGUUUGAGAUGAAGGAUCUAGGUGGACUCAAGUAUUUCUUGGGAAUUGAGGUGGCUCGAUCACAGCAAGGCAUAUUUCUCUCUCAAAGGAAAUAUGUCUUGGACUUGUUGACAGACACAGGAAUGCUAUAUUGCAAACCUGCGGACACUCCUAUUGUUCAGAAUCAUCAUCUUGGAGAAUAUCCGGAUCAAGUUCCAACUAACAAAGAAAGAUACCAAAGGUUAGUGAGAAGAUUGAUCUAUUUGUCACAUACUCGACCAGACAUUGCUUAUGCAGUGAGCGUUGUUAGUCAAUUUAUGCACUCUCCAAGUGAAGAUCACAUGAAUGCAGUUCUUCGGAUACUUAGAUAUUUGAAGUCUGCACCUGGAAAAGGACAUAUGUUCUCAAAGCAUGGUCAUCUAAAUAUUGAUGGUUAUUCAGAUGCAGAUUGGGCAGGUAAUGUAACAGAUAGAAAAUCCACAUCGGGUUACUUCACAUUCGUGGGAGGUAAUUUGGUGACAUGGAGGAGCAAGAAACAGAAUGUAGUAGCUUUAUCCAGUGCAGAAGCCGAGUUCAGAGGCAUGACUAAAGGCAUUUGUGAACUUCUUUGGUUAAGAAAGUUGCUUACUAAACUUGGGUAUAAACCUACAUCCACAAUGAAUCUCUUUUGUGACAACAAGGCUGCUAUAGCCAUUGCACAGAAUCCGGUUCAGCAUGAACGUACUAAACAUGUUGAGGUGGAUCGACACUUCAUCAAACAGAAGCUUAAGGCUAAAGUGUUUCAGUUUCCUUUUGUGAAAUCCGAGGAUCAAUUGGCGGAUAUUUUGACAAAGGCAAUUUCCAGUAAAGCAUUCCACAAUUCACUAGAUCAGUUGGGUAUUGACGACAUCUAUGCACCAACGUGAGGGGGAGUGUUGGCAUGACUUGUGGAUAUUGACUUACUUUCCUUACACACCAAGAAUUCCUAUUAUAAUUGUAAUUGAUUUAUUUUAAUUCCUGAUUUCCUACUGUAAAUGGAUUUAGGAAUUUAUUAUUUACUUGCCCAUUUAGGUUUCGUUGUAUUAUAAAUAUGACUUCCUACAAUGAGAAGAAUACACAGAAAAUUCCCACAAACAAAUAUUCUCUCAUAAUAUUCAUAUUUUAGCACAUAAUAGUAUAUACAUACAUGUAAGUCCCGCCCAGAAUUGAGGAUUAUUAUAGCGAGCAGGCCUUUGGUGUUCAUGACUAGUCCGAAAGCCAAACUGUCCCUCACCGACAUUUUGUUGAUGAUGGCAGCGACGAAAGUCACAACAAAUUUAGCGAGGAAAGCCAGGGCAACAAUUGACAUGACAAUUAGAAGGCUUGUACUGCGAAAGACAACAACGACAUGCGUUCUCAUCCAAGAAUCAAAAAGAAGAGUGGCAACAAGAUUUUUGACACAAAGUCCUCAACCUUUUCGGUGAUUGCAGUUUUGAGCUCUCCCUUGGGCAAAAUGGCUCCCAACAUGAAGGCCCCAAGAAUGGAGUGUGACCCGAACGCAUCACUAAUGAACCCAAACAGUAGAACCCCGGCCAUGAUAAAGCAUAUUUGGCUGUCCAGGUCGUACUUUUCUUCAAAAAAGCUCGUGUUGCUAACCAUCCACGACAGCGCUGGACGAAGCCCGUAUACACAGAAUAUGAUCAAUGUGAAAGUGGACAACACUGUGUAAAGUUUGCCAUCGCUGAUUGUGGCCACCGUGAUGACAAGAAGAACUGAAGACAUAAGGUCGUUGAUGACGCUUACGGAGAGGGCGGUCCGGCCAACGUCACUGUGCAGUAGCUUGGCAUUGGCAAGUACUCGGGCAAGUUCGGCGAAGUUGGUGGUGGUAAGGGUGAUGCCCCAGAAGAAAGGACCAUAAGUGGUAGCCUUUAGUGGGCGGGAGUUGGGUGUUAGGGUUUUAUGCAGGAGAUAGCCAAGAGGGAGGGGAACCAGAAUUCCAGCAGCGGCAAUGCUCCAAACUUUUUUCUGGCCUGCAAAAUUGGCUUGAAAUCGACCUCUAAGCCCUGGAGGAACAUGUAGUAUAUCAACCCCAAGUUGGCCAUUGUCUCUAUGGUCAAUGUGCUUUUGACUGGAAAUAGGUAUUUGCGAGAGAACUGGGUUUUCUGGACAUAAGAUGGACCCAAAAUUAUGCCACCCUGCAAUGUGCGUGCCAAUGUAUUAUUAUUUGUCUUUGUCAUUAAAAUAUCAAUAUUAUAUUUAUAGAUGUGAUAUUCUCAAUGAAAAUUCGUGUUUCACCAGGUAAUCGUUUGUCUCUCGCUAUAAAAUUCUGAUCAUAAAGCAUAGAGCAUAGAGCAUAGAGAUAUAGAAUAGAAUUACAGCUUACUUACAAUAAUGUAAGCAAUGAUGCGAGGUUGGUGCAAAGGUGCAAGGAGAAGCUUGAGAAGGUGGCAUAUAAACAUAAUGAGACCUAGUUGGGUGAAGAAGAGAGGAAGAGUUGAAAGCAAGGCAUUCUCAGCCUUCCACACCCCAGUCACGUGUGUUAUCGUUUUAUUAUAACAUACCCUCGUAACAUCUGCUUCUACUACCCCGCCAUUGUCUCGUAGCGCAUCAUCCAUUACGUACGAUACUUAUAUUUACAAUUUUCUUUUUAUAAAAGCGUUGUUAAAGAAUUGGAGGAUUCAAACAAAAGACCUCAAAUGCAAAAGAAACUGUCCUUACCUACUUGAGCUACAAACUCUAUUUACAAAUUAGAUAAUAGGAAUUCAAGGUUUCUGUCAGCCCUCCCAAGCUACAUCAGGACGUCUUUCUUUUGCCUUGGAUGAAGUCCAAAUCGCUAGAAACACCACUUCCAUCAAAGACAAAGACAAAGACUAUGACAAUGAAACUAGAAAAGAAAAGUGAUUGUUAUCAGACAACAAAAAUUAAAGAGGAAUGAAUAGAAAUCAAAGUUUCAAUACUGAGGGAUUAAUUAGUUAAUUAGUUGCGCCUAAACUAGCUGUAAACUCUUCUUAAUUUGUUGGCUGUUAGUUCAGUUUGGUUGGCAUCCACGCAUUAUUAGACUUUUAUUUUUAUUUUUGGUGGCAUCCAUAUAUGCAUUAGAAUCUUCUUAUUGAAUUGAAUUGGAUUGGUUGGCUUUUCGAUCUCUUCCAAUUUUCCAUAAAUAAAGUUCUGAUGAAUCUCUACAUGUUUUGUUCUAUCAUAUUGAAUUGGAUUUUCAGCAAUCUUAAUUGCUAACUAAUUAUCACAAUACAACUACAUAGUAUCCUCAGUAGGAAAACGCAGCUCCCCCAUAAGCCUUUUCAACCAUAUAUAGCAGUUCACGAACACCUUUCACCAUAGCCUGAUAUUUGGAAAAUAGUAAGUAAACGCAGGGAGAAGUAAGAAAUUGGAAUCAUUCUAAUAACCAUGUGUAAGUAAACGCAAGAAAAGAAGGAAUUGGAAUGAUUCUGAUGCCUCUUUCUCUGUGUUAAAGUAAGUUUUCUUAAUGUUUUAUUAUUACUAAAAAUAAUUGAAAGAAUGAAAUUUUGAAUAAGAGAUGUGGAUGUCCGACUCAAGCUACCAUAUAAAUUAGUUUACAAAUUAAUGUAUAUAGAAUUGUGGUAUGAGUUAAAGAAAGAGAUAUAAAAUUAUGGUAUAUGAGUUGUAUUAUUGUUGGUGCUUGAUAUGAUAUAAGAACAUGGUAGGCAAGCUUAGUUUGCGCUAGGCACGCCCUCAGUGAGUGAGAAUGAAGGUAUUGAAGAAAGAUUCUGCUACUUUUGAGGAAAGAUUUACGGGACAGGUGUGGUUUCAGUGCGUGUUUGCAGCCAUUACGCUGAUACUGCUGGCGGGGUCGGUGCUUGGGAGGAUGAACUUCAAGGCGUGGAUGAUGUUCGUGCCGCUUUGGCUUACAUUUUCGUACACUGUCGGAGCUUUCAGCUUGUGGGGUGGAGGGUUCUUGUUCCAUUGGGGUGUCAUGGACUAUUCCGGUGGUUAUGUCAUUCAUCUUUCUUCCGGGAUUGCUGUCUUCACUACUGCUUACUGGGUAAAUUAAUUAAAUAAUUAACUACGCUAUUGCUAGUUUUCUUUCUCUCCAUUAGUCAACGUCUACAGGCCUGGUAAUUAUUGAUUAAAUAGUGCAUUAAUUCCUUGUAAUUAUAAAAUAGUGGCUUUAAUUUCUUUCGUUUUCUUCUUGAAUUUAAUAGUGACUAAACUCACACAUACUAUACGGAUGCUAAGACUCGAACUCAGAACCUUUCCAAACCACUGUUACACUAGAAUCAAUAGGAUCGAAUAUAUACAUAUUCCAUAAAGAAUUAAUAGGAUCAAAUUGAUGAGAUUCAAUUACAAGAUUCCCUGAAAAGGUGGAAGAAGAAACAAAAAGUCCUCCCUUAGGUUACUUAAAUUAAAACUGGCUUCUUAAUUAUUCAAAAGUAUCUGUGGAUGAAUCAUGGAUCAUCAGAAUCCUUAGACUUCGCAUCUCAUGCCUUAGACUUCGUGCAUAGUGAUCACAUAUUUUCUAUUCGCAAACUAUCUUUUAGGGUAAAGUCUACUAGGUUGGAAUAUUAUUAUUUUAAUUGGGUUACAAAGUUAUAAUAUUAACGAUGAUGACCUACAAAUAGUUUUAUUUUAUAUGUUGCCCCAUUUUUAAAUACUAUUUUGCCCUAUGUAUAUGGAUCACAAUAUUUAUCAAUAUGUAUAGUUCGGGUUAGGAAACGACAAAAAGUUGAUAUGACUAGGAGCUUAAAGAAUUAAUGAAGCGUGGAUGCAUUAACAGGGGUGGACCAUAUAUAGAUGUGGACAUCAAAAAUAAAAACAAAAACAAAAUUGAAUAUACGAAAUGUGACGGACGUGGUGUUUCAUUUUCAGUUUUUCUAAUAACAUCUUACGGAAAUCAUAUUCUAAAUUACUUCAAGUUAUUCUAACAUACGAAAAGUUAAUAGGUCUAAUUUAGUGGAAAAGAAUAUUAACUUAUAGAUCAGUAGUCUCAUAUUCAAAUCCUCAUAACACCUUGAUAGUGUGUGUGUGUGAAAAACUCCCUCUCUUUUGAAGUUUACAUUACGCUUAUAUUGCAAAAUUAUAUAUAUACAAAAGAGAGUAUUAAUGAGUUAUUAUUGUUUGUUAAUUCAUGAAAAUGAAAUGGUGAUGAUGAAUAGGUAGGACCAAGGGUGAAGAAGGACAGGGAGAGAUUUCCACCAAACAACGUACUUCUGGUGUUAGCAGGAGCCGGGUUGCUGUGGAUGGGAUGGGCAGGUUUCAACGGGGGAGACCCGUACGCGGCAAACACGGACUCAUCCAUGGCCGUCCUCAACACCAACAUCUGCGCCGCCACGAGCUUCUUGGUUUGGACUUGGCUCGAUGUCAUCUUCUUUGAGAAGCCUUCCGUCAUUGGAGCUGUCCAAGGAAUGAUCACUGGCCUCGUCUGCAUUACUCCUGCUGCAGGUACGUAUUACGUAAGUUCUCAAGUUGACUUUUUUCCAGAGUUGAGUAAAGUUGAAUUAUAUGCCUAUGGGUUUAAUCUAGUGAAAAAGGAACUUGAUUUGCAAAACAAUAAGAGUAUAUGUGAGAAAACUCCCCUCCUUUUCAAACCUUGACCCAAAAAAAAACAAAGCAAAGUUGACUUAUAUUUAUCAUCCCAAUUAAUAAAAACAAAAUUAAUAUACUUACUUACUCGUCACAAAACGCAUUGCCUUCCAUUAAUUAAUCCAGAAAAAAUAAGUUUAUUUGACUUUUGACUAUUCAUAUUUACGUUCCCUCACAGACCACGUUCUAGUUCUAUUUGGUAUCCUACUUGGAUUCAAUUUUAUAAACUCAAAAACAAAUUUUGAAGUUUAAAACCACAAAAACUCGUUUGAUAUGCCCCUUUUUAAAAACUCAAACUCAAGAAAAAUUCAAAAGCACCCCUUUAUUAAAAAAAAAAAGAAGAAGAGGUUUUAUAGUUUUUUUCUCUCUCCUCCCUCUCCCUGUCUCUUUCUCUCUCCUUCCACUUCUCUCUCUCUCUCUCUCUCUCUCUCUCUCUCUCUCUCUCCUUUUAUUUUGGAGGUUUCAAUUUGAGAAUUUAGGGUUUCUGAUUUUAAUUUCAAUUUUUUUAGAUCUUAAAAAUAGUUUGGAGUUCAAUACCAAAAAAGUUUUUGAAUCUUAAAAUCACCAUUUGAAAACUCAUAUUUUAAAAAAGAAUCAUAGUUUUUGAAUUUUUUUUUUUUUUUUUUUUUUUGAGUAGGAUACCAAACAAGGCCAAUUUCCUUUAAAAAAAUUCUCAUAUGGUUCUCUAACGUUUUCUCUAAAUAUAUUUGCAUCUCUUUAUAUAUAUUAUUUAGCCAGUUUUUAACAGGAGAGGUGACUCAUGGCAUGUUGUGUUGACCAUGCACAGUCAUUUAAUUAACCAUAUUAACUAGCUAGCUUUUAUUUUACUUUUGUUUGUUCAUAGACUGAUACAAUAUUAUUGUUUAAAUAUGUAAAUUAUUUAGGUCUGGUUCAAGGAUGGGCCGCUAUAGUGAUGGGAGUUAUGUCAGGCAGUGUGCCAUGGUUCACCAUGAUGAUAGUGGACAAGAGGUGGAAACUGCUAUCUGCAGUUGACGACACCCUUGGUGUAGUUCACACCCACGCCGUGGCCGGGUUUCUUGGCGGCGUUUUAACGGGGCUUUUCGCUGAGCCUGAACUAUGUGCACCUAUUUAUCAUUGGAUGGAAUAUUGUGGUCACCUACAUUAUUUGCCUAGUCUUACGGUGUAUAGUUCCGUUGCGCAUGCCGGAGGAACAGUUACUGAUUGGGGAUGACGCAGUGCAUGGAGAAGAGGCAUAUGCAUUGUGGGGUGAUGGGGAGAAGUAUGAUGUUACUAGGCAUGAGCUUUACUCCGACGAUACGUCACACGCUCAAAAAUAUCCAUCCAGUGGUGCCACUCAGGUGGUCUAACUCAAAGUUAUAUAUUAUUUAUGUUAAUAAUCUGUUCCAAAAAGAAAAAAGAAAAAAAAGGCCAAAAAUGAAAAGAGGAAAAAACGAAGUACGAAAAAUAGGUGUUAUUGUCAAUUAUUAUCUUAUUUUCUGGUGAUCUUUUCAAUGUUUUAUGUAAACUGCCUAUUGCCUCCGGUAAUUAUUCAGGGAAAUUUGGAACACCAAACCAUUUUUAACAUGUUUAAGAUUAUUAGCCCCUUUUUUUAAUUUACAAAAUAUAAUCACUAGAGCCCUCUCGAAUAGUGUUACCUUUACUUGAACCCUAGCAUUAGUAUUUGGAUCUUUAUUAGUAACUACAAAGGCUCCAUUUGGUGGAGAGAGACUUUCAUGCAACAGAAAUAACACUUUUUGUUAUCUUCGAUCAAUAGAGCAAUAACAUGCGGGAUAAUUCUUCCACGUGUCAUUGCAUUAUUGACCGAGAAUAGCUAAACAAUGAUAUCCUCGUUACAAGAAAUUUGUUUUUUGCAUUUGGUGGAUGGAUAAAAACACUGGAUUGGAUCCAUAAUCAUACUCCUGUGUUUAGUGGCCCAAGUCCACUUGGAUUGGAUUACUUCUAAAUUCUAUUCCUGUCAAACUCAAUUUUAGUAGGAUUAGGAAUCCCCCCAAAACUAGGGGUGGACAUUCAAACUGGAAAAUUGAAAAACUGAGCCGACAAAAAACUGCAAUUUUGUACAAUUUUAGUUCUGAUUCUUGUUGUGAAAAAGCUUGACUGGGUCAAACCAGACUGACCACGUAUUUUUAAUAUAUAUUUAACCCCAUUACUAAAUUUGUAAGCCUAUAACUAAUCUUUCUCUAAAUCACCUAUAUUUUUUAGGCCCAAUCACCUCCCUUUGCAUUAAAUUAGGUCACUUGUGAAUUUUUAAAAUUCAAAAAAAAAAUAAUUUAAACAAGGGUAUACUAGUGAUUUGCCCCUGAACUUGUACCUAAUUUUCGAUUAAGCCUCUAUCCUUUUUUUUUCGAAAAUUAAGGAUAUGAACUUUUUUUUUCAGCCAAUUUCCCCCCUAUCGUCUAAAUUCUCAACAUUUCAUCCAAUUUUCAGUUAAAUUAUUUUAAAAAAUUACUUUUUUUGAAAAAAUUGAAGAAAAAGAGUAAACCUAAUGCCAACCCCUUCCAUCUCCUCCCUUCCUCCUCCCAUUCUCCCAUGACCACCAUCCUUUACUCCCAGACCAAUCCCCCACCCCCACACCCUUCAAUCCACAGACCCCUCCCUCCUCCUCUCCCUGUUCACCCGUUUUGAUUUCUACUCCUGUGAUGGAAGGGCAAAGUUCCCCAUUGCCUUGAAAACCAUUGACUGGUCAACAAGCCAACUUUCUUUGGUGUGCGAGCGUGCCACUAAUAGCAAUGAAAAAUCCUAGCAGACUUCUUUGAAACAGAUAACUUGCGCCCCAAGUUACUAAUUUGUAAACAAACGAUUAUGAAUUUGGGGGAAGAAUAUCUCCCAAGUAAGUUCUUUUCCUGCCUCAGGCUGGUGAGGACUUCAUAAUUUAUCACAGUAUAAAAUUGGUAGUUCUGGCCAGAAUAGAUGAUAAUAAAGUGGACUGUUUUAGGCAGAACUGCCUUUUACAAAUUUAAGAAGGAAAAACCAACUCUAAAAAGACAAAAAGAUGGCUGGAAUCCCAUUUCUGCCUGGGUAGAAACUUCUAAUCCAGGACGGACUGAGCUGUUAACAACUUCUACUGCUUAGCUUUAGCUGUAAAUCGAUACCAAGGUUCAAUUUUGGCAGAGCUUUAAUAUACUUCAAGCCUUGGGAGGCUUUUGAACAGGCAGAACUGCGGUUUCUUUAGUCUGAAGGGGUAGAAAUGGCUGGACUUGAGGAUUUAAUGAGCUGGAACUGCACUGUAAAAUUUGUUGAGGUUUUCAUAUUUGUGAAAACUUAAACUCUGCUUGGGCUUUUGCUGAACCAAAUUUGUAACGAGAGGAGUCUCGUAUUGGAUGACUUAUUUCUCUGAGUUUGAACUUGGAAGUUCUGAUCUACGGCUGGCUUCUUUUGUGGUUCAAAUGAGCCUUUGGUUGCCCCAAUUUGUUUUGAAGGUUCUCAGUGAUCAAGUGAUCAUUUUGAGUUUUUUUUUUGCCUUUGGUUGAUGUUUUUUUUAUUUUUUAUUUUGAUCGUCUUUUGAUUGUCUAACUUUUCCUAUAUUUAUAAGAAAUGCUUUGAAGUAGGGUUUCUUUCUUUUAAUAAUGGGUGGCAAAAAUUCUCAAAAAGAUCUUUCAUUUUUCUAUACAAAGAAGAAGAAGUUUUUAUCAAUUGCUGGCAGAUAGGCUUUCGAUAGUCAGUUCUUUUUAAGACCAAUCACUUCUCUGUUUUUUUGAAAGAGAACCUAACCCCUCUUUAAUUCCAACUGCCCCUUUGUGAGAGCUCAAACCGUGAUGUUCAGUUUGCUUUUCCAGUUUGAACAACUCCUUGUUUUCCUGCUUAUCUUUUUUUGGGAAAUUUAGCCUGCGUAUCCCUUGAAAGAUGGUGCUUUCUUUGGAGUAGAAACAAUAUCUCUGAAUAUAUAAAAGGGUUUUGAUCUUUGUGGUGGUAGAGAUUUCAGAGACAUCCUUUCUUUCUGCCUCCCUCUGUCAACUCUCUUAUCAACCUAGUUGAUUUUGUUUGACUUUUCUAAGUCAGAGAAAAACAAUCACGUGGGUCUGUUUUCUUUUGAGUUUCUACUUUUUACUUUGAUCAUGCCAAGCCCAAUUUAGUUUCUUCGAAACCCAAGCUUGAGAUAGGUUCUAGGCCGGGCUUUUGUUGGAUUUUGGACCUUUGGUUCAUGUUUAUUCUCAGAGUCCAGACUUCUCGGGUCCAGCAUUGUUGUCUUUGUUAUUCUGGGCUUUGUAGCGUUUGGGCUGGGUGCGCAAGAUUUUGGCCCAAACAAUCCCUUUUUGUUCUUUCAACCACACACUCAUCACCACCAUCCCCAACAGACCUUCCGCCGUCGCCGCCUCUCUCUCUCUCUCUCUCUCUCUCUCUCUCCACACACACACUCCCUCAAUUUCCCACCCCAUCUGUUAAUUUCAAUAUCUCCACACUCGAAAAGCUCACAGUCGAUCCAAGCCUUUCAAUGCCUCCCAUCUCAAGCUUUUUCCAAAUUCACACAAAACCCAUCAACCAAAACAUCAAAAAAUUCAAUCUUAAACACUUGGAUUUGGAAAAAAGAUCAAAAUCAAAUAAAAUCUAAUAGAAUUUAAAUCCAUGCCACCGGAUAGCAUUUGGGGUGGGAGGUUGUGGGGAAGGAGAAAAAAGAGAAGGGACGGUUGGGGUGGGGUGGAAGGGCCAUUGGAAGUUAUAUGGAGAGAGGGAGCGUAGAGGGGCCAGAAAAAAUAGAUGGAGAGGGUAGGGGUGAGGGAGAGAGUGAUUGGUUGGAUGGGCCUCUCUCUUAUUAAAAUAUUUUUUCUUUCAUUUUAUAUUUCAUAUUAUUGUAUUUGUGUAUUUAAUUAUUUUAACAUAUAAAAUGACCAUUUUGCCCUCAUAUUUAAUGGCAAAUUGGAUGAAAAGAAGUUCAUAUCCUUAAUUUUCUAUAUAAAAAAAAUAAAAAAAUAAAAAAAAAACAAGACAGGGGGUCAAUUGAAACCAAAGUACAAGUUCUGGGGGCAAAUCACUAGUAUACCCCAAAAACAAAAAUUUCAAUCCCAAUUAUGGGCAAAUUAGACCGCAUUGGAAUGAAUGAAUUUUUUUUUUUUUAUCAAAACCAAACCAAAUCAGACAAAUAAAUAGUGCUAGUUCCGGUUUGGGGUAAGAACCAGAUCGUGCUUACCCCUAACGAAAACUAAGGGAUAAACUCGGAUAUGCUACGAUCGAGUGCAACCCAACCCCGACAGAUUAGGUUGCAGUCGUCUCCUCCAAUCUUCAUCCCCAACAUUGAGCCUCCAUCACCUCGACGAUAACUCAGCCAUCUCCGACAAACUUGAGCAAUUUCUGGCAAAACCCAACCAUCUCCUGCCCAAACCAUUUCAUCACUGAUCAUAUUUCUCCUAUGAACUUCUUCAUCAUAAGUGAUCAUUUCAUCACUGAGAUUCUCAACAUCUUGUGUUUUUGUUAGAUUGUAUGUGAGUUUUGAUUAUUAAAUUCUUUGACAAUAUUUGAGUAGUUUAUAGGUUAGGAUAAAGCUUGAAUUCACCGGAAAAUUUUCAUUUUUUCUAUAAAUAUUUGACAUACAAUAUGGGAUUUUUUUUCAUUUUCUCUUUUACAUUUCCUGGGUUUUUGUAAUGUUUGAAAUCUAUGUGUGUCUGGGACUGCAAUUGGGUAUAUUCUUUGAAGGCCCAAUUUUGUCUUUUACAAAUUUACAACUGCUAUUAAAUUUCUAAUAUCCAUUUAAGCAAUUAACGGAGCGGAGAUGAUAAAAUUUGUUUAAAUUUAUAUUGAUUAUGAUUAUUUAUAAAUUUAUAUAGAUUAUGGUUAUUUAUAGUUUAUUUUUUGGAUUUAUAAUUGGGAUAUUUGUAGAAAUGUCACCUGAAAUUCUACCUUAGUUUCAAUUUGUUAACUGAAAUUUUUUUUUAAGAGAAAUGUCACCUGAAUUUUUCAAAAUCUAUCAUUUGUCACUUGACUUUAACAUCAUCCAAUUUUCCAUCUAUUUUGAAGGGUAAUUUAGUCUUUUUAUUUUCAAUGGUAUUUUAAAAAUAGAAAAUUCAUUAUAAAAAAAAAAUUAUAUAUCUUUUAAAUAAUUAAAAAUAAAAAGAAAAAAUUGUGAAAAAAAACUUCUCUCUUCUCCCUCUUUAUCUUCCACACCCACCAUCACUACUCUAUUUAAAUACAAUUUAAAAUAAAUAAAUAAAUAAGAGUUAACUUAAUAAAUAAAUAAUUUUUUUUAGAACAUAAAAAUCAAAAAUCAAAAGAAUGAAUGACACCACCUCCAAUCCUCCAAUCCCAACCGCCAGCCACCAUUGUUCUCUCUUCUCUUUCUCCCCAACAACAACCCACCACCCCAACUCUGAUCCAUCUCACCCCUUAAUAUAUAUCUCUCUCUUCCUCUCACAAGAACAAACCCUGCCCCACCAUCCCUAGUUGCUCACCCUAGAUUUUCCAACCCAUCUCCACCCCAAUCUCUGCCCAUUCGAGGGUCACCCUACUUCUCUGUCUCCAUCUCUCCCAUUUGGCCAUGCCCAUCCUUCCCACCUCUCCGUUGCUGGGUCCUUCCUUCCCCCGACAACCCCCUUCCUUUUUUCAAGUUUUUUUCCUUUCACUAAUUAUUUAUUUAUUUAUUUAUUUUUUGUCUGAUCAGUUUUUAAAAUUUGCCAAUAUGUUAAAAAUGGAAAACUUAGGUUUUUACAUUUAACCCCCCAUCCAUUUUUACAUUUAAGCUUUUUUUUUUUUAAAUAACAAUUUUUUUCAUUUUAAAAAUACCCUUGAAAAUGCAAAAACUAAAAUACACUUCAAAAUAGAUGGAAAAUUGGAUGAUGUUAGAGUCAGAUGACAAAUUUUAGAUUUUGAAAAAUUAAGGUGACAUUUCUCUUAAAUUUAUUUCUCAUGUGACAAAUUGAAACUAAGGUAUAAGUUCAGGUGACAUUUCUACAAAUAUCUCUUUAUAAUUUUUAUGAUUUUUAUUUUAUGAGAAUUUGACUUUUUAUCUCCAGGUAUUGGAAAAUUACUGUUUUUAUUUAUUUUAUUACAAAAUUGUUAUUUUUUAUGUAGAAAAGUUCAAAAUUAAAAUGGCAUGUUUAACUUAAUCCAGUUUGACACCAAACAUAGGAUUUGAUUGGUGUUAUCCACUCCAAUCCAAUGCAAUUCAAUCCUACUUCAUAAUCCAAUUCAAUUCCGGUCCCCAAACAGACUAAAAGAUUCAAAAGAACUACACAAUUAAACCUUAUUAAUUCCCUUCAAGUAGUGCUUGAACCUUACUUGAAUCUCUUAAUUAGUACCAAUGUUUACAAAGAGGGAUUCAAUUAAUCUGUAAAUAGACAUCAGUUGAAUCCAAAGUCAAAUUCAAAAGAUAUUUAACCCCAAUUUAUAGACCUUAACUAUGUACAAAUGGUUCAGCCCUAAGGAAAGAGAGAAAAUCCUAAGGAACCCCUUGGGGUCAGUGGCCUCCCUCCCUCCCCUCUCCACUAGUUCUUCCCUACUCUCCUAUCCUCCCCUCCCCUCCCCUCUCCUCUCAUCUCCUUACAUCCCUAUUCCCCUCGAUACUUCUUUGUUUUUGUUUUUGUUUUUUUUUUUUUGGUGGUGUGAAAUCAACUGUUGUGAAAUGAUGUAGUCGUCAUGAUAGUUGUCAUCUUUCAACCCACGUACAUGAGAAUUUGGCUCCAUUUGUCAUCCUUCAACAUGGUUUAGAGCCACAAGAUGGGAAAAAUGUCGGGCUGCAUCGCGUUUGGGUUUAACCGGUGAAGCUGUGGCUUUCUGUCGGCUGUUGAGGAUGUGGAGCGAUGGCCUUGCUUCUUAAUUUGUUUUUGUCUAAUAAUUUCCAUGAAUCCAUGAACUGUAUAGCAAUUUGGUGUGUGUGUGUGUGUGUGUGUGUGUUUAUUUAUUUAUGUUUAGGAGGUUUUAUUUCUUUUUAGCUUUUACGGAUCUCUCAUUUUUGCUGAUGCGCAGCGAAUUUGUAUUAGAGGUUCGAGUAGGUGUGCUUUUGGUUGCUGAGUCAGGGAUUAUAGUAAUUUUGUGGAGAAGAUUCGUGUUGUUGUUGCAUUUAGUCACUGGAGAAGAUUUACCAAUAUUCAGAACCAUAAUUGCUUUGUACUUUUUUCAUAAAAAAAAUUAUUAUCGAAUAUUCAGAAGGCAUUUAAUUCCCUUUUUCUUGAACCGUUGGUCAUCUAUGUUGCACGGGUAUGUUGAUAUGAUACGAUAAGAUUCAUCGAUAAGGCAAAAUUCCAAAAAACUAGGAUAGGGGUACAACAUCGAUACGGUGAUUAAAAUAAUAUAUAUUUAAAAAUAAUAUAAAUAGAAAAAAUUAAUAUUACAUCCAUCAUGUCAUAAUCAUCCAUCAGAAGUGCAAAACAUAAAACUAAACACAAAAUACAAGUCUCCAUAAACAAAACACAAAAUACAAGUCUUCAUAGGAUUGUUCAAAUCAUAAAAAAAUAUAUAUAUAAAAAGCAAUACAAAAACAAAAUUUCUAACUUCAUUCAUCAUUGUCAUCAUAGGUAAAUAUGAUUGCUUCUAAUUCCUUCUUCCUAUUUCUUCUUCUUUUAUAGUUAUUCUCUCCCAAAUAAAAUGAAGACCUAGCUUCUAGCUUAAGAACACACACCAAAUCAAAGUUACUCAAGGCAAACAAAACUCACCUUCUAGAGGAACAGAAAAACUGGGAACUGAUACACAAUAAAAUAAGAGAAAGCCAAAUUCACCGGUUCCUCAAGAGUACAUUUUACAAAUUAAUGACACAAAGGGAGUUUUGCAAAUGAUCAAUACACCAGUAGAUUAGUUAAAUAUAAGGUGCUUACAAAACAAAAAAAUCAGGAAUCGAUUAAAUACAUAGUUGGUCAUUAAGGUCUACAAGAAUCGAUUAAAUGUCUUUCCAAUGAUAAAGUUUUUUUCUAGUUUUUGGAAAUACUUAAUAGUGUUGUUUUUGCAGCCAAGUUAUUUUAGUUAUGUGAGACAAAUUGUAUAGAAAAGUGAGAAGUAGAGAAAGACAAUAGAAAUUGUUCUUAAAAGUAUCUUUUGUGCUUCAUAAAGCACCUGUACUGCUAAUUACCAUAAUAAGUGUAUAGGUUACAAAACAUAGAAAUUGUGGAGAUUAUAAACUUCUGUAAAAGAAAACGACACGAUUUUAAUUAGCGUGUUUAUGUUUUUUUUUUUUCUUUAAAGAAACUAUUUUCUAACCUUAAAAAGAUCCAAAUAUACCACUAAAAGUAGGUUUUUUAUUUGGGGAGAAUAGAUGCUUUAUUAAAAAUAGAGUAAUGCUACACUUAUCACAUUUUUAUCCCACAUUUCUAUACCGCAUGAUGUGGCAUACCCAUAUUAUAUGCCACAUCAAUUAAAUCAAUGAAGUGUAUUUUAAUUAAGACAAUUAGAAAAACAAAUACUAGAAUAAAUCAUAAAAGAAAAGAAAAUAUUAAAUAAUUUUAAUUGAUGUGGUUGUGUACCUCAGCUGUUACAUAAGAUGGUAUAAAGAUGUGAUAUACAAAUGUGGUAAGAGUAGCAAUAUUCUUAAAGAUAAUAAGCACCAUAAGAGUUUAUAAAAGAUAGCACUAAAAGUAACCAAUACUAUUCAAAACCCGAACAUUAAAGACAUAAACAAAUGCAUAAAAAAUUAAUACUAGCUUACUAAUAUUACUAUUAUUACUAUAGCCCCUUCACUCACGCCAGAGGAUGAGGAGAUGGAAAUCCUGAAUCAUUAGGAACUCAAAGAAGCCAAUAAUUUAUUGGGCAAUUUCCAAGACCAUGGCCAAGCACAAAAAAUGAGACCAAUGCUGCAGGAAAGAAACAAAUGGAUAUUGGACCAAAGGCUUGUUGCACUAAUAAGUUCCAUAUCCAAGAGACCAAUGGGCCUCGUGAAGUAUAUUUAGAGCAAAGUUACAUGGGAGCUUCUAUAGUGAGUGGGAAGUUAUAAGGGGUGUUUUUGAGGGGUAUGUAAGAGCCGUUGGAUUUCAUCCAACGGUGAGUUUUUAAAAGAGGGUGCAUGUAGAAUCGGGUUGAAAUCUAACCCGUUAGAAACCCAACUUCAGUUGUUCCCCUCUUUCCCUCUCUGUGAAAAACUAAAGAACACAAUCCUUUCUUUUUGAAUGUAAAGCAAACCCACAAUUAGAAGGAUCCAAAUCUCCCAAACCUUAUAGUCACUCCACUGUCAUUAGCUCGUUGGGAGGCCUGCGAUCUAUGGUAUCCUGGGUAUUACGAAGAAUGGCUCUUACCUAGCUGUUGCCCUGUUUUGAUUCUAUGGCUCAAGUGAAAACCCCUUCUCUUUUUCAUUCAGCUGACAAGAUUCCAGAUGAAAGCAAAGUAGCAUAUCUGUUUUUGUAGCUAGAAGCCGCAGCAGCAGUUGUUCCUUGAUUUUGGUAGAGAUGGAGUCUCAAAUACCAAAGAGUCUUCUGUAAUGUCCACCACAUUGUUUCAAGCUGACUGACUUCAGAGCUCCCGAUUGAUUUUGAGAGGUAAGUUCACUUGCUGGAUUGAUUUUAUUGGGUUAGGUUUAUUUUUUGUGAGGGUGGGAAAUUCGUCAUUUGUGGCAUCAAUAAUGUGUCAUUUCCUUAUGAAUAUUCAAUAUACUUAGUUCAUUGUUGUUGGUCGGGGUGGAAAAUUAUGAAAUGUAGGUAAAAGAACCUAAACUUAGGCUUAAUGACAUUAGGAGUAAGCAGUUGGAGAGGAUAUUGGGUGAAGUUCUGUAAUUGGUGGUUUGAAUUACAUUUGUGUUCUUAGUUGAACAUGUUGGUUCUAAUGUUAUUUUGACCAGAUUAUUUCCCAAGAGAUGACGUAACUUGUAUGAAAUUUUGCUUGUGUUUUGUGUAAUCGGAAGUUAGGCUAUGCGUAUUUUGUGUCAAUUUGGGCAAUGUUUUGUGUAAGUGGAAUGCAUUGAUAUGUUGUGAUGCAGUAAUGACUGAUUAAUGAAUGAAUAAUUGCUAUGCAGUAAUAUAGAAGUGGAUCAAUAAUAUACGUAGAUAAAAUGUCUGGGGGCUCAGAGAGUGAUGAAUGUGCAACAGCUAAUGGGAGGGUUUAUAUUCCUGAAGUAAGAAAUGAGGAAACACCAGCAGUUGGGAUGAAGUUUGACUCGCUUGACCUCGUUUACAAUUUCUAUAAUAGAUAUGCAUUCUUGGCUGGUUUUGGUAUUCGACUUCAUUCUAGCUUUUGGGGGAAAAAUAAGAAAGAGAUUUUGAGGAAAGAAUUUGUAUGUUGCAAACAAGGUGCAUACAGGAAGGAUGAAACUCGGGAGAGAAAAAGACAACGGGGAAUAAGUAGAUGCAAUUGCAAAGCAAAGAUUGUGGUUGUGAAGAGAAAUGGGAGCAAGAAGUAUACCAUUUCUCUUUUUGCAGAGGGACACAAUCAUAAGAUGACACCCUCAGAAAGAAUGCAUUUAUUGAGAUCACACCGUCAUAUUUCAGAUUCUACAAAAGUACUCACAAAACAGUUGGGUUCAGUUAAUAUUCCCAUUCAUCAGAAGGUAAGUAUUUUCGAGGUGCAAUCCGGAGGAAUGGAUAAAAUCGGUUUUAUCAAAAAAGAUAUCUACAAUCUUGAAUGUAGUGUGAAUGGGAAGCUGAGGAACCACGAUGUUGAACUAGUGACCGAGUAUUUUAUGGCUGAACAGAAAAAAAAUGAGGCUUUUUAUUUCAAGAUUGAGGGAGAUGGGCACGACAGGUUUAGUCGAUGUUUUUGGGCAGAUGCAACUUCUAGACGGGCGUAUGGGUUUUUUGGAGAUGUUGUUGUAUUCGAUACCACAUUCAACACGAAUCGAUACGACUUGACAUUUGCACCAAUGUUGGGAGUUAAUAACCAUGGUCAGACAAUUGUGUUAGCAUGCGCAUUUUUGAGCAAGGAAACGACUGAGUCGUUUGUUUGGAUGUUUGAGGAGUUUAAGAAAGCCAUGCCAGGUGGGGAACCUAAAACGAUCAUUACAGAUCAAGAUGCGGCAAUGGCCAUAGCGAUUUCAAUAGCCUUCCCGAGUACAUUUCAUCGACUUUGCAUAUGGCACAUCACAUCAAAGUUCUCUGUUAAGUUACCACGUGACGCUUAUAAGGAGUAUUGGCCUGAAUUUCAGAAAACCAUAUGGGAUACUGACAAUAAGGAUGAGUUUGAUGCAAAAUGGAAUAUUGUGGUUACAAAGGCUGGUUUGACUGACCAUCCAUGGCUAAGUUCAAUGUUUGAUUUAAGGGAAUCUUGGGUUCCAGCCUACGCACGACAAUUUUUUGCCGCUGGAAUGUCAAGCAGCCAAAGAGCGGAAGGUUCUCAUGGUUUUUUCAAGCAAUACAUAUCAAGGAGAAAUUCGUUGAUGGAUUUCAUAAUACGAUUUGAGAGGGCACUUUCUCAUCAACGUGAAAAAGAGUUAGUUGCUGAUCACGUAGAUGCAUUUGAAGUGGCUCAAUGUCUUCUACCGAUGCCAAUGAACAAACAAAUGGCUACCUUGUACACAAGGACAAUGUUUCAAAAGUUUGAGCAAGAACUAAUACAAAGUACAGCAUGUUUCCUAGAGCUCAAAACAGAGGAUGCUUGUAAAGUUGUGUUCAACGUGAGCGAAAGGAAAAAUUGGGAAACAAGGGUGGCAGAAGUCGUAUAUGUCAAAGAUUCUGACCACGCAUCGUGUAGCUGCAAAAGAUUUGAAUUUGUUGGAAUUAUUUGCAAGCACAUCCUAGCAUUGUUCAGAAGGGACCAGAUUGAAUAUAUGCCCGAUAAAUAUAUUUUGAAGAGGUGGAAGAAAACUGCGAAAUGUGGAUUGGUGUCAGAUGCAAAUGGCAACGAAAUUAAAGACUGUGCAGAUCCUGGCCUUCUAAUAAAGCGGAGUACAAUGUCUCGACUUGCUUCAGAUGUGGUUGAGGAUGCAUUAAUGAGUGAAGAAGGAUGUGAGCUACUGUCAGAGACUCUAAAAAGUUUGCAGGUGAAGUUGAAGUUGCUGAAGGAUGGACCAAGUAAUAACGAAGUUGGAGGGUCCAGCUCUCAAACACAAUAUAUGAAAGACCCUAAGAGAGUGAGGUGCAAAGGAAGGUCGAAAGGAGUAACGGGAGCAAAGGAAAAGGCAAUGAAGCGAGGGAUUAGACACUGUCGGGAGUGUGGACACAUUGGUCAUGAUAGAAGACAAUGCCCAGCCUUGAACACACCGUAAGAUGCUAACACUAUUUGUAAUAACAUCUAAAAUAUGAAAAGGUAAAAUUUUUAUGUGCUUGUGUUUGAUGUUUAUGCAGGACAUCACCGUCGAACAAUGACGAAUCAACUCCAAUACAUCGUAGUGACCCAUUAUUCGACGAUUUUGACAGGAUGCACAGACCAACUGAAUGAUUGAUAUUUGUAUUAGACGAAAUGUGGUUGUUAUCAAGAUUAAUGAUCAAGCGAAGUUUUAUAGAUUCAGUUUUUGAAUGUUAUUGUGUUUUUGUUCAUGUCCACCGAUGAGCUCUUACUAUGUCCACUGGUAAUUGAAAUGAAAAUUUGCUUGGUUUCAUUCUUCCAAGACAUUUGGAGACAUGUUCAUUUUACGUCUUCUCCCUAUUUAUAAAUUUUCAUAGACAUUUGAUCAAGUAUGAAAUUUGUAGUUAUGUGAAGAAGCAAUGACUCUUACCAUGUUAAAUGGGCAGUUUAGGGUGAAAUUUGUUUUAACAGAGAUUCAUUUUUCAAAUCCUCAGGGUAAUGCAGCAAUUACAGCAGCCAGCUGUUGUUUCCAUUACCAGUAAUCAUUUCCAGCAGCAGCCACUUUUUCCGACUGGUUAUUAGGGGCACGAUUUUGUACACUUUUGUAAGUGAAGGAUACUCGAAGCACUUUGUUGGAACAGAGCAAAUAGAAACCAGCGGGUAAAAAAAAAACAUAACAUUGCAGCUAAUUACAUUUCGAUACAUAGGUGAAAAAUAUUAAAGGGUACACUAACUUACAUAAAUACUCAUAAUUCCACACACAAAAGAACAUUUGAUUGCAAAACAUAUUAUGUGCUUCCUCAUAGCAAUACCACGAUCUCCCCAACCAACUGAACAACGGUAGCCACAAUCACUGGGUCGUACUCGUCAGCUUCUUCUUAGCAGGUCUCACAUGCUUAUGGCCACUCAUAUCCCUAGUGAUAUACACGAAAUAAAUCUUCAGCAAUAUUUGGAAUUUUAUUAUAUAUAAAUAAACCAUAAACCAUUCAGUAAACAAUGUAUAGCACAUGUUAUGUAACUUAUGACUCACGUGUCAGUUUUUUUUUUAACACAUUAGUACUCCAGCUCUUUAAUGUAAAUGGACAUGAUAAGGAGCAUUUACUGAUUCCCGGCUUUCUGUGAUAUUGACUGCUUCUUGAAUAAUAUUUCCAUAUUUGCAAAAUAUAAUGUUAGACAUUAUAACACAUGAUGACUUGCAAUACAUAGUCCCAAUAAUUAUAUAUGAAGCAAAUGAAACUGAUAUUUGUGUUAUUUUAAGUUAGAUAAUGACAUUAAGGGAGUAUAUGUGCAAUACCACGGUCACCCUCAACCAACUGAACAGCGGUAGCCGCAAUCACUUAGUCGUAUCGGUCGGCUUCUUCCGAGCAGCUUUGACGUGCUUAUGCUCAUUCAUGUCACCCCCAUCGUCUAGUAUCUCUCUCACAGCAUCAGGGGACACAUAGUUCCAAUCAUAACUUGUAUGAGUAGUUGCCGCAAAUGCUCGGAAUUUGUCGAAUCCUUCGUUGAAUGCCAACUCCAGUUCAGUAUGGUGCUCUUCGCAUCGCAUAUGGUUCAUCAAACAACCUUUGAUUUCAUCAUUCAUUACUGUAUCCAACUCCUCAGCUUUCAGCUUCUUGCUAUGACUCAGCUUCAAGUACUUGUUCUUUUGGGAUAACGCUUUGUUCACCCUAAUGUUAAGAUCAGCCAAAAUUGCCUCGUCUUCAACACAUUUCUCGUGCCAUGAAUUGAUCAGUCUGGAAUUAUAAUCCAGCUUGCCACUGACUGCAUGUAUUGCCUGUAAUGGAUCAUCGGAGUCCCCCUCACUCCCAAAUGAUGUUGAAAAAGGAAGGGGUCGGCGAGUACAAUGUGGAAAUAGAACCUACGACUCCAAUUUCUCAUGUUCGAUUGUGUUGUUGGCGCCUGAAGAGGUUGACAUGCUUGAAUAAUCCUCUUUGUUUUGGGAGGAUGAGGAUUGCAUAUGCAAUUUCGUUUGAGAAAGGGAACAUAGGUUUAUAGACCAACAUACCAAAGCUUGUGUGUAGUCAACAUAUGUACUUUUUGGCGGGAAUUUUUUAAAAAUAGGUGUCAGGUUUUGCUUUUCAAGCAUGUCAACCUCACACUCUCCUGACACCACUGAUAGUGGUUGAAACAAAGUCAAUGGAAGUGACAUCUACUUAGUUAACUCAACCAAACUAGUUAGGAUUAAACUUAGAUUGUAUCAGACCAAAAAAUAAUUUCUACUUUGUCAACCAAAUAUUUUUUGGCGGGAACCCUUUUCUUGGUAUUACUAUCACCCCUUUCAUAUAAAGGGAACCCUUUUCUUGGUAUUACUAUCACCGAAUCUGUCUCCAUCUACCGAUACUCUCUCAAGCAAACAAACUCAUUCCCCCCAAAGAAUGAGCAUAAGCACAACCAAGUUUGAUGUGAGCAUAAUAAACACCCCUCCAAACAAAGACCGGCUUCGACACGCAAGUGAGUCACCAGACAAGCAAUGUCACAUUGCUAGACAGAAUGACCAUUUUGUUGGAAGUUUUGAGUCUGAAAGAGUUGUUGCUUUUUGGAAGGACAGGCAUCUUCAACUUGGUGAUGAAAUCCAAAGGGCAAGGGCACGGUUGGAAUUUGUGGAAGGCCAAAUUGAAGAUGACAAAAGGCAGGCCAAUCUGGAUAGGGCGAAGUUGCAGCGCAUGAAGCGUAGACACAAACGACUUCGGAGUGUAGCUCUUCAAAAAUACAAGAACUCAUCUAAUGCAGUGGAGUCAAAGAAGCGUGUGAUGCAAGCUGGAUUCGACUACUUCCGAUCCUAUGCAAAACUCGUCGUACCCGGGUUUGAUUGGUCAUCUAUUACCGUUUCCGACGUCACCAAAUAUACUCAGCAAGGGAAGUAACCAUUUUGGUUCUCGUGUUUGAGCAGAGGCAAAUAAGUGGAAUUGGAAUUUUCGUUACACUCUGCUUCAAAGCUAUUUUGAUGCUAACUACUAUGGAAGAUUUAAACCUUAAUAUUUUGAUGUCUUUAAUUACGAAAACAGAAGAUGCAAAGAGCCCAUCUACUUAAGUCAUAUGUUGCUGCCAUGUCCAUUUGUUUUUUAUCACGUAUCAGAUUUGGACAUGGUUGCAUCAUAUGCAAUGUUGCCUUUAUUUAUUAUAUGUUAGGACAAGGUUUAUGGAAAAGCUUUUGUGAGUGCGUUUGUGACAAGGUUAUGGAAUUAUUAUGUACACUUUAUAUAUUGUUUUUUGUACUGGUUCAUUUCCUACUAUUUCUUGCUUUCUUUAUAUUUUAUGUUUGUGGAAUCCCUCUCAAAGUUAACAUAUACUGUGAAAAAAAUAUUAUGCAACUGAUUAUAUAAUCACUCAUAUAGACUAGGACAAAUAUUCACUAAGGGUUUUAAAAUUGCUUCACUUGUGUGAGGUUAUUGAGAAAAAGUAUGGCAUUAUUUAUGUGAUUGACAUGAUUGAAAAUAUAUUACUGAUUCCCAAUGAGGCGUCAUAUGGACAACUUAUUGAAUACCUGUAACGUGUUAAUAACUCUAGGUGCAGUUGCAUGUGGAUAACUUAUUGAAUACCUCUGACGUGUUGAAAACUGUAGGUGCAGUUGCAUGUGGACAACUUAUUGAAUACGAACUGACGUCUUGAAAGCUAUAGGCGUAGUUGCAAUGAUGGCUUCAAAGCAUGUGCAAUUAUUAUUUAUGUACAUUAUUAUAACAAAACAUAUUAUUGUAUAUAGUGAAACUAAAUAUUGUAUUAUUAGAAAUUAUAUUUCGAAUAUUAUCCGAAAUAUACGUGUUAACGUGAAUUUGGGUUAAGAGGAAAGUGAGUUAUGUAUAAAUAAUUUUCAUUUUCUCAUUUUCUGGGCAUUUUUUGGAUUUUCGUACAAUUUAUUACCUAUGUCCACAGAUUGUUGCACUAAAAAAGCCAAAAUAAUAGCAAGAGGACACCUGGCGCGAUCUCAGCCCGUCACUGAUGACUACUUGCACAAGUGUACGUCAGUCAACAUGGCCACACCCUCCCAUUUUACCCUAAAUUAUUAUUUUAUUACUUUUCCUUACAAAAAUCAGAACUAAUUACACACAAAAAAAAAAAAUUAUCCGAAAAUUGCUACGAACUCAUUGACACUCCAUCUCCGUUGCUGAAUUCUCCGAUUCAUUGUUACGCAUUUUUAAAAUUAAUUCCGAACAUUAACGGGGGAUGCUUGUUGAAGUAGGUUAUUCAAGUUGAAGUUAACAAACAUCAAUACUUAGGGUUAAGAGGAAAGUGAGUUAUGUAACACAAUUUGGAUUAUUUCAUUGCGAGACGAAUGAUUUAUAGGUUCUCCUAGUUUUAUGACGUCACAAGUAGGCCGGAGUAAUUUUGGGGGCAUUUUUACGAUUUUCCUACUAUUUUUUACCUAGUUUCAAAGAUUUUUGAACAAAAGAAUCCAAAAUGUAAAAGAAGAUGACACCUGGCGCGAUCUCAGCCCGUCACUUUUCACUACUUGCACAAGUGUACGUCAGUCAACAUGGCCACAUCCUCCCAUUUUACCCUAAAUGAUUAUUUUAUUACCUUUUUUCUUGAAAAAUUCAUAACUAAAUACACAAAAAUUCAAAAUUAUUUCCGAAAAUUGCUACGAACUCAUUGACACUCCAUCUCCGUUGCUGAAUUCUCCGAUUCAUUGUUACGCAUUUGUAAAAUUAAUUCCCAACAUUAACGGGAGAUGCUUGUUGAAGUAGGUUAUUCAAGUUGAAGUUAACAAACAUCAAUACUUAGGGUUAAGAGGAAAGUGAGUUAUGUAACACAAUUUGGAUUAUUUCAUUGCGAGACGAAUGAUUUAUAGGUUCUCCUACUUUUAUGACGUCACAAGUAGGCCGGAGUAAUUUUUGGGGCAUUUUUACGAUUUUCCUACUAUUUCUUACCUAGUUUCAAAGAUUUUUGAACAAAAGAAUCCAAAAUUAACAAGAAUAUGACACCUGGCGCGAUCUCAGCCAGUCACUUUUGACUACUUGCACAAGUGUACGUUACCGAACAUGGCCACAUCCUCCCAUUUUACCCUAAAUUAUUAUUUUAUUACCUUUUUUCUUGGAAAAUUCAUAACUAAAUACACAAAAAUUAGAAAAACGAUCUGAAAAUUUCUACGAACUUAUUGCGAUUUCAUCUUCCUACUGCAUUCCCUGUUUAAUGGUUAUGCUACAUUAGUAUUUUAUUAUUAUUUAUCCACAAUUAUUAUAAUUAUUAUGAUAUUACUUUUUAGGCUGUCCAUUUGUUAAUUAUAUUUAGUCCAACUUGUUGAAAACAAUUUUAUUUUCCGUGCGAAUAGGCCAUUUGUAGUGCUCAUCGGUUUCUCUGUUCUUCAAUUUGUUAAUUUUUUUAUUUUUUAGGUUGAAGGGAUGUUUUGAAACAUAAUAUGGAAAUAUACAAGUCAUCCAUUGUACUCCUUCCACACAAAACAAUAGUCUACGUCAUUCACUGUUCAACCCCCUAGGUUAAGAAACGUGUAACCAAAUCCUUUUGGAUAUGCUAAGUGGGAAAAUGUCAUUCCCAAGCACUGGUGAAAAGACACCUAUUUACUCCAUGCAUGACUUUUCGUUUACCAAAUAUGAAGAUUGGGGUCGGUGAGCAAAAUAUCUGUGUCAGUAAAAUGUCAUUCCUAGCCGUCUAUGAUGUAAGUAAUCAUUCCGCUAUAUAAUAAAUAUUAUACAUUUAUAUAUAAAACGGUUUAUGACAAAAUACCAACAUUUGAACAACAUUUAAACUGAGCUAGGUAUAACGUAGCCAGCCAACCUAGAAGUGAAGAGAAGCAAGUCCACAAUGCAUCAAAACCGUAAAUUCGUACUAAAACUAAUGCAAAAAUACGUGAUUCCCUCGCACAACAUACUCACGCAGGAUUUUGCACCAAAAAAUACUCUCACGGUGCCAUUUGCAUCGGUUGCAACAAGUCCACAACGCAGGAUUUAUCUUGUCUUCACUAGGCCAGCCUGGAAUAACAAAAUACCAUUCAUUGUUGUUACAAGCGCUGCACCAAUUGAACUGAAUCUUCCCAUAGUCAAACAUAUCUACGAUAUGUCUUGCAACAAAUGCUCCGCGACAUCUUCCUGUCAAAGCAUCCCUGGUUCCUUUCAUAUCAAUGUUGUUACGUUGAUUCAAAGAACACAAGAAUUGUAAUGCAUCCUCUUUUGACUGACCAAUUCCGGACAUACCAAGUAGUCCAACUACAUAUGCCGCUUCCAUAUGGCCUGCCGUGGCUGCAAUGCGCAUCCCAUACAACGCUUCCACCUUACCGUGCCUGAAAAAACCUUGGAAUGCUUCUCUAAAUAUGGACUCAGGGUUAUCGCAAGCCCUGCAUUGUUGCAAGAAAUGCUGGACCGCAGGUCUGGCACGGUACCAGAUAGGAUGGUAUGGGUACUUUGCCAUUGAAAUGGUGUUCCACACUUGUGGACUGUUUGCCAAAGUUUGGAACAAUGGGCACACAGAUGCCAUACGGAAGAGAUCUUCCGAUGAUUCGGUUGCCACGUAUAACAUCACUUGAAACCAAGCGGACUCCGGGAUGAAGGCUUGGGGCAUAUCGAAAUGGAGAUGCUUCCUUCUCUUUCCUCCAACUGUAGUGAAGUGUUUCGAAUUCAUUGAAAAGUUUUUGGAAUGGAACGAUUUGAGGAGUGGCAGAGGGGAUAAAUGAGAAUAUUUUGGGUACACGUUUUGUUUUAGCCUCUGUUUAUAGUGUUUUGAAAAGGUGUUUGCAGUUGGGGUUUUUCCAAGUUGACCCUUUUUCAAGAAACUGAACCCAAGUGAAUUAAAACUGAACACAAAAGAAGGGAAAACGUCAUAACGGUGCAUACAGAGUCAGACAGUCAAAAAGUUCAUUAAAUGGCUAUUUGCAUAGCCAUUUGUGGGAUUAUCCCAGUAUCAAAUUCAUUGAUACAAAUGUGAUGGAUUACUGAGUAGUGACAGAAGGUCCCAUCAUAUACUUUUUCAUUUUCCCACACCCAACUACCCCUAGUAAUGUUAUUGAAAUGGAACCAAUAAUGACGGAUUCUUAUCCAACUAGUUGCCUUAAUGAAAUAUAUAUAAAAUAAUAAAUUUGAAGCAGUGUCCCCUCAUUUUUCCAAAAAUAUAUUUGGUAGUGAAGUAGUUUAUAUUGCUUUUCGGGCUAAAAGAUGUCGCAAUGCCGACGGUACAGGUGUCGACAUCGUGACCAACCCACCAAAUGAUCCCAAGAAAAAGAAAUAUAACUCGAUUUGGGCAGAGAUGAGAGAGAGCUGAGUGACAAGUUUAGGGUUAUGAGUGAAGGGGUAUGAAUGACAACUAUGAGUGAGAAGGUAUGAGUCCGAAGAGGUUUCAGUGAGAAGAUCUGAGUGAGAAGAGGUACAACUGAGAAGAUUCAACAUGUCUUCGUCUUCAUCUCCCGCUCAAACAAAGAGGUGUCAGUAUUGUGGAGCUACAAUGGUGCUUCGGGUUUCAAAAUCUGACAAAAAUCGAGGGAAGCCAUUCUGGAAGUGUCUAACCUCCUAUGUAAGUUUUAAUUUCAAUAAUAUGUAUGUGGGUCAAAAUAAACCCAUGUCUAACUCUGACAGAAUUAUAUUCCAUAUAUGAUGCCUGCAAUUAGGGAGCCACCAGUUGCAAUGGAUUCGAAUGGGUUGAUGUAACCUCCGCUGAAGCAGAACAUCAAGAUGACACGUAUGAUGCUAGAGUGCUGAACAUGCUGAAGUCCAUAAAGGACUUGGUAUUAGUUUUAUUAGUGUAUCAAUGUCAUUUAUUUGUUCUUUUAAUGAUCAUUUAACUGCACGGUUUAAAAGAUUGUGAAAGUUCUCCCGCACAACACAUGUUGCACGCACCACCAAUGAGACCAUUUUACCCAUUUUGUAAUAUUUGGUAACUGCAUGUAUUUCGCAUGUUAUAGAAACGAUAUUGAAUGUUUCUUGAAGGUUUAUUGAAGGUUUAUUGAUAGUUUGCUGCAUGUAUAUGGAAUAUCAUUGCCCCGAAAUUGGAUGUUUAUUGGGGCCACAGGUAUCACUCAAGUAAGAAUGAAGGGGGGAAACGGACCUUAUUCUUUCUUUUAGUAGGAAGAACAACUGUUAAGUUUAAUAUCCUAUUCAAUACGACUUCCCUAUGGUUGGUAUACUUGGGGACUGAAGUAGAUUGCAUCAUUAUUGUGGGCAAGGGCAUGUCUAUUGUGUGUGUUAAGGGAGUAUUGUGUGUAUAUUGCAUGUCUAUUGUGUGUAUAUUGCAUGUUUACUGUGUGUAUAUUGCAUGUCUAUUCUCUGUAUAUGGCAGGCCAAUUUUGUGUAUAUUGUAUGUCUGUUGUGUGUGUAUUGCUUGUCGGUGCGUUUGUGAAUUCUUGUUCAUUUUGUGUAUAUUGUCUAUGUUUCUACUUUUAUACUACUGAGCUGCCGAAAACCUUUCGCAUGUUUAGACACCUAUUAUGAUGCAACACAUUGCGAUUAAUGGUGGCUUGCAUCAACAAUGACAUAUCACUUUGCAAUGAUGUAAUACACUUAAAAAGCCAUCUUCAAAUCCCAAUUUACAUAUGCAGUCUUAAAAUUCCAAUUCAAUGCAGUUUGGUUAACAAACAUGUAAACGUCAUGAAGGAGUUAGCGGUAGAAUUCGAUAAGGACCCGUACGUCUCUAUUGUGUAUUUACAUUAGUUUGAGAAUGGACAUUCCCAAAACCUUCUCAUGUACCAUUUGUCAUCUUCAACCAAUAUCAUGGGAAGUAAGCAUCUCCCCUUGUUAUCUCCGCAGCCAAUUUCAACCGAAAAAAAGGCAUGUUGUGCGAGGUGCAAGUAGCUAACGGAAGCUUAGCGCUGAAAAGCUCAAUGUACUUUAACACAAACAUGCCACAAUCGCCUCUGAAGCAAAACAAGAACUCGAUCAAUUAAACUAAUGACAUUCUAACGUAAUUGACAAUUGAAAGUAAUAAAAUUAAAUUGCAAGUUGUGCUUACUCAUUAGACUGUUGUGGAACAUCCACACGCUCUAUUGGCCACGGACACCACCAAUCUCGGCUGCAAUUGUUUGCAUAAACACCUUCUUCAUAAAAGUCGAUGGUGUUGAGAAGAUUUGGAAGCGUAAUUGAUAGCGGGCCGAGUUCUUCCUUUACGAUGUCAUCUGGAAUUAGUGAAACCUUUGAAUCGUACACUUUGAUUUCACACAAUACCAGAUCAAUCAUUACAGCCACCCAAUGCUUGUACUUCGUCAACAUAAAUGGGGUAUACACCUUAUAGACGGUCUGCCAAUCCAACCCACACGGAGGAACCUUCCCAUUUACAACGUUUAGUAAACUUUUUCUGAUUUUCCACCCAAGCUGCUGUUUUUUUCUUUUAUUAUCCGCAAAGCAAGUACGAAUGUGAUUCUGUGAAAUACAAAACAAUCAAUGGUUAAACACCUCCACUAGUGUGUGUAUGGAAAAUGUGUAAUUAUUAACGGCACUUGGUCAAGGCCGAUGACAUACCAUAAAAAAAACAUCGGUCGUUGUCCAGUCCGCUACUUCUAUCGAAUCUGUCUCCAAUUGUUGUUGUCGUUUCCGGAUGAGAUACAACCCCAAAUCAAUGUGCUGCAACAUGUUUUUCUUGUCAAUCUCAUAAUGUAUGUACAUUAAAACAAAUGCAUAAUCAAUUACACUUACAUCUCCUUUCAGCCAACCAUCAGCUUUCACGAGGGAAGCGAAGAAUUCAAUCUCAGCUUCCACGUUGCCAAAUUGCAUCACCAAACUAUGAAUAUAAAACAGUUUUAGAACACUGUAUAUAAAAAAUUAUAUACAGUCAUGCUUCUAUCUUAUAAUUGCAAGGGACUUACUUUGGGUCAUGGCGCCAUUCCCAACAAAGUUUCAGCAAUUUCACCAGAUCAUCAUGCGGAAUCGCCUUCAUUGGGUCUAACAUCUUCAGUCCGGUUGUCUGUGCCCCAGUUUUUGGAACCAAUUCACUGCCUUCAACGAUCUUCCACAAAGGAAUGAUCCUCUUCCUUUUCCGUAAUUGGACCCCUUGUGCCAGAGCUUUACCUUUAUCAUUCAACCACACGUUCAACUGAGAUAGCACAGCUGUAGGUUCAUCCAAAUCAAUGUCCCCGACAGUAAACUCAAGCAGUGUCCCCUCCGUGCUCUCGCCAGUGUCACCCCCAAGCAACAUAACUUCAUUAUCUUCUUUCUCACAUUCGUUUCUUUGCACUUCCUUUUCCUCACUUCUUUGUGUUUUCACUUCCUUGCCCUCCCUUUUUUUCCUUUGCAAUUUCUCUCCCUUACUGCUUUUUCUUUUCACUUCCUCUCCCUCACUCCCCCGUCUUUGGGCUUCCUCUCCUUUGCUACUUUUUACUUGCACUUGCUCUCCUUCACUUCUUUUCCUUUGCCCUUCAUCUACCUCACUUGGUUUUCCUUGCACUUCACCCCCUUCAAUCCCCUCCUCUUCCUUUUCCUCUCCCUCAUUCCCUCCUCUUCCUUUUCCUCUCCCUCAUUUCUAUUACUUGGCCCUUCACCCCCUUCAAUCCCCUCCUCUUCCUUUUCAUCUCCCUCAUUUCUAUUACUUGGCCCUUCACCCCCUUUAAUCCCUUCAUCUUCCUUUUCCUCUCCCUCAUUUCUGUUACUUGGCCCUUCAUCCCAUUGAAUGUCAUCCAAUUCCCGAUAUCCCCUAAAUAGAUGUGAGACGACACAACGCUUCGUCCUCUGUUUCAGUAAAGCUAGGUCCCUCCUUACUUCCUGCUCAAACUGAGGACCUAAACAUUGGUCCAACAGUUUUUCCAUCCGUAUGACCUUUAAGUGAAGGACGUCUUUUUCCCGCUUUACUUGAAACAACUCGGACCUCAACAAGCUUACCACCUUGUUCAACUGAUCAAGAUCACCACAUGAAGAAGGAAUUGACUCUGCCGAGACAACAGCAGGGCGAUCCUGUGGCCAACUCCAAUAUGGCUGUCUCAUUUCCUCUUCACUCGGACAUAGCGCCCGCAACUGAACUGACUGUUUCAGAAUACAAACCACAGUCAUAUUAAAUCAUUCAACUUCAAAAUUUCAUUCAAUCUUAUCAAUAGUUCUAAGGGCUGCAAAACAAACCUGUUUGCUCUGGAAAAAAUAAUUGUUCAACUUUCUCAUCUCUGGAACAGACGUAGUAGUUCUCCAUCGCAAAAUACGCGGGACAGCGGUCGGAUCAACAACCUUGCAGUAAUUCAGGUCCACCAUUCUAGGAAUUAAUUCAUAUACCCAAAUCUACACAAUUCACAGGACAAAAGUCAUUAUUUAUGUUUUAAAUAAAAACAAAACAUAACUCACAUGAACAUUAUUACCAUGUACCUGGAAAGCAUACGUGAAACCUUUAAAACUCCAGCCACUCCUUUGCGCUUCACCACGCUUAUCCUUCCUGCCCUUCUCAUUUAUCCGGCUUGUUCCCGUUACCUUACUUUUCCCCUUCCCUCUUCCCUCUUCAUUUUGCAAGCUUUUCACAUACUUUGUUGGUGCAGAAAAUAGACUGUCUUGGGUUUUGUCAAAGGACACCGAACCCCACGGAUACCUGUUGAACGCAUCCAAGUCCUCUACAAGGGUCAGGUAAUUUAGAUUGAUGUUCAAAUGUUUGUCCCUUCCCAAAACCACUAACUCAGCAAAGUAAACAAGAGCUAGCUUGUAGAUGUCAUCUUCCUCUGUGCACCUCAUAAAUGCUUCUUCUAAAGCAUUGCAUGUAAUUCCUUCGUCUAUAAAAUAUCUUUUCUGAAGUCUGCUUACAUCACUCCCUCCACUGGAAACUUCAGGCACUUCCCCAAAACGAAGCCCUGUGAUCAAACAGAAAUCCUGACGACUGAACUGAGCAACGUCACACCCUAAUAAGAAACUCAGUCCAUCCAAGUCUUUCACACCCUGCCCCGCUACUCUACGCAACACAGCCCCAUGCACAAUCUGCCCGCUAAACUGAAUCUUAUCUAUAUUCAGAAGAUGGCCAAAGCAUGAUGUCUUGAAUUGUUCUAAUUGUUCCGCACUCAACUUCACUCGAAUUGCAGCUAGAGAUGAAUUUGCAUGUGAGCAGUUGUUCACCCGUGACGAAUAUGCCUCUGCCUCUGGCCAUACCAGCUCCACGUUGGAUCCCAUUUCCUGAAAUACAAUGUGAAAUAACGUGAACACAUAUACUACCACGUAUUUGCACAAUCACAACUAGUCAACCAGGCACAUUACAAAUUUUACAAAGUACAUGAGCAUACGGAUUACUGAUCACAAGCUUUAACAUCAUCAAAGCAAUAUGACAAAAUUUGUGCAAAUACCUGUUAAUGCAAUGAUUAUGUGAAUUACAAACAAUUUCACGUGUUUUAUUUAUGGAUCCAUACUCGUGUGAGUGCAAUGUAGGCACGUUCUGCACUUCACACACAUGACAAUUAUUGUCAUCUCAUACACAACACAAAAUAAAUAAAUAAGAAAUAUAGUGGAAGGAAGCAAAGCAAAGCAUCUACUCUGCUAUCUGCUUGCUAAGCAAUUGCCACAUCCUUCUUUCUUUCUAGCUUUUUCUUCAGUCACCCACAAUCGUCAUAGAUCAACCUUCAUUUCAAAUGCUUUGCACUUUUAUUCAUGAGUUUAUUAUUAUCUGUUCUCAUUUCUCAUAGGCAAAUUUAGUAACAAAUGAAAUCAUAUUUAUUUCACAAAAUAUAUAAAUUCUAGUGCCAGAGCGGUACUGUUCACUCUGCACUGCUUCAAAUGUGGAAGGUUUUGAGCGCCUCCUCCAAUUUAACACCAUUAUCUUAUUCAUAUCAUUACUGACAUGUUAUUGACAUGUUAUUGAGAUGUUAUUGACAUGUGAUUGACUCUAUUUUCAUUCGUUUUUUAACAUAUACCCAAGCAAAAAUUAACAUGCAAUUGAAGCACAAAUAAGAGAUGCCAAAUCCAACAACAUUGAUGGUACAAAUUGGGGAAAACAUUACUCUAACCCUAAACUCAAAUUCCUUAAAUUACUCAUCAAUUGCUUUGCACUUCUAUUCGUGAGUUUAUUAUUAUCUGUUCAAAUGUUUGUCAGGCAAAUUUAGUAACAAACGAAAUCAUAUUUACUUCAUAAAAUAUAUAUAUAUAUAUAUUCUACCGCCUCUUCUUCAUCUGCACUAUGCACUGCUUCAAAUGUGGAAGGUUUUGAAGGCCUCCUCCAAUUCAACACCAUUAUCUUAUUCAUAUCAUUAUUGACAUGUUAUUCACUUGUUAUUGACUUGAUUUUCAUUCUUUUUUUAACAUAUACCUAAGCAAAAAUUAACAUGCAACUCAAGCACAACGAAGAGAUGCCAAAUCCAACAAAAUUUAUGCUACAAAUUGGGGAAAACCAUUACUCUAACCCUAAACUCAAAUUUCAUAAAUUACUCACCAAAUGCUGGUUAUUGCAAGGGGUCUGUGUCGGGUCUUUCUGUUUCUUUGCUCCACAAAUGGAACUUACCACUUCCAACGAUUACAGCUUCUCCCCUUCCCCUUCCACUGCUUCACCCCUUCACUGAUUUGGAAUCCACACCUUUGCCCCUUCUACUCCAAAUAAAUACUUUUUCAGGGUCUGGAGAACGGAAUGGCGAAUCGUUGCCUUCAACUGUCGUUAGCCGUUGCCUUCAUUGGGUAUCUCAGACCUCUGGGUUUUAGAGAGAUGAGUUCUUUCUGUUCAAACUUCGAACUUGCCUCUUCUUCUUCUUUUUCGGACGUGUUUCCCUCUUCUUCUUCUUUUUGGACGUGCUGGAUAUUCAAUUCGGGUUUCGGUUCCUCACCUACCCAACUGUGAAACUUUAUCUCAAUUCUCCCCAGCCCUUGGAUUGAUCUGAUGGCUAUAAAGUGAAUCCCUUAUAACUUACCCCUUAUAACUUUCCACUCAUUGUAGUCUCGGCGAAGUUACAUUAAGGGAAGACAUUGCAUUUGCUCUGCAUUCGCUUCAAUAGCUUUGAGAUUGCCAACGAAUUGUUCAACUUCUUUCUUCACGUUCAAAACAAAUUACCUCUUCUUCUAUGAAUUAGUUAUUGAAGGCAAGGUUAACGAUAUUAACGACUUUUCUAGCUUAAGAACACACACCAAAUCAAAGUUACUCAAGGCAAACAAAACACAUCUUCUAAAGGAACAGAAAAACUGGGAACUGAUACACAAUAAAAUAAGAGAAAGCCAAACCCAAAUUCACCAGUUCCUCAAGAGUACAUUUUACAAAUUAAUGACACAAAGGGAGUUUUGCAAAUGAUCAAUACACCAGUAGAUUAGUUAAAUAUAAGGUGCUUACAAAACAAAAAAAUCAGGGCAAUCAUCAAGCUCAGUGGACCUUCCAAAUUCACCAUGUCUCUGUCAAGGCAGUGAUGAAAAUAAUCAAAAUUUCUGUUAUUGGAACUUCCGUAGGCUGACACUUGAUGAUUUACAUCACUCUAAUUGCUUCAAUAGGGUCCCUGAAAUGAUGACACAUACAUAGUUGAUCAAUUAAUUUGCUUCUAGCAAUCAUUUCUCAAUUCGGGAAUUAAAUUUUUUGAGAAACAACUAAAACAUGCAGAUUAAACAAAACAACAAACCACGUGUAAAUUAAUUUAGGGAGAUUCACUAAAUUAGGCAGAUCAAAGUACCUUUCAUACUCAUUUGAAAAAUCCUCUUCAUAGAAAAAUCAUGAUAUCAUAAAUGCAAACAAUUACUUACAGUUUUAGCGAGUCACCAUCUCAAGAUCAUUGUUGGAGUUCAAUUACCCGGAGGAAAUGCGGAUGUUUGGGAUCUUAGCAGAAAUCUUGGCCCGCUCUCCACUGCCUUCUUCGUAAUGCUCUGCAAGUCUCCGACAUUUGGUGAUGUCAAGAGUCCGCAGUGGUGUUUUGAAGAUGAAGUCUGGCAGUGCUUUUAGCAAUUCGCAGUCGCCAAUUCUUAACUCAGAAAGGCAUGGCAUGAUUGUAAUUUCAGAAUCUUCUUUGGUCCACUCUUCCACGCCUUCCCACUCUUCCCAAUUCGACAUGUGGUAAAAGUGGAGUCGUUUCAAUUUUGGGAAUAAUCUGAUUCUGAAUGAGGUUUGAUGUUCUAAUCUCAAAAAUUCAACACCGACCUUUUUCAUUCCUUCGAUACCGAAUAUGGCCAGUCUUUCAAGGCAUUCCAAUUUCCCAAGAGGCCAAAAUUCACACAGUGUCCCCCAAGCAACAGUAAGGAAUCUCAAAUUGUGUAAAGACUGAAUCCAAUUGGGCCACGUGGUGCCAUUAUGUUCCAAAAUCUCUAAAGAUUCCAAAUCUGGGUGCGGUCGUAAGGCAUUCAGUAUUUCUACACUACUACUACUACUACUGUUUGUCCGCCCUGCAAAAUUAACACGGAGAUUAAAUAGCUUUUUGUCCCACAAUUGUGCUUUCUCAACCUCGCUCUUAUCUGUCGCAUCCCCCCCAAGUUGUAUUUCCAGACUUCCCUCAAGGUUCAAGUUUCUCAGAUCCCCAAUUUGGAAUGCUUCAUCUUUGUCGCCACCCCAUGAACACGCAUCUAGUGUUUGCAAACUUGUUAAUCUCCCUAUCACUUUGGGGAACGACUCCAGAAGACCACAAUACUUAACAUAAAGAUGCUUUAAGUUAAUCAAGUUUCCCAUGUUUUCAGGCAGUUUUGUAAGGCCAGAGCAGUACAUAAGGCGCAAGGUUGACAAAUUGUACAAACCACAAAUAGUGUCUGGUAAUUUCUUCAGUAUAGGAUUGGAAGACAAAUCAAUAUGCCUCAAAUGUAUCAAUUCACCAAUCUCCUUCGGGAGUUCUUCGAUGGGAUUAAAACUCAAAUUUAAUGUCCUAAGACAUUUCAAUUGUAAAAUUAAAUUUGGGUCUAUGGUAGUAAUUCUUGAAUUAAAAGUUGCGAGCGUACGGAGAUUUUUGCAAUCGUAAGAUGAGAUAAAAAGUGGAAGUGGACCUUCAGGAACAUAUCUCAAGGUCAAAUGACGAACCUUAUCACCAAAUACCUUUGGUUCGCUGGUAGUUUCCUCACCAUGAUCGAUAAUCAAACACUCAUUCUUGGUGAAAAAUUGUACAAAGUCAUGCACAAUAUCAUGCAUUUUGCAACUGGUAAUGGUACCGGUGUCAAAAUCUUUCUCAAAAUCUUGGAAAAAUGACCGUGCCACUAAAUUGUCAAAAACUGCAUAACCCGUUGUUUCCUUUUCUUUAUUCCCUUUCGAAAUAACAUAGUCUUGUGCCAUCCAAAGUUUAAUCAAAUCAUCUCGUUCAAACUGGUAAUCUUUUGGAAAAGUAGCACAAUAUAAAAGGCAACAUUUAAUUGUUGGGGCCAAAUCAUUAUAACUUAGGAAUAGGGGUUGGAAAACUUCUUGCUCGACCUUCUCUAGAUCCCAUAUCUUACUAUGCAAAACUUCUUUCCAUUCUCCCAUUUUUGUCUUAUUCUGCAUGAGACUACCCAAAGUCUUUGCAGCAAGAGGCAAACCUUUACACUUCUUUACAAUUUCCUUACUAAUAUCUCCAAACUCAUGUACAUCCCUAUCCAAAAAGGCCAUGUGAUUGAAGAUUGACAAACAACAUUCAUCAUUCAACUCUCCCAGAUUGAUCUUGUUUCUUGUUGCUCUCAUCAUGUCAGCAACCUCAUGUUUUCUUGUGGUCACCAAUAUUCUGUUGCCUUUAGCACCAUUUUGGAUUAAUGGUACCUUUAAUUGUUCCCACUUUUUAGGAUCAUCGGUCCAUACAUCAUCCAGGACAAGGAGAAACCUUUUGCCCUGGAUGGAUGUACACAUACAUUGCAAGACCUCAUCCAACUCAUUUGAAUUUGGGGCGUUUUUACCAAUAAUGGCUUUGGCAAUCUUAAUCUCAUCAAAAGGGUCUGAAACACAAACCCAUUUCCUCAAAUCAAAAUGGGUUUUGACUCGGUCAUCAUUAUAGGCUAGUUGGGUUAAAGUUGUUUUUCCCAUGCCUCCCAUCCCGACAAUAGGGAUGAUAAGGAACCCCUUCCCUUCCGCACUACUAUCACUCAACAAGUUUGUUAUCAAAACCUUUUUUUCAUUUUCUCGACCAAAUAUCUCAGAUAUAUCGACAAAAGAUGCAGUUUGAGGUCGUUGAGGUUGUUGAGGUUGUUGAAUGCCUAAUUCUUUGCUUAGAAACUGGUACUUUUUUCUUUCCUCAUAAAUCUCAGUUAACUUAUCAUUCAGAUCUUUUAUUUUCAGAGCAAUGUCAUGGCGAAGAAUCACCCGACUGACUUUGCCAAGACGAAAGUAACGGGUGAAACUAGAGAAACGUACCUUCUUCUUUGUAACAAGAGCAUUUGGAUCACCUUCUCUUUCUUGCUUCUCAACUUGUUGUCUGAGAAUGUUUGUGUUCCACUCAUCCAGCACAUCCACCAUCUGGUAGGAUACAUCUUUCAGCUCAUCCAACCAGAUUUUGACAGCUUGAUCCGUCACUUGGCGUUGCUCUGCAUCCUCAAGCACAGCUUGAAUAACUCGGAGAGUCCGAGUGAAUUUCUUAACAUCUUCCUUAACGUUCAAAACAAGUUUCACCCCUCCUUCUAUGUAUUCAUAGGUUGUCGAGGCCAACCGUUCUAGCAGCACGUAAAUGAGCGCAUCAGCCAUUAUUUUGAGCUUCAGAAAAUGGUUGACAGCAGUGUUUAUGAACAAGAACUGAUUUGGGGAUAAUUGUUUGUGUUGUGGUGUUCCCUUUCUUCUGCCCAGUUUAUAUGCUGAGUAAGUCUUCAAGGCAAACUCCGAGUCAAUUUUUAAGAUGCAUAACAGGGACACUAUAUUUUAAAGUGACAUGUUGACAUAUUAUAAAAGAAAUAUCUAAUCUGGGGCUGGUGAAUGUGCCAGACUGUCUUUCUUGACCUUACCAUACAAGACAAGAUUAACGCCUUGUUAAGGCGUGGAUGACAUCUGGCUUAAUAAUUGAUCGAGUUUUUAUACAUAUAAACUUUUUCCUUAUACUGUUACAUGAAGCAUUACCUGAACUCUACCUACUUGAAUAAAGAAAUGUAUCAAAGAUUGGUUGGACAAUUGAUUUACUUGUCACACACACCUUGUGACAUAUACUGUGAUCUGAACAAGAAGAAGAGGAUGAGAUUUAGGGAUUUCAAGAGAAGAAGGAAGAGAGAAAGCAAGAAGGAAGAGAGCCCUGUAAACCUGUAUAUCUGAUUAGAUUGUAAGUGAAAAAUGGUAAAAGCACAGCUUUAGUACAGUGCACAUCUCCUAAUAUUACGCUAACAAACUUAACAAAUACAGCUCUCUCACUAACAGACUUAACAGAGAGCACGUGAGCUGCACAUGAUGACUUAACAAUUUCUUAACUAAAACACAUGGUUAACAUUUUCCCUACCCAGCUGAACUCCUCAGUCUAAGAUGAAGACAGUGUUGUAAGAAAAUGGGACUGUGUAACCCCUUUGUAAAAACAUCUGCUAUUUGUUCUUCAGUAGGUAUAUACUGCACAAUAAGAUCCUUUCUUUGUACCUUCUCUCUCACAAAGUGGAAGUCUAUAUCCAAAUGCUUAAUUCGAGAAUGGUAUACUGGGUUUGAGCUUAAAGCUAGUGCUGAUAAGUUGUCACAGUACAUAGUAGGAGCAUCUGGCAAAAACAUCUUUAGAUCCAAGAGAACCUGUCGAAUCCAUGACAAGUCAGCAGCUGUGUUUGCUAGGGCCCUGUAUUCUGCCUCUGUUGAACUCCUAGACACAGAACCUUGCUUCUUGGACUGCCAGGAGAUAGGAUUACAACCCAAGAAUACUACACAUCCGGUUGUAGACCUUCUAGUAUUGAUAUUCCCUGCCCAGUUUGCAUCACUGUAUGCAUUAAGCUGCCAAGGACCCUUUGUAAAACUGAUUCCAUACUCUAAUGUACCCUGUACAUAUCUGAGAAUACGCUUCACCAAAAGAUAGUGAACCUCAGUUGGAUUAUUCAUAUAUUGACACACAUGAUUCACAGCAUAAGCCAGAUCAGGUCAUGUAAAUGUUAGAUACUGUAGAGCACCUACGAGACUGCGAAACACAGUAGGAUCAGCCAAGGGCUCACCGUCAGUCUGUAACACUUGAGUGUGUGGCUUACAUGGUGUUGCACAGGCUCUACAUGAACUCAUGCCUGCUUUAUGUAGUAGAUCCUUGGCAUACUUAGUUUGACUCACGAAUAUGUCACCAGAGGAAUUAUAGGAAAUCUGCAGACCUAAGAAAAAGGUGAGUUGCCCCAUAUCUUUCAUUUCAAACACCUCACUUAAGUCUGUAACCACUCUUUGAAUCAACUGAUCACUCGAACCUGUUAUAAUGAUAUCAUCAAAAUAUAAGAGUAGAAUGAUAAUAUCAUUCCCAGUAUGCUGCACAAACAGACUUGGAUCUGAAUGUGAAGAUUUAAAGCCAAGAGUAGGUAAGUAACCUGUGAAUUUAGCAUUCCAUGCCCUUGGAGCCUGUUUAAGACCAUACAAAGAUUUUUUCAGUUUACAUACAAACUGUGGAUGAGUAGAAUCUUCAAAACCAGGAGGCUGUUUCAUAAAAACUUCUUCUUCAAGAUCGCCAUGUAGGAAAGCGUUCUUGACAUCAAGUUGUCAUAGUUUCCAUUGGUUCAUAGCAGCUAUGCUUAAUACUAACCUCACUGUUGUGUGUCUAACAACAGGAUUGAAGGUUUCCCCAAAGUCAAAACUAGGCUCUUGACUGAACCCCUGAGCAACAAGUCUGGCCUUAUAUCUACCCACUGAACCAUCUGGAUUUCUCUUUAUUUUAUAAACCCACUUACUACCAAUAAUAUUUUUUAUCACCUGGACUAGGAACUAAGAUCCAUGUGCCUUGCAUAUGAAGAGCAUCAAUCUCCUCUUUCAUAGCUUGCCUCCACUCAGAAGAAAACGAAGCCACCUUAAAACUAGAAGGCUCAUCUAAUUCCGGAAUAGCAUGAAGACAGGUAAAAUAACCUUGAUAAUCUGGGAACUCUUUGUUUUGAACUAUACCACUUUUGGCCCGAGUAAUCAUAGGAUGAUCAUUGAUAGGAAAUAAAGAAACCGAUGAGUCCACAGUACUAACAGAAGAAGAGGAAACAUUAGAGACCUCAAACUGAAACAUAACCUGUAAUUGUUGUUCAUUCAACACAGGUACAGAACCUGCAGAAGCCACUGGAAUAUCAUCCAACGAAGCUUGAUGUUGGAUAGGAGAUAAAGACCCAGGAGUAGAUGAGAUGGACUGAGAUUGAGAAGUAGAUACUUGUGUAUCAGAGGCUAGAGACGAUGGAUCCUGAGAAUUAAGAGAAGCUUGAGAAGGCCUUGAAGCCAAAGAAACAAUGACAGAAGCUACUGAUGCAGUAGAAGAAAACUGAGAAGACUGCCUACAUAUGCUAGGGUUAAUGUGCUUAAAAGGAAAUACAGCUUCAUCAUGAGGAACAUGCCUUGAGAUUACACAUUUUGCAGUAAUUCGAUUGUAGCAAAUAACUCCUUUGUAACCAGGUGAAUAUCCCAAGAACACGCACUGAGUGGUUCACGGUUGUAACUUAUGCACAUUAUAAUGUCUUAGAUACGGAUAUACCGCAGUACCAAAUAUUCUCAAAGAAGCAAGAUCAGGAUGAUGACCAAAUAAACGAAAAUAAGGAGAUUGAUGAUGUAAAACAGAGCUGGGCAUUCGAUUUAUAAGAUACACAGCAUGAGCAGUAGCAUGAAACCAAAAUUGACCUGGCAAGGCUGCUAUAGUUAACAGGGUAAUGGCUGUUUCAAUAAUAUGCCUAUUCUUCCGCUCUGCCAGUCCAUUUUGCUGCGGAGUAUACGGGUAAGACAAACGACACACAAUUCCCUUGGAAGCCAAAAAAUCUGUAAAAACCUUGCUAAGAAACUCACCACCACCAUCACUCUGAAAACACUUAAUAGCAGCACUGAAUUGAUUUUGUAUCAAAGCAUGAAACUGUAGGAAUUUGGAGAAAACUUUUGAUUUAUUGAAAAUGGGAUAAACCCACAAAUAUCCAGUACAUUCAUCAAGGAAGAAAACAAAAUAUCUGUAACCUUCAACAGAUUUGUAAUGGGAAGGACCCCAUACGUCACUAUGAACGGUAUGAAAGGAAUUUCAGACCUACAAUGUCUAACAGGAAAUGGAAGCCGAUGCAUCUUCCCUUGAAGACAAGCUGAACACAAGGGAUUCAAAUUGGAAGAAUCAUUUGCACAUUGCAAACCAGAGGCUUUAAGCAUUGAUUGCACCACUUCAUUCGUUGGAUGGCCAAGUCUGUGAUGCCAAAUGGACGACUUAACAUGUUGACCAAGCAAAGCCACUUUCUUGGAUAGGUAAUGAGACCUAACCAAGCGUCACGAGCAGUCGUGGUGCCAAUAACAUACUCAAUGGCCUCAUCAGAGAGAGUGGCAAUGAGCAAACUGAGUAAAGCCUUAUUAGCGAGAAUCCAUUCCUUGUAAGCAGCAGUAACUUCAGAUGUAACACCCUCCUCAUCAACAAUAGCAAAGCGAGGAACAACUUCAGUUCCGUCAAAAUGCCCAAACAGAUCAUAACCCUGAAGAACAGAUUCCAAUUGAAAACUCCACUUGAGAAAAUUAUCGUCCCUGAGACGACGAGUAAUCAUCCCAAGCAAACCGUCAACUUUGACCGAAGAGGAAGAAGAAGAAGUCGCCAUUGAUGAACAGAAAUUAGAGAAAAGACAGAAAAAAAGAAGGAACAAUAGAGACAGAGCAAGAGAAGAGCACAGCGAGGAGACAGUUCAGAAAAAUCAGAAGCGGAUCGAAAGUGUCAAGCCACGAUGGGCUCUGAUACCAUCUUAACAAGAAGAAGAGGAUGAGAUUCAGGGAUUUCAAGAGAAGAAGGAAGAGAGCCAUGUAAACCUGUAUUUCUGAUUAGAUUGUAAAUGAAAAUUGGUAAAAGCACAGCUUUAGUACAGUGCACAUCUCCUAAUAUUACGCUAACAAACUUAACAAAUACAGCUCUCUCACUAACAGACUUAACAGAGAGCACGUGAGUUGCACAUGAUGACUUAACAAUUUCUUAACUAAAACACAUGGUUAACAUGUGAGUGUAGUUUAGUCAGUUCGUGCAUGUUCCCAGUAAAGAUCAUGUAAAUGAUGUAAGUCAUAUACUUAGAUAUUUGAAGUUAGCAACAAGAAAAUGACUUAUGUUCUCUAAGCAUGGGCAUUUAAAUGUGGAAAAGGUACACCGAUGUUGAUUGGGCAGGUAGUAUCAUUGCCAUGAGCUCUACAUCAAGUACAUUGGUUGGAGGUAAUUUCUCACUUGGCAUAGCAAUAAGCAAAAGAUGGUGGAAUACAGAAUAAUGGUACAAGGAAUCUAUGAACUAUUGUGAUUGAUAAUGUACAAAAUAAUGAUCGUACAUGUUGAAGCGGUAGACAUUUCAUUAAAAAAAUGAAGACAAUUAAUAUUCCAUUUGUGAAGACUAAAGACCAAUUAGUCCAUAUUCUGUCCAAGACAAUUAAAAAAAAAUAAGGUGUGCUACAACUCAUUGGUCAAGUUGAGGAUUGGAGGUAUGUGUUCACCAAUUUGAGCGUGAGUGUUAGUGUGAAUUCUAAAUAUAACCUAAUUUGUAGUCUCCUAUUUGGACUUUAUUAGGUUUAAUUACUUUACUUAAGGUCCACUUCUCGUAAAUCCUAUUUGUAACUAGGAGAAGAAUACAUAUUUGAGAGUUUUAUCGUAUUUGUUUCGACACCGAAAUUUUUUCUUAACGUAUGCACCUAAGUGAAACUCAUUCAGUUUUGCUCCAAAAGGAUUCCGUUGUGGACAUAAACCUUCUUGAUGAUUAUUAAACCUAAGUAAAGAUGAAGAUUAAAAGUAUAUUAAAUCAAUCCCAUUCAAAAUUUAAUCAACAAUGUUGUUUGUGCAAAUAAUCUCACGGGAGAAUAUUCGCUUCUAGAUCCCUCAACCUUCGACCUUCCUUCUCUCUCUUCCUCGUUUCCUGUAAAAAAGAUUGGAGUAAAUAGACCACACCUGGGGUGUGUUGGCCAAAGACCCUCCGAUGCCUAAGUUAGUUCGAGUGUUUGUAGGAAAACAAUAGCUAAGCAAAGGGUACGGAGUUGUAUGUAUGGUGUGAACCGGGAAGCCGAAGCCAUGUGUGGUGGCCGGAGCCGUGUGGAGAAAAUAUGGAGAGUGGAGAGGGAGAGAGAGCUUCAGGUAUUUUUCUCGGGUAUUAGGAGUAGGUUUAGAUGUACCUUGAAUGAUGAAUGAGGUCGUCUAUUUAUAGGAGCCUCGGGGGUAGGGUUUCGUAGAGAUCGAGUCGGACUUGAUAAUAUCCGAAUUAAUGAUAUUAUCUCUUAAGAAGAUAAUAUCUGAAUUAAAUGAUGUUAUCUUCUCUUUAUUAGGAUAAUAUCUGAAUUAAUGAUAUUAUCUCUUUAAAUAAAGAUAAUAUCAUAUUAAUUAAGAUAUUUAUCCCAAUUAAUUAAUUAGCCAGAUAAACUGGUUUAAUUAAUUAAUUUAAGAGAUAAUCUUCUUUUCCACGUGGUGUGCCCUAAUUGGAGACGAAAAUAUAUGCUCCCACAAAUGCCCCCCAGCUUCUGCGUAGCGCUUGUGCGGUAGGUAGGAGAUGAAAUUAUUUUUUUCGAACUCUCCAACUUUGUUUGGGCUUUCUUCUGUGAGUUGGACUCCUUUUGCAGAUCGGAUUCUCAAUUGGUGUAGGCUUCUGACUGUAGUUGGAGUUGGAUUCCCAGUAGGAAUGAGCUUGCGAUUCCUUCUUGACCCGGGUUGUCCAACUUGUAUAAAUACAUGGCUUCUCUUCACUCUUUCUCACAUCGCAAACUUAAUUUCUCUACUUUCUAGCUUGAGAAAGAUAUUGGAAAAUUUUGUACUGCUUGUCGAAGAGAGGAGUUGCCGUGCAUUCCAAGAUAAGUCGAGCACGUAUAUAUUUUCUUCAUCUUCUCUUUUUUGGGGUGAGGACCAGCUGGGUAGGACUAGGCUGGUUGACGUUGUGACUGGCGGUCAAAGACGGUUGGAGCGGCGGUGGCCGCUGGUUGCUGCUGAGCGAGUAUCGAAAAAAGUUGGUGGUCUGCCCCCUGCCCAAGGUGUUGAGAGAUGGAAGCAGAAUGGUCUAGUCUCUAAUGAUCUGCCGGCUGGGUAGGAGGAGUGUUCUGCCGGACCCCCAUAAAAAAGGAAGGCUGAUGUCAAGUCUUCAAUAAAUGAAGCUGCGACUUCGCGGGCGAAGGAUGUGUCACCGUUAAGAAGAAGCCAAGGAUUCCUUCUGUUGAGAAGAGUCAAGUAGGAGUUGUUCCCCCGUCGUCAGCUAGGGUUAAACAUCUCGUUGGUGCAGAUAGUAAGCAGAUUGGUGAUAUGCGCAAUAUUCGGGAUGUUCCACUCAAGCCUCCUGCAGACAAGCUUGGAGACCAUGAUCUGCUUCGUAAAGUAGUCCGUGCGCGAUCUAGUUCACCUGCUGUGAGGCAAUGAGAUGCAGAUAUUCUUCUUCGAAGUUCGGUCUUUUGCACCAGUUAAAGGAUGAAGGUCGAACUGGGAGGUCUUCUCAUCUACCCAACCGUCAUGAUCCAGUAGUUGAGUCACGAGCAGUCAAGUGUGGAGUAGAUUCAGCGUCGUUGGCUCAUUUGGAAGUGAGGACAGCGGCGACCAAGAAGAUGAAAGAGUCAUCUGCCCGGGUCGAGGGCUCUUCUGCAACGUCAGCGACUAAUCCGGAAGUGGACAAAUCCGCCCUUGCAGGGGAUGCAUGCAUGCCUGAUCUGCUUAAGACGAACUUUCUGUCAAGUCCAUCCACUUGUGCUGAGCUGGUUAAUCAAAUCUGUCAGCUGGCGAUCUUGGUCUUUUCUCAAGUCUUUUCUUGGAAAAACAAAGGGAAACAACAUUUCACAUGCUUCAAAAAAAAGGUGGUGGAAGAUGUCGCGAAUCAGGCAGGUGGAGCUGCUGAGAACGUGGCUGAUCAGACGGAUGUGGAAGAGACUGCAGAUCAAGGAUCUCUUGCUAGCGUCUCGGAGUAGAUGAAGACUCAUUUAUUUCUUUUCAGCUUUUGUAGUCUGCUCUCUGUUUAGAAUAAUCGGUCUUGUUUGACCAUCUUCUUUUUGUUGAACUUGGCCGGUUGAUCACUUUGCUAUGGAAAUUUCAGUUUUUUUUUGUUGAAUAACUUCAAUUCGCAUAAUGUCUUGUGAAUUGCUUGAGUGUUUCUGAGUUGUGGCAUGUUUAGCCUACGUCUAGAGACGUGUCGAUGAGAGUGGCCUGUUUGACUUACAUCAGGAGACGUGUCGAUAAUAGUGGCAUGUUUGGCCUACGUCCGGAGACGUGUCAAUGUGUAUAACUCGUUUACGUCUAGAGACGUGUCGAUGUGUAUGACCCGUUUGGCCUACGUCCGGAGACGUGUCGAUGAUAGUGGCCCGUUUGGCCUACGUCAGGAAACGUGUCGGUGAGAGUGGCCCGUUUGGCCUACGCCCAGAGACGUGUCGAUGAGUGUGGCCUGUUUGGCCUACGUCCGGAGACGUUCGAUGAGUGUGGCCUGUUUGGCCUACGUCUCGUCAGUAGACGUGUUGAUGAGUGUGGCCCGUUUGGCUUACGUCCAGAGACGUGUCGAUAAGUGUGGCCCGUUUGGCCUACGUCAGGAGACGUGUCGAUGAGAGUAGCCCGUUUGGCCUACGUCAGGAGACGUGUUGAUGAGUGUGGCCUGUUUGGCCUACGUCAGGAGACGUAUCGAUGAGACAGUGGCCCGUUUGGCCUACGUUUGGAAACGUGUCGAUGAGUAUGACUCGUUUGGCCUACAUCCGGAGACGUGUCGUUGAGAGUGGCCCGUGUGGCCUACGUCCUGAGACGUGUCGUUGAGUGGCCCGUUUGGCCUACGUCAGGAGACGUGUCAAUGAGAGUGGCCCGUUUGGCCUACGCCCGGAGACGUGUCGAUGAGUGUGACCCGUUUGGCCUACGUCCAGAGACAUGUCGUUGAGUGUGGCCUGUUUGGCCAACGUCCGGAGACGUGUCGGUGAGGGAGGCUUGGGUGCCUGCUUAGAGCCCAGCUGAUAGGUGAAGAGUUUUAUGGAUAGUCCCCUUGGAGGUGAUGGGCAUUACAUUGCCUUGGAACUUCCUUCCCAUUGAAAGAUGAUGAAAGGUUUUUCUUCCAUAAUUUGGUAGCUAGUGACCGCUUGGAAGACGAAAGUUGCCUGCUUGAUCUUUCUCUUCUGCCCCCUGGUGGUCAGCCCGGGCUCUUGGAGUCAGCUAGGAUCGUGUUGAUCCAUAUGGCUUUUUUCGUGGAGGCUCAUUGUUAGUUGCGUCACAAUCCUUGAUUUGCUGGAUAGCCCCCCUUGAGAUGAAUUCCAUGCAAUGGCCGUCUCUGACUAGAUCUUCGAGGUGCCUUUUUCGAGCGAAGCAGUCGUUUGUGUAAUGACCGUACCCUUCAUGGAAUCUGCAAUAUCUACUAGUAUCCUUCUCGGUUAGGUUUCCCUUUAAAGGUGAUGGUUUCUUCAACCAAGGCAUGUCCUUUACUUGGGCUAGGAUCUGGUGUAUCGGGAUAGUGAACUUGGUGUAGCUCUCUGUUGCUAGAGCACAUUCCUGAGGCUGUGAUCUGUGCUUGCCGUUCUCUUUGCUUGCCUGCUUAUUUGCUUGAUCAGCCUUCUUCGCGACAAUCUGGUCGUCGUCCCAUAGUGUGUAGCGCUCUGCUGUAGCAAAGACUUCUAUCAAUGUUUGGCGGGGAGAGAUGGUCAGCUCGCGAUACAGCUCACAUUCAAUUGGCAACCCCCUCUUGAAGGCGGAGGACGCAAUUUGGCCAUCACAUCCUACAAUGUUUGCCCUCUCCGCUUUGAACCUCUUGAUGUAGUCUCGGAGGGAUUCAUCGGACUUCUUGUGCAUGUUAGAUGGUCAGGGUUCUUCUUGAUCGUCCGAUAAGAAGUGUACUCUUUGGUGAAGACAUAUGCAAGCUCCUUGAAGCUGCUGAUCGACUCGGAUAGCAGGGUGUGAAACUAGUCCUGAGCUGCUCCUCGCAAAGUCAUUGCAAAAACCUUGCUCAUUAGCGCAUCUUUAGUUUUUUGUAGGAUCAUAAGGCUCUUGAAAUGCUUCAGAUGGCUUUCGGGAUCGGAAUCCCCUUCGAAGCAUGUGAAAGAGGGCGUUGAGAAUCGUUUCGGGGGAGCAGCUUGCUCGAUUUCGGUGGUGAAAGGUGAGGAGUUUGCUUGGUCUACCUCCAUGCGUAGUGCAUCUUCGAAAUUUUCUCCAAUCUUUAAGUCUUGAAGUCGGUUAUUCACAAGCUUCUCAACGUCUUCUGCACACAUGGCUGGUCGGCCACGUUGAUGACCUUUACGAUUUGGGCGAGGCUGAUUAACUUCCUCGUUGGUUUGCAAGGGUCGACUUUCUCGGUUGCGCUGCCUAGACGGCGUGUUGGUGGACUACGUUUGUGAGGAAUUUUCUGUAACUUGGCGACGAGAAGUGGUUCUUCGAGAGAAAGUAGUAAAGCGCAUUUCUUCACUGUUCUCAUUGUGAUGAUUAUCAGUUUGACCUCCUUGGGGGCCUAGGUGGGCAUGGAUGCCAAGUUGUGGGCCUAACAUAUUGUGCACGUUGGUCCUUAAAUUCAAUCUGGAUGGCAGACUUCGUCUGCUCUGAGUGUGGCUUGCGGAUGCUUGCGACAUGUUGGCGAGCUGAUUGCGUUGUUUUGCAUUUCCUUGUCUGCUUACUCUUGCUCGACCUGCUUGGUUCCCACCGAACUGCCUAUCGGUGCGUUCGUUCAUCCUUCUCUCUUCGCCCUGUUGUCCAACGCCAAGGUUUUGAGCCAAGUUUAUUUGAUUGAGGAAUUGCCUCAUUAAAUUGUUUUGGUCGUCCAUUCUCUGAGUUAGCUGGUCAACUCUCAGAUUAAGGUCUACUUGACUUCGUGGAUCGGGAGGAAAGAAAUGUGUGGAGCCUAAUUGCACACGGGCUAGGGUUUCAUUACAUGUGUACGUGGGUGCGCGUGUCGAGCGUGGAGGCAAUGGAGGGAAUGCUUGAAGUUGCUCCAAGAUUGGGCCAAAGUCGGCGGUGGUAGUGAGCCCACCUUGAUGCGAGGUUCCACCAUGCUCAACGGCGGUGCUAUGAAGGUGGCUAGAUCCGGCCACGGGGCCUUGAGAUGGUACGACGGCGGCAGAGGCCGGUGCGGUGGCCCUCGCUGCGAGUCUGGCAGGUGGCACGAUGAUUCCAGUCACACGGGGUGGCUGCUGAGGGUUCAUGGUGGCGAGAGGUGGUGGAGCCGCCAUGUCGAUUGUGCGAUCGUGGGAAGAGUAGCUUUGGGCCGUCACGGAUUGAGCCAUCGCGGCGGUCUUACUCUUCAUGCACUUGCUUCCAACCAUGGUUGUUUGGAAGGCUUCGGUGGAUUGGAAAAUAGGAGGAACGGAUUCCUUGAGCACGUGUUGAGUAUAACUCGUGCUCUCAACGAGAGCACCAAAUGUUUGUGCAAAUAAUCUCACGGGAGAAUAUUCGCUUCUAGAUCCCUCCACCUUCGACCUUCCUUCUCUCUCUUCCUCGUUUCCUGUAAAAAAGAUUGGAGUAAAUAGACCACACCCGGGGGUGUUGGCCAAAGGCCCUCCGAUGCCUAAGUUAGUUCGAGUGUUUGUAGGAAAACAAUAGCUAAGCAAAGGGUACGGAGUUGUAUGUAUAGUGUGAACCGGGCGGCCGGAGCCAUGUGUGGUGGCCGGAGCCGUGUGGAGAAAAUAUGGAGAGUGGAGAGGGAGAGAGAGCUUCAGGUAUUUUUCUCGGGUAUUAGGAGUAGGUUUAGAUGUACCUUGAAUGAUGAAUGAGGUCGUCUAUUUAUAGGAGCCUCGGGGGUAGGUUUCGUAGGGAUCGAGUCGGACUUGAUAAUAUCCAAAUUAAUGAUAUUAUCUCUUAAGAAGAUAAUAUCUGAAUUAAAUGAUGUUAUCUUCUCUUUAUUAGGAUAAUAUCUGAAUUAAUGAUAUUAUCUCUUUAAAUAAAGAUAAUAUCAUAUUAAUUAAGAUAUUUAUCCCAAUUAAUUAAUUAGCCAGAUAAACUGGUUUAAUUAAUUAAUUUAAGAGAUAAUCUUCUUUUCCACGUGGCGUGCCCUGAUUGGAGACGAAAAUAUAUGCUCCCACAAAUGUCUCAUAGACCACAUACAUAUCCACCCACGCAAACGUAGUGGUUAUAUGAAAUGAAAACUUAUCUUUGGCUAUAUGAUAUCCCACAACUUUCUUUUCCUCUCUUCUCUUAUCUUUUCACACACAUAUACAUUUAUACUAUAUAUGGUACAAUAAUUAGUAAUAUUUGGGUUAAUUCUAAAUUAGGGAAUGUAGGAAACAACUACUAUCUUGCCUUGGACAAUUGUAUAGCUUCUUGAUCAUGUGUAGACUCUUCAGCCCAGGCAAACUGGUGAUGAGACAGGAGUGAGAAUUCGCGAUUCCUUACAUCCUCAAGCUGCUCCCACUCUGCCCAUCUCUCUGCUAGAUCCACUCCCUGCAGCAAUCUAAUGACCAUAGCACCAUUUCAUGAUAAAGACAUUAUCAUACAGCUUUAGUGCUGGAACUCUCUCAAACCUCUUAGUUAGAAUUCUAAAUUUUUAAUGGGCUGGUCAGCCCAGUCCUACACCAACAGUAGGGGUGGGCGAAACCAGAUUGAACCAGACCGAACCGGCUAGUUUGAUUAGGAUUUUGACAAAAAUUAAGGUCAUACGGUUCAAAACCCAGCUCAGUUCAGCUGGUGGUUUCAAUUCCCUCAGGAACGAGAGAACAUAACCGAAUCAUUUCCCACUCUUUUUAUUAAUUCCGCCCGUAUCCCUCCUAUAAAAUCAUCUUUUUCCCCUAGCUCUAGCCACAUAAACCUAUCUCUCCAGUGAAGGAAGUAAACAAAGACAUCCUUCGCAUAACUCCUUUAGCAUGCAGACAAACACAAAACAAGGAUGUAUUUAAAAAUAAUAUAUAUUAUAUGAGUAUGAUAUAUAUAUAUAUAUAUAUUUUAGUAUGAUAUAUAUAUAUCCAAUUUUCUAUAACAGGUUAACCGUACUUGAGGAUAAUCAAGGUCGCCCGGCCAGUGCAUGUUGGUAAACUGGCCGUGCAAAAUCUGAUUAUCCACUAGUGUGGUUAACCAUAUUAUAGAAACACGGAUAUAUAUAAGUAAUCCCCAUUAACUCUCUUACAAUAAGAAUUCGUACUUAUUGCUGAUGCCAAUACAUCAAUACAAGGGAAUAUAAAAGGAAAUGAGAAUCAGAGUUUAAUGGGAUUUACUUGAAUUUUGGAAUUGUAAAGAAUUGCAUUGGAACUCUUCCGGUUAACUCAUUCGAUGAAAGAUCCCUGCCCAAAAAAAAAAGGAAUUUAUAAAUGGUAAAGAAUAUCACACAGUGUGCAAGCUCAGAUGGGCAUGCAAUUAUAUUUAGGCAAUAAGUCAAACAGCAGGAUUUCGAAAAAAAGGAAUUGCUUACAGUUCAGUCAACCCGCUAAUGUUUGAAAGUGAAUCCGGAAUAUGUCCAGAUAUGUGGUUACUGUUGAGAUUUGGAUUGUCAAGGGAGCUAGAGAGCAAAAGACUAAGAGAGGGAGAGAGAGCCUGAGCAAGAAGGAAUCAAUAUGGUUAUGACCACUACUCCUCUGCUUAUCCGUUGCAGCAGAGCAGACUAUAUUCAUACCCAAAAUGUGUUCUUACAUCAGCAAAUACAAUCUAACCGUUGUGAAGGAUAAACCAAUGUGAAUAUGACACAUGGCUUUACAAGCUUUACAACCGCUGAAAUAAGAGAGACAAUCCUAAGCCUUACACUUGGCAUAUGAGCUCAAGGUGCUCAGCUCACAGAUGACUUAAAUGGACUGAAUAUAAACUGACUAAGUACUUACUAACUAAUCAGAAAUAGCUAGGCAGUUUACAUUUUAACACUCCCUUUCUAAAGUGCUAGCUGAUUUCACUCCAAGCAUAUUCCUCAAAUAGCUGAACCUGUCUUUGGGAAGUGCCUUGGUGAAGAUGUCAGCAAUUUGCUCUUCUCCUUUGCAGUAGAGCAGCUCAAUCACUCCUUCUUGGAUUGCUUCUCUAAUAAAAUGGAACUUCCUCUUAAUAUGCUUGCUCCUUUGAUGAAAUACAGGAUUUUUAGCCAUUGCUAUUGCUGAAGUGUUGUCACGGAACACAGUUUUUGCAGCAGUCUGUUCUUCCCCAAAGUCUUCAAGAACAAACCUAAGCCAAAUGGCUUGUGAUGUAGCUUCUGCUGCACUCACAUACUCUGCUUCUGCUGUUGAAAGGGCCACACUAUGUUGUUUGACUGAUGCCCACGAAAAUGCACCACUUCUAAAUGAAAAUGCAUAUCCGGAAGUGCUUUUCAUAUCUUCCUCUGAUCCACUCCAGUCACUAUCACAAUAUCCUACUAGAAGUGCAGACUUUCCAGUCACAUACUCAAUUCCAUAAUCAAUUGUGCCUUGUAUGUACCUUAGAACUCUUUUGGCUGCCCCAUAGUGCAUCUUAGAGGGAGUGUGCAUGAAUCUUGCAAGCAGGCUAGCUGAAAACAUGAUAUCAGGUUUGGUUGCAGUUAGAUAUAGCAAGCUUCCUACAAUUUUUCUGUACAAGCUUUCAUCUGCUGCUUCACUUCCAUCUUCUCUUUGCAAUUUAUCAGUGGCAACUAAUGGAGUGCUCACUAAUUUGCAAUCCUUGAGUCCAAACUUAUCUAGGAGAGUGAGUGCAUACUUCUUUUGAUGGAUGAAAAUGCUCCCUUCAGUUUGUGUUACUCCCAUACCAAGAAAAUGAUGGAGUAAACCCAAGUCAGACAUUUCAUACUUGCACAUCAUCUCAACCUUGAAUUCUUUCACCAUUUCAUCACUGCUUCCAGUAUAUACUAUGUCAUCUACAUAGAUUGAUAUAAUUAAUGUUCCCACACCUUCCUUGGUUCUCACAUAGAGAGUUGCUUCACUUGGACUUCUGUGAAAACCACACUGAUAUAAGUAAGUGUCGAUUUCACUGUACCAGGCCCUUGGAGCCUGAUUUAGUCCAUAGAGAGCUUUUCUUAGUCUGUACACCUUAUCCUCAGCUCCUUUAAUCACAAAGCCUUCAGGUUGAUCCACAUAGACUUCCUCUUCAAGAACACCAUUUAAGAAAGCUGAUUUGACAUCCAAUUGCCAUAAUUUCCAGCUUUCUGUGCAGCUAGUGCAAUGAGAGUUCUAAUAGUGUCUAACCUUGCUACUGGAGCAAAGGUUUCAUUGAAAUCAAUCCCUGGUUUUUGUGUGUAACCCUUGGCUACAAGUCUUGCCUUGUGUUUUUGAAUGGAGCCAUCAAGGUUUAGUUUAGUUUUAUAUAUCCACUUCACUCCCACAAUUGGUUUGCUGCCUGGUCUAUCAACCAAUUUCCAAGUGGAAUUCUUCUCUAUCAUUGAUAUCUCUUCAGUCAUAGCCUUAUUCCAAGCUUCAUCUUUGGCUGCUUCAUGGAAACUCUCUGGUUCAAUAAUGCUCAGUUUACAUUGAGCAUAGACCUCACUUAAGUUCUUCCAUUUUUGUGAAGUAUGAUCAAAAGUUUCAGAGAUUGAAACUAAUGAAUCAUGUGUAGCUGAUUCUAGAGUGGUUUGCAGAUCAUUAGCCACUUGUGGUCUCUGAGGAGAUUGACUAGACUGAAGUGAUUCAUUUGAAUAUGAAUCAAUUUCUGAUAUUCUUGAACUUUCUUCUUCAUGCCAUGGAAUAGUCACUUGUACUUCUUCAUUCAACUCCUAAUUCCACAUUGCUAUCUCAUCAAAGAUAAUGCUCCUUGAGAGUUCAAUCUUUUUAGUUUCUAGAUUAAAGACUCUAUACCCUUUCUCACAAAUCCCAUAUCUGAGAAAUACUCCCUUCAUUCCAGUUUCUUCCAGCUUGUGUCUUUUCUGAGAAGGAAUAUGGAUAUAGCACAGUGAACCAAAUAUUCUCAAGUGCUUGACACCUGGUUUUCUCCCACUGAACUUCUCGAAUGGAGUUGUAUUAUCCUAAGCACUUGUUGGACUUCUAUUUUGCAGGUAUACAGCUGUAUUGAUAGCUUCUACCCAAAAUUUCAAAAGGAUUUUCUUCUCAUGCAUCAUUGUUCUUGCCAUUUCCAUCACAGUACGAUUCUUUCUCUCUGCAACUCCAUUCUGUUGCGGAGAGUAGGCUAUAGUUAGUUGCCUUUCUAAUCCCAUCUCUUCACAAAACUUUGAAAAUUCCAAAGAUGUAUAUUCUCCACCUCUAUCACUUCUUAGCUUCUUAAUUUGAUAACCACUUUGCAACUCAACCAUGUUUUUGAACCUUUUGAAUAUGUUGAAUGCUUGAGACUUAUGCUGCAAGAAAAACACCCAACACAUUCUAGUGUGAUCAUCAAUGAAGGUGAGAAAGUAUCUAUUCCUUCCAAGAGUGAUAGACUGCAUUGGACCAUAGAUAUCUGAGUGAAUCAGUUCUAGUGGUUGUGAGGCUCUCCAAGCUAUUUCCUUAUCAAAUGAACUUCUGUGACUCUUGCCUAUAGCACAACCCGAGCAAAUCUUCUCAGAUUCUUGUAACUUAGGUAGACCCUGAACCAUGUCUUUCUCUUGUAAGAGUCUCAAACUACAGUAGUUUAGAUGCCCAAAUCUUCUGUGCCACAAGCAAGAUGGUUCUCCAAAUGUUGCUCUAUUUGCCACAGGAGGAUUGACAUAUUUGAGAUCUAAGGGAAAACAUCUGUUCCCUUUCAUUUGAACUCUUGCAAUCAGCUCUUGCAAUUGCUUAUCUUCAUAAAUGUCAACCUCAUUAUCACCAAACACCAACCAAUGCCCAUGCUCUAUCAUCUGUCCUACGCUCAACAGAUUCUCAUCCAAACCAGGUACAAUCAUGACUUCUCUAAUAAAUCUAGUAACCCCUUGCACAUCUAUAGCCAAAGUACCUUUGCCUAUUGAUUGUACUAAAUCACCAGUGCCCAUCUUAACUUUACAAUUCACAUUUCUAUCUAUAUCAAUAAGUAAGGACUCAUAAGCAGUCAUAUGAUUACUACAAGCACUGUCCACAUACCAAACAUUCAUAUUUUUUUCAAUAGAAGCUGAAUGACAAGCAUAGAACAUAGUAGCAGGUUCUGUUACCUUGCUAGCCAAGUUCGCAAGUUUCUCAGUCUUAUUUGAUUGUUCAUAGUCUUUAAUGGGAUGCCCAAAACGAUUGUACCCAUAGCACUUUGGCUUUCCUUUAAACCAGCAUUCUCCAUAGUGAAGCUUAUCACAGUGCUUGCAUUUCCCUUUUGCUUGAUCUGAUUUUUCCCCUGGUUCAUGCUUUCCUCCUUGGUUGCCACUAUUUUGAGGUUUUGAAUCCCAUUUCUUACCCUUCGAUUUCCAGCUCUUCUUUGAUUUAUUAUUACCAAAACCAGAAUUGGACUGAGAUCCCUUUUGAUUUAUGCUCAUGCUGCUGAAGGCUUUCUCAGUGGUGUUCUCAGCAUGCCUAUCAAGGCGCUGAGCAAAACCCCUCAAUGCAGCAAUCACCUCUUGCACCUCAAUCAUUUCAAUAUCCUUAGUUUGUUCAAUUACAUAACAGGCAGGAUCAAACUCCUUAGUCAGGCUUAUAAGUAGUUUUUGAACUAACCUUCCUUUGGAUAGGUCUUCCCCAUAUCCCUUCAUCUGAUUCACAAGCUCAAGUAGGCGAGUGAGGUAUCCAGACAAGGUCUCAUCAUCCCUCAUCCUUGUGUACUCAAAAUCACGACGCAAACCCUGCAAUUUGAUGGAUCUGACCUGCUUAUCACCAUGAAAUUCCUGAUGUAAAAUAUCCCAUGCACCCUUUGAGGUUUCUUCAUUCGAAAUCCUAGGGAAAAUGUCUUCUGAGACAGCCUCUUGGAUAAUCCCAAGUGCCUUAGCAUCCUUCAUUAAUAGAGCUUCCUUCUCAGAAUCCGAUGACCCAGCAUCAUCCACCUUCUUCCCCUUUGAAUCUGGAAUUUGAAGCCCAUUUUCAACUAAAUCCCAGAUUCCAUGAGAUUUGAAAAUCGUUCUCAUUCGAAUCUUCCAAAAUCAUAGUUGUCCCCAUUGAAUAUUGGAGCUCUGAGAUCACUCCCACCUGACCCAGCCAUCUAAGACAGAAUCAAUGAACUGAGUCGGAAAUUUCUCCUCGGAUUUCCAAGCUCAGCCCACACACAGCUUCAACGCCCACUAUCCAGAUCCAACCUUCACUGUUGAUACCAUGUUGAGAUUUGGAUUGUCAAAGGGAGCUAGAGAGCAAAAGACUGAGAGAGGGAGAGAGAGCCUGAGCAAGAAGGAAUCAAUAUGGUUGUGACCACUACUCCUCUGCUUAUCCGUUGCAGCAGAGCAGACUAUAUUCAUACCCAAAAUGUGUUCUUACAUCAGCAAAUACAAUCUAACCGUUGUGAAGGAUAAACCAAUGUGAAUAUGACACAUGGCUUUACAAAGCUUUACAACCGUUGAAAUAAGAGAGACAAUCCUAAGCCUUACACUUGGCAUAUGAGCUCAAGGUGCUCAGCUCACAGAUGACUUAAAUGGACUGAAUAUAAACUGACUAAGUACUUACUAACUAAUCAGAAAUUAGCUAGGCAGUUUACAUUUUAACACCCCUCAAUACCCUGCAGCACAGGUGAGAUGAUUAAUUUUUCUUUUCUAGAGAACAGGAAAGUGUUCACAAGAUAGUACUUUCCAAUAUAAACAGUUGUAGAACACUCAGAUAAGACAACAGCAUAAGUAACUGCUACAUAUCAAGGCAAUUCCCCAAUAAAUACAAGAACAUUUUACAUUUAUAGACAAAAAAGAAAGUUGGAAUAUUUUAGGAAGGGAAAUGCAGCCUUACAAAUGCUUUAAAUUGGACAGUUGACCCCAGGUAUUGGGUAUAGGACCUCUGAAAUUAUUGUUUGCAAGAUUUAGAUUCUGUAGAUGUGUCAUGUUGGCAAGAUAAAUGGGUAACAGGCCUGUUAGACUAUUAUCCUGGAAGUCCCUGCAUAAAUAAAGUUAUUUUAUCAAAAUUCAUGACUGGAUGCAAAAAAAUAUAUUCUUCAGAAUUAAACAAACAAGUACAAUAAUGAAGGCGUUGGUAUUAUAUUCCACUUUUUUCUAUGACUCAGUUGACAGUAUGUAAAGUUACAAUGAUAAAGGGAAAACUUAAAUUCUCCCUCUCUCUCUCUCUCUCUCUCUCUCUCUCUCUCUCUCUCUGUAACACCCCGACUCCAAAUUAAAUGUCUAUUUUAACCUAUUUAUAUUAAAUUACGAAUUUACCCUUGGGGUAGGGGUAAAUUGGUCACUUUCUUAAUCAGAAGGAUUUUGGGACCACGGAUAGUAUUUCUGAGUAGGUAGUACUGAGACGAAUUCGUAGACACGCGGUAGGCUUGAAUCGGAAUUGUAACGAAAAAGUUACGGGAAAAACACUAUCAGUGGCAAAACUGUAAACAUUUCAAAAAGUUUGGUAAAAAUCAGAUUUUUCACCUCAGCUCUCUCUCUCUCUCUCCUCGCGCGCGCUCGACACUCUCUUUCUCCUCAGUCUCUCUCUCUCCCCGACACCGACUCUCUCUCUCCUCGGUUCUCUCAGCUCCGGCGACGGCAGGACACGAGACCGGUCCCGAUUGAUCCACCUUGACGUCCCGAUCAACACCUGCCCGUUUUCCCCGUCGAAAACCACGAACUCAAACCGCGAGCUCGACUGUUUUGAACCGGAGCUUUCCCGCCGUCGCGCCGCCUCCUCCGCCCCCCAAACCCGGUGAGUGAGGUAUGGUUUCUCAUCCAUUUUUCGAGUCCUAGCUGACUGUUGUAUAGGUUUGGACCGAUUCAUUGUCUAGGAAAUCGAUUAGAAAAUCUAGGUUUUGGCCGGAUUUCAAAAUGAAAUUUCGGCCAGUUGCCGCCCGAAUUGGACCUUCCCGUAGUUGAAUGAAGUGAUCUUGACCUUGAGUAGAAGCUAGGGUAGGAAAGGUGAGCUCGGCUGUGGAGUUUUUUCGUUCCCGGAAUUACUCUACACACCCACGCGCUACCGGCGCUUGUGGCGGCGCGUGGGCGAGGCUGGUGCGGUUGUAAAUUAAUCCAAUGAGAUCCUCAGGUUGUCACGAGCGCAUAGGAAUUCGCGGAUCUCAAUUCGGAUGUAGUUUGGCUAUCGAACGGAUUUUCGCAUAUUGUGCGUUAUCCGGGUUCGAUAGGUUCCGACCGUUAGAUCUUUCCCGAAUUAAAAUAUGUUGUUCUAGGUAUUUCUAGGACCAUAUGGGACUUUACGAAUUAUGAAUCGGAGCCCCGGAUGUUCCGAUUCAAUAAUGCAAAGUUUGCGGGUUAGCGAUAACUGUAAAAUCGCGAACGAUUCCUAAACCUGUAAUCGGACCUUAGGAUACCUUCUUCAACGUGCACGUAUGGGGAAUUUGGGAUUUAAGCAUUCAAUUUGUGAUUUCCGCUUCGACGUAAUUUUAUAUUAAGUAACGGUUCGUAUCUCGAAAUAGGUGUUUCGACUACACGUACUCAGCAGGCAGGACCCUCACGUGGUCAGGCAGCGUGGGAAUACUUGUGAGUGGACUUUGUUUUCAAUCAUAUGCAUGGUUUUAAUUGAUGAAAGAUUUUUGCAUAAUGUUUUAAUGGCUUAUUGAAUAUAUAUUAUAUUCAUGAGUUGAUUAUGUUGGUUGUAUAGCGCUUGGCAAUAUAUUGUGAGUUUGGCAUUGUGGGUUUUGAGAGUGCAUUUUAUAUGGUUGUGGGGAAGUAUAUUUAUAUAUUAUCUAUAGACGAAAUACUUGGGUUGUUGAAGGGUGUUGUGGAAGAAUUUGAUUUUUGAGAGAAGUUGUAUGAUUACACUAUGUAAGUACCUUCCCCAGUUAUCAGUAUCACUCGCGGCGUUGGAUGUUCCGGCAUGUGAGACACUUUCCAUAUGCGGCGUUGGAUAUUCCGGCGUAUGGAAAGACUUUGUGUAGUGUUUUGGGUCAUCACCAUGGCGUUGGAUGUUCCGGUGUGUGAUGAUCCAGUCUGCGCGCGUAAGACAUAGUUUGGGAGCUACACAUGGCGUUAGAUGUUCCGGUGUGGGAGCUUUGGAGUUUCGUCCCCUAGUUGGACCGCUCAUCCCUAGACGUAGGAUAGCACCUGGAAAUCCUGCGGACUAGUCAAACGAUCCCCCAGUUGGAUUGUUUCCCCGGUACCUAGGUGAUGUGAUGAGUAUAUCGUAUAGCUAUUUAUAGUUAUAUAUAUAUGUAUAUUUUUAUGUAUACGUAUAGUUGAGUGAGUGAAGAAUUAGAGUUUUUCGGUGGUUUGACAGGAGUUGUAAGAUUGAGAGAAUGGGAUUCUUUUUGAAGGAGAUAACUGGUGUUUUAGAAGAGUUUUAAUGAAUGUUGUUUUGAGUAAUUAUUUAUUGAAUUGUGAACCUGCAUGACUUGAGCAUUAUUUUUACAUGGUGGGGUUACUAUAUAUUUUUUAACUGCAAAUCUGGUUUUUGUCCACUCACAUAUUUUCUGUUUUGCGCCCCCAGCUAGUAGUCGCUCCAGGAAGCGUGCAAGUGGUGUACGAGGCUCGAACUGUGAAUCUUUCUAGUUAGGAACUGAGUAAUUUCUUCUACUCAACUGUUCUUAUAAUUUAAAUUCAGUAGAUGCUCUGUAUUGCCCAUGGUAGAUUUUACUUGUGAGGCCGGAGGCCACUCUAGUAUGACUUGUAGAAUUAAGAAAGCAUGCUGCUGGUUGGGAUUUUUAUUUUAUGUAUGUUGCAGGUUGAAUAGUUUUUGUUGGGAUUGCUUAAUUACAGGGGAGACUCUGCCAAAUUUUUAGUAGAAAGUCUCGGUUUCUUAGUAAGUGGGCCCGGCAUCGGAAAGAUGUCAGAAUAAAGACGGGGUCCACUUCGGUUUUCGGAAAAUUCCGGGGCGGGUCCUGUCACUCUCUCUCUCUCUUGGUACCAGAGCACAGACUAGUGAUCCAAAUCAGGUUUCAGCCAAUGGAUUAUGUUACAUUUUCUGACACCAUCAGCCACAGAAUACUAAUGCAUCAAGAAGUUGACUUACAGGCUAGCCAAACAUUUCAGUUUAGUAAUCGAAGGAGAAAGCGUUCCAGAAAAUCCAUUUGAUGCCAGGCUCCUGCAAAGUAGUACAUUCACAAACUAAAUGUACUGCAAUGAUAAAUGAUUUUCAAAGAUGGCGAUAUUAAUAAAAUAUAUAUUUUUCAUGAUCAUAAAAUUUAGUUUAACUUACAGGGAUAUGACAUUUCCAUUUCUACAAGUGACAUGAGACCAGCUAAAAUAGGGGCUAACGAGAUUAUUAUUCCAAUCUGUUAUUCGGCCACUGGAAUCAUUCAGUGCCCUAAGCAAAUCGAUCAAUGCUUCACCUGCACAUUAUCGUAAGUGAAGAACAAAAUUGUAUGUAGAACCAUAAAUGGCUGGUGAAAAGAACUUUUGUUUAUAUUACAAUUCUGAUAAAUGAAAAAUGAAAAAUUCUUGGACUUAGGUAAGGCAGAACACACAAACCAUGUGAGCACGGCAGUAGAUAAGGUAGAACACAUAAAGCCUGUGAGUACGACAGUAAAUAAGGCAGAAGCAAAGACAAGGGGCAAGGCCACAGCAACAACAACGACAAUGACCACAUCAAUGGAAAGCAAAGCAAGCAAAGACAACAUCAACGGCGGCAACAUCGACCACAACAGAAACACACCAGCAAAGGCAUGAGCAACAAUACUGGCACCAUAACAUGCAUGAGCAACAAUACUGGUACCGAACAACAGCAAUAUAAGGCACUGGCACCAGCAAGAGCAUUAAGGCCGGGACAUAAUAGGCAUCAUCAACAGUAAUCAACAUUGUCCCCAACAAGAGUCAUAAUAGGCAGGAGCAAUAAUAUUGUCCCCAACAAGAGACAUAACAGGGAUGAGCAACGGUACUGGCACCAGCAAAGGACAUAGUAGUUAGCAGCAAUAACAAUGACAAAUACUUCCAUUAUCGCACAAACAACUUAUCUUCACUCCCCCUCUUCCCCUGAAGAGAACGGGUCAUCAGAACCAUAAGAGAAGUGGCACUUAAGAAACAGAAGCUGACUUACGCUCAAAUGUAGAAGAAUCAGUCAUGGCAGAUAGGUAGCUAAAUUGCAGUGGAAUAGAUAAGCAGCGAUGUCACUCCCCCUCAAAUCCGACGAUGUAUGAGAGUCGAGAUUUGGAGAAAGCAACACCGAAAAAUAAAGUUGCAGCACCCAAAUAAAGUUGCAUCUAUUUCCCCAUCAAAUCUGACACUGGUAAAAGGUCGAGAUUUGGAAGAUGAUAAAUUGAAAUAAUAGUAAAGAGACUCAAACAUGCCAGUCUCGUGGCAGAAACAAAUGCAAGAGGGGAAGGUGGUAGCAUAAAGCUGUCCCAUGUAGAAAAAACUUUAGAAAAAGAGAAUAGUAAGGGAGGAAACCCAACAAAUCAUGAACAGAGACAAAGACAAAGAUAAGGUGCUCAAACAGGAAUUAGAGCAAAGGACACCGAAAAAAGGAAACCUUUCAUGUGUGGAAUAGGAAUAGAUAGAGUGCCCAUCAAAGGGAAGCAAUAUUAUAUAAGGGAGUUGUGAAAGCGAGAGAUAAUGCAGUGAGAAAACAACAAAAUGAAAGAGGUUGGUAAAAGAGAGAUGAGAAAUAGAGAGGACCUGAAAAGAGUUUGGUUGCAUAGCAGGGGAAACCACAUCGAUAGAUCAAAGAGGAAGAAACUAAAGAUAUUUAAAAAGUAAAGCAUGGGAAAUUGCAUGUGACAAUUUUUAAAAAGAAACUAGUGGAAGAAAGUGAGGUGCUAGAACCGAAAAAAGGAUAGAAUAAUGCUGUGAUUGAAGGAAAAUAAUGACAAAGGAAGGUAUCUGUGAGGAAAUAGACAAACAGAGAAAGGGAUGAAUAUUGGAAAGAGGCCAAAGGUAGAAAGAAAUAAGCAUAAGGGUAAAAGGGAAGGAGAUAGAAAAAUAAAUAAUAAACACCCAACGGGAAAGGCUAGAGUGACAAAGCUGGAGAGAUGGCGUGGGGAAAGAACACAACAAACACCAGCCAUUGGGCAUAGACAAACAAAAGAGAUAAACAUAAACAAAAGAGAGCUAAAUAGAGCAAAAAGAGAAACAAAGAAAGGGUGCUCAAAACUGAGAAGCGGAAAGGCAACUCAGGAGAACAGCCGAAGAUGACAGAGAUCGGCAGAACAAUCAAAGGAAAGGCUCGGUGAGUGGUGACAAGGCUCGCGGAGGAAAGCAACGGCUCGGUGAGCGGUGACGAGGCUCACGGAGUAAAAAGACCUGUUAUGAAGUUUCAAAGAUAAAGAAGCUGGGACAUCAAGAAAGACCAUCAGGCAUACAAAGAUUAAAAAUUAAAAAAUUUGGAACAAUAGCAAAGAAGCAUGUGAAGGCUAGGUGUGGUGAAAACACAUAUGAGAGGAUUGAUCAAAAGAAGAUGACUAUACAAGAUGAAGACCCAUGAUGGGUUAGGAAUGAGGAGUGCCAACGACUCUCAAUUUGACAGAGGUGAUCACAUGUUAGAAACUAGGCUCUGAUACUAUGUCAAACAAAGUAGGGUAAAUAUUCAAUUAUGCUCAGAUACGCUCAUAUUUUUAUUCUUCUCCAAUAUGGAGGUAUUUAUACAAGUACAAAGCUGUGUUAACCCUAAAUAAAAUAGGAAAUAUAUCUAAAUUACAAUAGGAAGUAAAUCUCUAUUACAAUAGGACUAAAUAAUAAUUGGUAAGUAACCAAAAUUCUAAUAAAAUAAGAAACCAAAAUCCUAACUAAGGAAGGAACCAAAAUCCUAACUAAAUAAGGACUUGCCAACAGCACGACCUUGAUGCACUAUGAGAAUCGAGGCGCUGGCCACAAUGUUGGACGAUGCCAAUGCAUCUCCCAAGGGUCCGAGCUCCGGGCAGUCACCCCACUCGGAUAGCCCGAACGUGAGUGGUGAGGAACCUGUUUGCCCUAUUCCCACGAUAUAAAGAUCAUAGUCAUUUCCCAUGGCGCUUAUCAAUUUGAGAGUUUCUUCUCCAUUGUUCAACACCUCGUGAAUUAAUUUUAUGGAAGGUUGGUUCCUAGCAUUGAGCACAAAGCUCUCUAUAUAUUGGUCGUCUAGUUGUUUCUCCUUCUCAUUUUCCUCUAUCAUCUCUAAAAUAUUCUUCUUUUCGUCCUCAUCAUGAUCGUGAUCAUUAUUAUUAGGAUUGUUGGGAGGGAGAUCUGAAUGAACUGCCGCAUCUUUACUGACAAUGAAACGAACCACAGUUAAGCUGAUAUUAGGUUUAGGGUUAGGAUUGCUGGCCAUCCUCCAUGCAUAUGCCAAUGCCUCGCGGUCAUCUGACCCACUAAUGAAGAGCAUGGCACAGCGGCAGCAGCCAUGGCCAUCUUCAUUUUUAAUGUUAGAUGAAUCGGUGAGUCCACGAUCCACGAAGAUGGCCACCGAACAAGAAGAGUUCUCUAGAAGGUUCUUGUUAAUGCCUCUAAAAGAGGGGUUUCCGUUGUCCAUUCCCCCGUCAAUGGUGGAUUGCUUGUGGAAAGGAAUGAUUAUGAGGUCUGCACUCUUGUCGUCCGCAAGGUUGCAAAUGUCCUCAUGCAUGGAGGCGUAAGAGGACACAACAGUUAGUGCGUCCACGAACAAGCUGCUUUCUUCACUUUCGGUCUCAAGUUUUUCAAAGGCAGCGACAAUUUGGUCAGAAGGCGAAGAAUGCUUUUGAUUUUUGGCUGUAAUUUUACUUGUCUUACGAAUAUUGCUGCAUGUGUCGUGGACUAUGAGCAUGGCAGAAGCAUGGCCACUGAGCUCCACCAGAUGGACCGCAAAGACGAACAUCGGGGAUUGUUUGGUGGGAUUGGAAAUCUCCAACAGAUUGAUGACGCUUGAAACAUUGCUUGUUCAAUGGAAGCAAGUAAGGAUUCGAAACUCUGAGUUGGCUUGUAUGCUUCUUAUGCUUCUGUGCGUGUGCUGCUUAGAUGGCACAUUCGACUUGUAAAUCAAAGCCAAAAUGGGUCCAACCGCUGCCGUCAUUAUCAAAAUUGCAAGCAUCAUUACUGAAAAAGUAUUGUGGUCCAAAACCUGCAUUUAUAUAUAUAUAUAUAUAUAUUUGCCAAUUAAAACAAUAUAAAAUCAGGAAUUUAACACAUGGUUUUAAGAUAUAUAUUUCUUAGAUGUAAUCUAUGUGUACUAUUAUUUAGGAGAACACUUGGUAUCAUUGUGUUAAAUUUCGGAGAGACGGGCCAGCGGUCCAUUACCAGCAACACCAAUAUUAUCCCCAACUUGAUUAAUUAAUCAUGGAAUAUUGUGUGUAUGUGGGUGUGGAAGAGGCAACUGCACAUGCAAUAAUGAAAUAGUUGUACAUAAUAGUAUAUACAUACAUGUAAGUCCCGCCCAGAAUUGAGGAUUAUUAUAGCCAGCAGGCCUUUGGUGUUCAUGACUAGUCCGAAAGCCAAACUGUCCCUCACCGACAUUUUGUUGAUGAUGGCAGCGACAAAAGUCGCAACAAAUUUAGCGAGGAAAGCCAGGGCAACAAUUGACAUGACAAUUAGAAGGCUUGUACUGCGAAAGACAACAACGACAUGCGUUCUCAUCCCAAGAAUCAAAAAGAAGAAGGCGACGUAGCACAAGCAACAAAGGUUUCAAGCGAAACCUUAAGUAACAAGAUAUCUGGAUUCCACCAAAAAUUAAGAGGAAUUUUAUUGGGAUAAUUGUAUUAAAAUCUGAGAUAAUGAAAAACGACAGACAAACCAGUCUAAAUACACAAUUCUCAACCCUUGAACUGCCAGGGGAGUUAUUACAUUAAAACUAAAAAAACAGAAUUAAUUCGGAGGCUUAACUACGUAACUCCGAAACUGAAAACAGAAUUUAUUCGGAUAAUUAACUACGAAAUUUGAAAGCAGUUUUGGAAGGCCAAACGACCUCAGAAUGCCAAAAUCCAUCAUACAUCACAGCUAGGCUGUGAGUUUGACUCGUGGCGUCGUUCCCUUUUCGAAAUGGUAUUUUGCGUCCUAAUCUGAGCUCGGACGACAAAUCUGCAAAUUCCCGCUACGUCCUUUUUUUAGCUCAACCGCGAUAAAAUCUGCCAUCUGUUCUACAUCAGUCCCCUCCACCGCUGAAGAACUCGACCCCGAGUUAUGAUCUGGAUAAAGGACCUCAUCUUCACAGAACUCAUAUAAAUCUGCAACAUUAAAAAUAUUGGAAAUUCCCAUGGAAUCUGGUAACUCAAUAACAUAGGCAUUAUCAUUGAUCCGUUUGAGCACUUUGUAAGGACCAUAUUUUUUUGGUUUAAGCUUGCUAUAUGUGCCAACUGGAAACCUCUCCUUCCUCAGAAAUAUCAUCACAGAAUCGCCUUCCCGAAACACUUUAACUCACCUAUGCCUAUCUGCAGCAGCUUUGUACUUUGCAUUAGUUUGCUCAAGUUUCUGCUUGACUUCAUCUCGAACGGCAACUACUUCCUCUGCCAAAUUUUUUGUUGCCACACUGGUUUGCUGGCCCCUAGGCAGUUUCACCAAAUCUACAACAUGAUUAGGUAUAGCAGUAUAAACAAUGGAAAAUGGAGACUUCCCAGUGGCACUAUGGACUGCACUGUUAUAUGCAAACUCCACCUGCGGUAGUGCAUAAUCCCAUUGUUUUGGCUUCUCUCCACAGACGCUGCGUACCAUAUUGCCCAAUGUCCGGUUUGUAACCUCAGUCUGGCCAUCGGUUUGGGGAUGGGCAGUGCUGCUACGAUUCAAAGUAGUCCCAAACAGCCUCCACAAGGUGAUCCAAAAAUGGCUCAAGAACUUGGUGUCACGAUCGGAUGUAAUGGAUGUAGGAACCCCAUGCAAGCGAACAACCUCCCUGAAAAACAGUUUGGCUAUAUUUGAUGCAUCAGCAGUCUUUUUGCAGGCUAUGAAAUGCGCCAUUUUUGAGAACCGAUCAACCACCACAAAUACAGAGUCCACUCCCCUUUGUGUUCGGGGCAAUCCGAGGACAAAAUCCAUAGCAAGAUCCUGCCAAAUAUCGUUAGGAACUGGUAAUGGCAUAUAUAAUCCAGUGUUUUGUACCUGCACCUUCGAAGUUUGACAAGUGUAGCACUUGCGCACAAUAGUUCCAACAUCUCGUUUGAGCUGUGGCCAGUAAAAUCUCUCCUCCAUCCCUGCAAUUGUUUUAUCAUGGCCUAGGUGGCCACUCAACCCUCCACCAUGCAAGUCCCGAAUGAGCUUCUCCCUUAAGGAGGAAACUGGAAUACAUAACUGGUUGCCUUUGAACAAAUAACCUUCAUUAAGGAAGUAAUCUGCCAUCGGCUCUUGAUUGGUGCACUUAGUCCAAAUUUCCCGAAAAUCAUCAUCACCUUCAUAUAAUUCCUUCAGACAUUCAAACCCCACAACUUCUUGAGUCAGCGUGACUAACAAUGAAGCUCUUCGACUCAGCGCAUCCGCCACACGAUUUGUCUUGCCGGAAUUAUGCUUGAUAACGAACGAAAAUUUCUGCAAAAAAGUCACCCAUCUAGCAUGCAUCUUAUCAAUAUUUUUCUGGCUGUUAAUAUACUUCAACGCUUGAUGAUCUGUAAACAGAACAAAUUCCUUCUGGAUAAGAUAGUGCUCCCAUUGCUUCAAAGCUCGAACAACCGCAUAGAACUCUUGGUCAUAAGUACUCCACUUUUGACAUGCAUCCCUCAACUUUUCAGAGAAGAACGCAACUGGCCGCUUGUCUUGUGAAAGCACAGCUCCGACUCCCACACCGCUGGCAUCACAUUCAACUUCGAAAACUUUCUCAAAGUUUGGAAGGGCUAGAACCGGCGCGGUGCAAAGCUUUUCUUUUAUAUUUGCAAAGCUUUUCUCUUGCUCCUCUCCCCAGCUGAACCGGCCCUUCUUCAAACACUAUGUGAUAGGUGCAGCGAUGGAGCUGAAAUGUCUCACAAAUCUUCUGUAAAAGGUGGCCAAACCAUGGAAACUUUGAACUUCAGAAACUGUUUUUGGAGCUGGCCAGUCAAGGAUUGCCUUGAUCUUCUCGUCAUCUACCUGGAUACCAUUCUCACCAACAACAAAACCCAAGAACAGUAGCUUAUUUGUGCAGAAAGUACAUUUUUUUAGGUUCACAUACAGUUUAUUUUCUCUCAAAACAUCUAAAACUUGUCUCAAAUGCACAAGAUGUUCCUCUUUUGUGGUACUGUAAAUUAAGAUGUCAUCGAAAUAAACUACGACAAAAGAGCCAAUAAAUGGUCGAAGAACCUGAUUCAUGAGUCUCAUGAAAGUGCUAGGCGCAUUUGACAAUCCGAAUGGCAUCACCAACCAUUCAAAUAAUCCGUCUUUGCUCUUGAACGUUGUUUUCCAUUCGUCGCCAGGUCUGAUGCGAAUCUGGUGGUAACCGCUUUGCAAAUCUAUCUUGGAAAACACCCUUGAGCCGCUAAGAACAUCCAGCAUAUCCUCCAACCGUGGAAUGGGAAACCUGUACUUGACUGUUAUCUUGUUGAUUGCUCGGCUAUCAACACACAUUCGCCAAGUCUUGUCUUUCUUCGGAACCAGCAAAACAGGAACUGCGCAGGGACUCAAACUCUCCCUGAUAAAUCCCUUCUGCAGUAAUUCUUCAAUCUGCUCUCUUAAGAUGUCAUUCUCCUUGGGGCUCAUCCGAUAAUGGGGCAGAUUCAGAAGGCUAGCUCCAGGCACCAAGUCAAUUCGGUGUUGUAUGUCCCGCAUAGGUGGCAGCUCGUUUGGCAAUUUUUCAGAAAGUAAUUCCUGAAACUGUGACAAAAUCUGCUGCACUGAUGUAGAACAGAUGGCAGAUUUUAUCGCGGUUGAGCUAGAAAAAGGACGUAGCGGGAUCUGGAUAAAGGAACUUGAUUUGCUUGUGCUGCGUCACUAUUGCUCGUUUUCUUUCUCUCCAUUAGUCAACGUCUACUGGCCUGGUAAUUAUUGACUAAAUAGUGCAUUAAUUCCUUGUAAUUAUAAAAUAGUGGCUUUAAGUUCUUUCGUUUUUUUCUUUGGAUUUAACAGUGGCUAAACUCAAAACCACCGUUACACUAGAAUCAAUAGGAUCAGAAUCUUUCCAAAUCACCGUUACACUAGAAUCAAUAGGAUCGAAUAUAUAUAUAUAUAUUCUUUAAAGAAUUAAUAGGAUCAAAUUGUUGAGAUUCAAUUACAAGAUCCCCUGAAAAGGUGGAAGAAGAAACAAAAAGUCCUCCCUUAGGUUACUUGAAUUAAAACUGGCUUCUUAAUUAUUCAAAAGUAUCUGUGGAUGAAUCAAUGCAGACUACUUAGACUUCACAUUUCAUGCCUUAAGACUUCGUGCAUAGUGAUCACAUAUUUUCUAUUCGCAAACUAUCUUUUAGAGUAAAGUCUACUAGGUUGGAAUAUUAUUAUUUUAAUUGGGUUACAAAGUUAUAAUAUUAACGAUGAUGACCUACAAAUAGUUUUAUUUUAUAUGUAUAUGGAUCACAAUAUUUAUCAAUAUGUAUAGUUCAGGUUAGGAAACGACAAAAUGUUGAUAUGACUAGGAGCUUAAAGAAUUAAUGAAGCGUGGAUGCAUUGACAAGGGUGGACCAUAUAUAGAUGUGGACAUCAAAAAUAAAAACAAAAACAAAUAUAUGAAAUGUGACGGACGUGGUGUUUCAUUUUCAGUUUUUCUAAUAGCAUCUUACGGAAAUCAUAGUCUAAAUUAUUUUAAGUUAUUUUAACAUACGAAAAGGUUAAUGGGUCUAGUCUAGUGGAAAAGAGUAUUAACUUACAGAUCAGUGGUCUCAGAGUCAAAUCCUCAUAACACCUUGAUGGUGUGUGUGAAAAACUCCCUCUCUUUUGUAGUUUAUAUUAUCGCUUAUAUUGCAAAAUUAUAUAUAUACAAAAGAGAGUAUUAAUUAGUUAUUAUUGCUUGUUAAUUCAUGAAAAUGAAAUGGUGAUGAUGAAUAGGUAGGACCAAGGGUGAAGAAGGACAGGGAGAGAUUUCCACCAAACAACGUACUUCUGGUGUUAGCAGGAGCCGGGUUGCUGUGGAUGGGAUGGGCAGGUUUCAACGGGGGAGACCCGUACGUGGCAAACACGGACUCAUCCAUGGCCGUCCUCAACACCAACAUCUGCGCCGCCACGAGCUUCUUGGUUUGGACUUGGCUCGAUGUCAUCUUCUUUGAGAAGCCUUCCGUCAUUGGAGCUGUCCAAGGAAUGAUCACUGGCCUCGUCUGCAUUACUCCUGCUGCAGGUACGUAUUACGUAAGUUCUCAAGUUGACUUUUUUCCAGAGUUGAGUAAAGUUGAAUUAUAUGCCUAUGGGUUUAAUCUAGUGAAAAAGGAACUUGAUUUGCAAAACAAUAAGAGUAUAUGUGAGAAAACUCCCCUCCUUUUCAAACCUUGACCCAAAAAAAAACAAAGCAAAGUUGACUUAUAUUUAUCAUCCCAAUUAAUAAAAACAAAAUUAAUAUACUUACUUACUCGUCACAAAACGCAUUGCCUUCCAUUAAUUAAUCCAGAAAAAAUAAGUUUAUUUGACUUUUGACUAUUCAUAUUUACGUUCCCUCACAGACCACGUUCUAGUUCUAUUUGGUAUCCUACUUGGAUUCAAUUUUAUAAACUCAAAAACAAAUUUUGAAGUUUAAAACCACAAAAACUCGUUUGAUAUGCCCCUUUUUAAAAACUCAAACUCAAGAAAAAUUCAAAAGCACCCCUUUAUUAAAAAAAAAAAGAAGAAGAGGUUUUAUAGUUUUUUUCUCUCUCCUCCCUCUCCCUGUCUCUUUCUCUCUCCUUCCACUUCUCUCUCUCUCUCUCUCUCUCUCUCUCUCUCCUUUUAUUUUGGAGGUUUCAAUUUGAGAAUUUAGGGUUUCUGAUUUUAAUUUCAAUUUUUUUAGAUCUUAAAAAUAGUUUGGAGUUCAAUACCAAAAAAGUUUUUGAAUCUUAAAAUCACCAUUUGAAAACUCAUAUUUUAAAAAAGAAUCAUAGUUUUUGAAUUUUUUUUUUUUUUUUUUUUUUGAGUAGGAUACCAAACAAGGCCAAUUUCCUUUAAAAAAAUUCUCAUAUGGUUCUCUAACGUUUUCUCUAAAUAUAUUUGCAUCUCUUUAUAUAUAUUAUUUAGCCAGUUUUUAACAGGAGAGGUGACUCAUGGCAUGUUGUGUUGACCAUGCACAGUCAUUUAAUUAACCAUAUUAACUAGCUAGCUUUUAUUUUACUUUUGUUUGUUCAUAGACUGAUACAAUAUUAUUGUUUAAAUAUGUAAAUUAUUUAGGUCUGGUUCAAGGAUGGGCCGCUAUAGUGAUGGGAGUUAUGUCAGGCAGUGUGCCAUGGUUCACCAUGAUGAUAGUGGACAAGAGGUGGAAACUGCUAUCUGCAGUUGACGACACCCUUGGUGUAGUUCACACCCACGCCGUGGCCGGGUUUCUUGGCGGCGUUUUAACGGGGCUUUUCGCUGAGCCUGAACUAUGUGCACUCUUUUUGCCCGUCACAAACUCGCGCGGAGGCGUGUACGGAGGCUCAGGAUUAAUGCAAAUCCUCAAACAAAUUGUGGGAGCCCUAUUUAUCAUUGGAUGGAAUAUUGUGGUCACCUCCAUUAUUUGCCUAGUCUUACGGUGUAUAGUUCCGUUGCGCAUGCCGGAGGAACAGUUACUGAUUGGGGAUGACGCAGUGCAUGGAGAAGAGGCAUAUGCAUUGUGGGGUGAUGGGGAGAAGUAUGAUGUUACUAGGCAUGAGCUUUACUCCGACGAUACGUCACACGCUCAAAAAUAUCCAUCCAGUGGUGCCACUCAGGUGGUCUAACUCAAAGUUAUAUAUUAUUUAUGUUAAUAAUCUGUUCCAAAAAGAAAAAAGAAAAAAAAGGCCAAAAAUGAAAAGAGGAAAAAACGAAGUACGAAAAAUAGGUGUUAUUGUCAAUUAUUAUCUUAUUUUCUGGUGAUCUUUUCAAUGUUUUAUGUAAACUGCCUAUUGCCUCCGGUACUUAUUCAGGGAAAUUUGGAACACCAAACCAUUUUUAACAUGUUUAAGAUUAUUAGCCCCUUUUUUUAAUUUACAAAAUAUAAUCACUAGAGCCCUCUCGAAUAGUGUUACCUUUACUUGAACCCUAGCAUUAGUACUUGGAUCUUUAUUAGUAACUACAAAGGCUCCAUUUGGUGGAGAGAGACUUUCAUGCAACAGAAAUAACACUUUUUGUUAUCUUCGAUCAAUAGAGCAAUAACAUGCGGGAUAAUUCUUCCACGUGUCAUUGCAUUAUUGACCGAGAAUAGCUAAACAAUGAUAUCCUCGUUACAAGAAAUUUGUUUUUUGCAUUUGGUGGAUGGAUAAAAACACUGGAUUGGAUCCAUAAUCAUACUCCUGUGUUUAGUGGCCCAAGUCCACUUGGAUUGGAUUAGUUCUAAAUUCUAUUCCUGUCAAACUCAAUUUUAGUAGGAUUAGGAAUCCCCCCAAAACUAGGGAUGGACAUUCAAACUGGAAAACCGAAAAAUUGCGCCGACAAAAAACCGCAAUUUUGUACAGUUUUAGUUAUGAUUCUUGUAGUGAAAAAGCUUGACUGGGUCAAACCAGACCAACCAUGUAUUUUUUAAAAUUUUAAUAAAUAUUUAACCCCAUUACUAAAUUUGUAAGCCUAUAACUAAUCUUUCUCUAAAUCACCUAUAUUUUUUAGGCCCAAUCACCUCCCUUUGCAUUAAAUUAGGUCACUUGUGAAUUUUUAAAAUUCAAAAUUCAAAAAAAAAAUAUUUAAAAAACAAGGGUAUACUAGUGAUUUGCCCCUGAACUUGUACCUAAUUUUCGAUUAACCCCCUAUCCUUUUUUUUUCGAAAAUUAAGGAUAUGAACUUUUUUUUUCCGCCAAUUUCCCCCCUAUCGUCUAAAUUCUCAACAUUUCAUCCAAUUUUCAGUUAAAUCAUUUUUAAAAAAUUACUUUUUUUGAAAAAAUUGAAGAAAAAGAGUAAACCUAAUGCCAACCCCUUCCAUCUCCUCCCUUUCUCCUCCCAUUCUCCCAUGACCACCAUCCUUUACUCCCAGACCAAUCCCCCACCCCCACACCCUUCAAUCCACAGACCCCUCCCUCCUCCUCUCCCUUUUUGUUCUUUCAACCACAGACUCAUCACCAUCAUCCCCAACAGACCUUCCUCCCUUUCCGCCGUCGCCGCCUCCUCUCUCUCUCUCUUUCUCUCUCUCUCUCUCUCUCUCUCUCUCUCUCUCUCUCUCUCUCUCUCUCUCUCUCUCUCUCUCUCCCCACACACACACUCCCUCAAUUUCCCACCCCAUCUGUCAAUUUCAAUACCUCCACACUCGAAAAGAUUUCUGUCGAUCCAUCCUUUUCAAUACCCUCCCACCUCAAGCUUUUUUCAGAUACGCACAUGGCCCAUCAAUCACUAUAUCAAAAAAUUCAAUCUUAACCACUUGGAUUUGGAAAAUGAAGAUCAAAAUCAGAUAAAAUCUAAUAGAGUGUAAGUCCAUGCCACCGGAUAGCAUUUGGGGUGGGAGGUUGUGAGGAAGAAGAAAAAACAGAAGGGAGGGUUGGGGUGGGGUGGAAGGGCCAUUCGAAGUCAUAUGGAGAGAGGGAGAGUAGAGGGGCCAGAAAAAAUAGAUGGAGAGGGUGGGGGUGAGGGAGAGAGUGAUUGGUUGGAUGUGCCUCUCUCUUAUUAAAAUAUGUUUUCUUUCAUUUUAGAUUUCAUAUUAAUGUAUUUGUGUAUUUAAUUAUUUUAACAUAUAAAAUGACCAUUUUGCCCUCAUAUUUAAGGCAAAUUGGAUGAAAUAUUGCAGAUUUAGAUGGCAGGGGGGAAAUUGGCGAAAAAAAGAAGUUCAUAUUCUUAAUUUUCUAUAUAAAAAAAACAGGAUAGGGGGUCAAUUGAAACCAAAGUACAAGUUCUGGGGGCAAAUCACUAGUAUACCCAAAAAACAAAAAUUUCAGUCCAAAACCAACUUAUGGGCAAAUCAGACCGCACUGGAAUGAAUAAUUUUUUUAUUUUUUUUAAUCAAAAUCAAACCAAACCAAACCAAAUAAAUAGUGCUAGUUCCGGUUUGGGGUGAGUACCAGAUCGUGCUCACCCCUAACAAAAACAAAGGGAUAAACUCGGAUAUGCUACAAUCGAGUGCAACCCAACCCUGACAGAUUAGGUUGCAGUCGUCUCCUCCAAUCUUCAUCCCCAAUGUUGAGCCUCCAUCACCUCGACGAUAACUCAACCAUCUCCGACAAACUUGAGCAAUUUCCAGCAAAACCCACCCAUCUCUUGCCCAAACCAUUUCAUCACUGAUCAUAUUUCUCCUAUGAACUUCUUCAUCAUAAGUGAUCAUUUCAUCAUUGAGAUUCUCAACAUCUUGUGUUUUUGUUAGAUUGUAUGUGAGUUUUGAUUAUUUGACAAUAUUUGAGUAGUUUAUAGGUUAGGAUAAAGCUUGAAUUCAGCGGAAAAUUUUCAUUUUUUCUAUAAAUAUUUGACAUACAAUAUUGGAUUUUUUUUCAUUUUCUCUUUUACAUUUCCUGGGUUUUUGUAAUGUUUGAAAUCUGUGUGUGUCUGGGACUGCAAUUGGGUAUAUUCUUUGAAGGCCCAAUUUUGUCUUUUACAAAUUUACAACUGCUAUUAAAUUUCUAAUAUCAAUUUAAGCAAUUAACGGAGUGGAGAUGAUUAAAUUUGUUUAAAUUUAUAUUGAUUAUGAUUAUUUAUAAAUUUAUAUACAUUAUGGUUAUUUAUAGUUUAUUUUUUGGAUUUAUAAUUGGGAUAUUUGUAGAAAUGUCACAUGAACUUAUACCUUAGUUUCAAUUUGUCACCUGAAAAAAAAAUUUAAGAGAAAUGUCACCUGAAUUUUUCAAAAUCUAUCAUUUGUCACUUGACUUUAACAUCAUCCAAUUUUCCAUCUAUUUUGAAGGGUAAUUUAGUCUUUUUAUUUUCAAUGGUAUUUUAAAAAUAGAAAAUUCAUUAUAAAAAAAUUAUAUAUCUUGUAAAUAAUUAAAAAUAAAAAUAAAAAAUUAUGAAAAAAAAACUUCUCUCUUCCCCCUGGGUGCGGUCGUAAGGCAUUCAGUAUUUCUACACUACUACUACUACUACUGUUCGUCCGCCCUGCAAAAUUAACAGUGAGAUUAAAUAGCUUUUUGUCCCACAAUUGUGCUUUCUCAACCUCGCUCUUAUCUGUCGCAUCCCCCCCAAGUUGUAUUUCCAGACUUCCCUCAAGGUUCAAGUUUCUCAGAUCCCCAAUUUGGAAUGCUUCAUCUUUGUCGCCAUUACACGAACACACAUCUAGUGUUUGCAAACUUGUUAAUCUCCCUAUCACUUUGGGGAACGACUCCAGAAGACCACAAUACUCAACAUAAAGAUGCUUUAAGUUAAUCAAGUUUCCCAUGUUUUCAGGCAGUUUUGUAAGGUUAGAGCAGAGCACAAGGCGCAAGGUUGACAAAUUGUACAAACCACAAAUAGUGUCUGGUAAUUUCUUCAGUAUAUGAUUGGAAGACAAAUCAAUAUGCCUCAAAUGUAUCAAUUCACCAAUCUGCUUCGGGAGUUCUUCGAUGGAAUUACGAUUCAAAUUUAAUGUCCUAAGACAUUUCAAUUGUAAAAUUAAAUUUGGGUCUAUGGUAGUAAUUCUUGAAUCAAAAGUUGCGAGCGUGCGAAGAUUUUUGCAAUUGUAAGAUGAGAUAAAAAGUGGAAGUGGACCUUCAGGAAUAUAUCUCAAGGUUAAAUGACGAACCUUAUCACCAAAUACCUUUGAUUCACUGGUAAUUUCCUCACCAUGAUCGAUAAUCAAACACUCAUUCUUGGUGAGAAAUUGUACAAAGUCAUGCACAAUAUCAUGCAUUUUGCAACCUAUAAUGGUACCGGUGUCAGGAUCUUUCUCAAAAUCUUGGAAAAAUGACCGUGCCACUAAGUUGUCAAAAACUGCAUCACCCGUUGUUCCCUUUUCUUUAUUCCCUUUCGAAAUAACGUAGUCUUGUGCCAUCCAAAGUUUAAUCAAAUCAUCUCGUUCAAACUUGUGAUCUUUUAGAAAAGUAGCACAAUAUAAAAGGCAACAUUUAAUUGUUGGGGCCAAAUCAUUAUAACUUAGGAAUAGGGGUUGGAAAACUUCUUGCUCGACCUUCUCUAGAUCCCAUAUCUUACUAUGCAAAACUUCUUUCCAUUCUCCAAUUUUUGUCUUAUUC